rnacentral:lncRNA from 1 species
UCCCUCCCAGGUUGCUUUUGACUUUGCACAUUCUGAUGGUAUUUCUUCGAGUGACCCUAUCUGAUGUCUCUAGAACCCGAGUUGGCUUCUCUAUGUAUGUCAAGUCUUCUUGAUUUCGAGGUCCUCUAUUGGCAACUGCUCCUCUGCACUCGUAAACAUUUCUUCAACCGAGAUACGUCACUACAAGAAACUGAUAAAUGUUCAUGGGGCAAACUAAGAACGUGGGUACCGACGUUCUUAUUUGAGUUAUGUUCAUGGGUUUGGUCAAGAACGUAGGUGCCCACGUUCUUAGUUUAAGUUCGUGCGCCCUAGCUAAAAUCGUCGAACUUAACAUAUUAGGAACGUGGGUACCCAUGUUCUCAACUUAAGUUCAUGGGCCAGCUAGACACCGUCGAACUUAACCCAAAAUACCUAAACCCCUAACCCGCCCCACGUGUCUCACUCUCACCUGCCUCACACCAACCACUCACCCCUUAACCCCUAAUCUCUCACUCACCGGGCCGCCGCCAAGACUCACCACCACGCCGCCGCCAACACUCGCCCUCGCCGUCUCCCUCCCCCUCCAUGUUGUGGCUAGACUCACCCUCCCCCUCCACGCCGUCAACAUCGCCGUCACCAAAGCUCUGCAGUGCGUCGCCGCCAGCGGUCACCACCGCGCCGCCGCAACCACUCGCCCUCGCCAUCUCCCUUCCCUCCACACUAUGGCUAGCCUCUCCCUCACCCUCACCCUCCCCCUCCAUGCCGUCAACCUCGCCGUCAUCAUAGCUCUGCAGCGCACCACCGUGUCUCGUCCUUGGCCGCAGCCGCACGGUUGGGCCUGAACCAUAGCCCCAACCGCACCAUCGUGCCUGUGCCUCGGCCCCGAACGUGCCACCACUCCUAUGUAUUGGCCUUGGCAUCGACCACACCAUCUUGCCCUCGUUGGCGCUCAUCGUCACCCUGCUCUCGCCGGCACUCGACCUUGCCCUCGACGGUAAAAAAUAUCUCUCACAACUACUGAAUGUAAACUGAAUCAUAAAAAAUGUUGUGUGGCUGUUCCUGUGUGGCACAGGCCAAUAAAAGGCUCCUCAAAUUUGCGAUUCUUGUGGUUGUCAGUAUUUCAGUAGAGAAUACAUUUUUGUUGUUUAUGUAUGGUUGUCAUGAGCACAUUCAUAAAUCUAGGCCAACCUUGGACAACAUGGCACAUUGUUUUGUUAUAAGAAACAUGAUGCACUUGUUCUUAUCGGCAUAAACUUAUACAUAGUAUAUCACACAUGUGGCUGACUAUACCACAAACACUUGAUGUUAAUGUUAGCGAUUGUGGGGCAAAAUACACUAGAUGAGCAAUUGGGAUAGGAGGUCCUUGGAAGUGUUUGUGCACAUGUAUGUUUCACUAGUUCUGAAUGGAAGUUUGUGUGCUGAAAAUGUGGAUUUUUUACCAGACAUGUGGAUGUCCAAACCUGAAAAAAUGUGCUGAAAGUGUUUGUGUUUUGCGGAAUCAUUUGGUUGAUGCUUGCUGUGGACAGAAAACUGAAUAUUUGUUGACAGAAACUGCUUAGUGUGUUUUGCUGGUUAUUGCUAGUAAGGACACAUUUGUCGGCAAAAUUUGCUUAUGUUCUGCUUAUUCUAUUUUGUUGCUUAUUAUCAGUUAGGGCACAUUUGUGUUGCUUAUGUUCUGAAACUGUGUAAUAGAAACUGGCGACAUGAGAGCAAGCAACAAGCAUAUAUCCCUGAAUAAGUAGAUCAUGCUUAUAUAUUUCUAUAGGAUAAAAUAUGUAUAGCUAAAGCUAGUGUUUCCAUCUAACUGCAGGCUCAUUUGAUUUGAGGCUCUGGUCUCUCUCUCCAAUCUAACAGUAGGCCGACCCGCGUCUCCUCGACCAUCACCACCUCUGCAGCCUUCACGAAGGUAUUUUUUCUUCUUUCUUUUAGGAUUAAUUGACGCAUAGUAUUAGAAUUAGUUUGUUAGUUAAAAUUUGAUGUGGUAUUUUUUGGGUAGUUGUUAUAAUCGAUGGCUAUUCAUUUUAGAUUAAUCAAUGGUAGGUUCAAUGUUUGGUUAAAGUACUUUCUUAUGCCUAGUGACGCGUAACUUCAUUUUCGGGUGGGUUUAGGACCUAUUCUUCGUAAUAGAGUUAUUAUACAAAGUCUGAUUAAUGGUGUUUAAUGAUGUUUAUUUACACAUUUUUUAUACAUUGGGUUAUUUAAUUUUGAAAAAGGAUGACAAUAGAAGAAGGGCGAUGUAUGAUGGAUUCAAUAGCGUGACUCUAGGUCACUCAAAGGAAUGGGUUAUGGUUACAAAACAAUUCAUGGAUCUCGCAUUUUCUGGUGGACCUCGUGUGGUGAAGUGUCUGUGUACCAAGUGUCAAAAUUUGAAGUAUGUGAGAAAGGUCGAAAAACCGUAUCAUCACCUUUGCAAGAAUGGGUUAUGCCUAACUAUCUAGUGUGGCACUCACAUGGAGAAGUAGAGCAGAAUAUCACAGAGUAAGACAUAAUUGAUGAUGAUGAGGAGGAUUUGAUGGAUGACUUGGUGGCAGAUUUUAGUAGAGAGUAUCCAACAUUGGACUCAGAACAGGCUACACCAGUGGAAGUGUAGGAGUUUUAUAAGUUUCUUCACGUGUUAGAGGAAAAAGUGCAUUAUGGCACCACUAUGACCGUGUUGCAGGUGGUUACACGUCUUAUGGCGAUGAAGACAAAGUAUAACUUCUCAAAUAAUUGCUACAACGAUAUAAUCAAUCUGAUUAAUGAUCUCAUCCCAUCGAACCAUAAGAUGUCAAAAAACUUAUACCAGUCUAAAAAGAUUGUGUCCGGUCUUGGCAUCAAGUAUAAGAAGACUGAUGUGUGAGAAGAUAAUUGCAUGCUGUUCUUGAAGGAAUAUGAAGAGGCCACCCAUUGUCAGAAAUGUGGUAAAUCAAGAAAUAUGGAGGUACUAAAAGAGGAUGGAGCUCCUUUUGCUACAAAAUUGGCAUUAAACAGCUCUGAUAUAUACCCAUCACCCCAAGGCUUAAACUUCUACUUUUAACCCUAGAAACUGCGAAGCUAAUGUUGUGGCAUAAGGAAGGAGACCGUGACAGACAAGACCCAGACAUUAUGAUGCAUCCAUAAGAUGGCGAUGCUUGGAAGGCUUUGGAUCGUUUUGACCCAGAAUUUGCAAGAGACGCUAGGAGUGUUCGUUUAGGCUUGUCCACUGAUGGUUUCACUCCUUACAACAAAAGUUCCACUUCAUACUCUUGUUGGCUGGUUUUGAUCAUGCCCUAUAAUCCCCCUCCUAACAAAUGCAUGAAAGAAGGGUUCAUUUUUCUUGCCCUUAUUAUUGCAGGGUCGAAACAUCAUGGAAAGAAGGUCAAUAUAUUCAUGCAACCGAUGAUUGAAGAGUUGAAAGAGCUGUGGCUAGGGGUAAAGGCUUAUGAUGGUCAUCAGAAACAUGAAUUUACCACACAACAUGGAUUUGAUGCACCAAGAGCGCAAUGUUGCUGAAAGCAUUAUAAGCAUGUGUCUAAACAUUAAGGGUAAAACAAAAGACAACAUCAAUGCUAGGAAAGAUUUAGGUGAUAUUUGUGAUUGUCCUCGCCUUGAUGUCAAAAAAAAACCUAAUGGAAAGGAGAGGACACCAUGAGCUCCAUACUAUCUAAAGCCGGAAGAGAGAAAAUAAGUAUUUUGAUGGUUGAAAACGUUGAAGUUUUUGGAUCGCUAUGCAGCUAACAUAAAACUGUAACACUCGAAAUCCUAUUUUGGGAUUUAUGAGAGUUUUUGCCUAAAACGUUUGAGUUAAAAUGUCUUUUAGUAGAUUCCUUUUUUGAAUGAAGUAUAUCUUUCCAAAGUUAUCCUAGGAGUUGGUAUUCAAAACCUAGAUCCAAAACUCAAAAUUAAAAGUUGGAACAAUAAGGAAAAUAAAGACUCUCAAUCCAUUUAUUUUUUUCCUUUGAUAUUAUAUAAUUAAUACACACUUUAAGAAUAUUUGAACCAAGAUGACCAUGAUAAAAAGUAUAUAUAUUAACUUCCCUCAAACUAAAGUAAACAUUGAAUUUGUGGAUGAGACUUUUACUUGAUUAACAUAUAAAAUAAUAUUUCAUAUAUAUCUGUGCUCCCUAAUUUAAGCAUUUUCCUAAAUAAAUAAUUAACUUAUAAUAAUAAUAAACAUGACUUGCAUCCCAUGUCGACUCUUUGAUUAUUGCACUUGUAUUUGGGUUUUGCUAAUCAAACCUAAGUUUGAUUUCAAAUUAGAAAUAGAAAUAAAAGAAAAGAAAAUGAGAAGAGGACCAUGUCGCCUAGGCUGAAGCUCUGCCCAACCCACCCCAUUUUUGUUCCUAUUCACCAUGCGGCCCUACUCCAUUUCCCCUGCUUGCGCUGAGACUCCACUAAAAGGCCCAAUUCUGCUCUCCUGCAAGCAAUUCACAAUUUCACAGCCUAACACCUCUGGUGUUACGAGAACUAAAACUUUGGCAUGACAUCAUAUGCACUGACAUUACAUUGUGUAUGAUAUACCUAGAAUGCAUUCACUAGGCUAAAGUUUCAUAACCAAACAUGUGAUGUGAUGCUUAUUGAGGGUAUGAUCUGGUAAGGGGAUCCUUAACUCUAGGUAGGAAAAUCACUCCAAGGACUAGUAGCAUGUGAUCUUAUGUUUUAAGCACAAAUGAGUAAUCUUGCUAAGUUUGGUAGACAUGUUAAGAAACAAUGAUUUGGAUAGGUUAGGCACUUGAAAGUAUCUUAGGACACCCAAAACCCUAGUUUGGGAUCCAGAAACCCUAAUUAGUGCCUUAUAGGGUGAUUUCAAAUUCUAAUCACUUUUUGCCAAACGUGUGUAUAUCAAAAUGGUAGAGUAAUAAAAACUAAGCAACUUUUGUAUUUGGAGAUUUCCAAGUUUUGUGGAGAAUCUUGGAGUAAAGUGCAAAACGUUCACAUGAGUUCAAAAGUUCAAGUGCUGCAAAAUAAUGGUUUUGAGCAAAGUUUGGAUCCUUGUUUUAUAUCCAUGAGAGUUUUGCAAUAAGUCACUUUGACAAAGUGGUAGGGUUACUAUAGUAGUAUCAAGUUACUUAAGUGACCUAGCCCUAAACCAUAUGAAACCUAGUGCAAAGCACGUCUAAAGUAUGGAUAUCAGACUGGAAGCUUUACUAAAAACAUGAAUUCAAUGACAUUUCCUUAACUUUUGAGCCGUUUUAUGCUUGAUCAAUUGAGAAAAUGACUAUGAUCCUUAUGGAAAACUUGAAGCCCUUACAUUGGUGAGCAAACUUCUUAGAAGCAGUUGGGUCCAGUGUCGUGUGAAUUUUGGAGAAAAAGGCUCCCAAACUUGGCCUAUCAGACAAACCAAAUGGUGUUUAGACACGAACAAUCAACUGAAGAAGAUCCUUCUUGCCGCUGGUGUGUCUUGCGCCAUGAUCCAUGCUUGGCGCCGUGAUUUGCGCAAGUCUAAGGACAGCGUGUACACGGUGAGUAAAAAGAUCGGCAGAAGGGUGAAAAGAUCUCGAGGGGGUUGAAUUCGGGCUCUGCGCUGUCGUGCUCACAUGCCAGCGACGUGGUCGAGCGGCCGUCACCUUGGUGGCUGCCGGCUUCCUCGGUUGUGCCACGCCAGGGAUCAAUUCACCAUGUCGCCAUGACCGUGUUAGAUAGCAAGUUACCCCUUCGUGAGCCAUUGCACUACUGCGCACCACGAAGCAUAGACCAGUGAAAAAUCUUGCCGCCAUGGAGUUCAAUCCCAUCUCAAAUUCGCAAAGCAGGUGGCCAAUCCUUUUAAAUUGAGUGCCCUCUCUGCUCUGCCUCUCUAUUACGCACCUAGCCCGCUGCUCACUACUUCGUUUCAUCCACCAUAGCCUAAGCUUACCGGGAUUUCCCGAGAACGGUCACCAGCACUGCUGUGAUACACCUUGAUGUGGCCAGAGUAAUCCAGGUUGGUUCAUUCCUCUUUGGUCAAUGUUCUUGUGUCCUUAGGAUCUUCUUUUGCCCACUAGCUUGAUCGAUUGAACUCUACAGUAGUAAACUAGCUGGAACACCGACUUGUCAUCACCGAACACUGCCGUGGACCAUCGCCACAUGGAUAGCCAACCCGGGCUUUCCUCCGGUUGUCCCUGCCGCUGUUCCCAAGUUAGACAUGCUUGUGAUGCUCACUUUGUCCCUAAUUUGAACUCUACCCCACCCAAACCCCGGAACCGAGCUUGGUCAUCCUCGGUGUCCGCCAUGAACGUGAGUAGCCACGACUAUGAACCAAGGGGCUCAAUUAUCCUUGGGGUAAGGGUCGGUUAGGCUCGGAAAUAGGGCUCAGGUGAUCGCUACCUCGAGAGGAGGUCGCCGACAACAUCUUCAGGUAGCCUCGGCUAGGUGUUCGACCGGUGUCUGACCGAGGGCUCGAGUUUGUGAAGGAGAAAAGUAACGGAGACGUUUAACUAAUGUGUUGGUGAGACAUAUGGAUAGAGCUCAAGAAUUCCUUACUAGUUAUUCGAAUACCCAGGGGGCUCGAUGCAAAGUAGUAUGCAGGCGCGGACGUGCGCGCGAUCUGCGUGGGUUUGGGCCACCUUGGCCCAGUUUCGGCCCAAUUCUGUUUAUGAGUUUUUCCUUUUCUUUUUACUAAUAGCUUGUGAAAUCCAUUAAGAAUAGUAGAAAGGUGAUAAAAACAUGGGAUUUUUAUUUCAAACCAUAAAUUAUGUAGCAUUUAAAAGUACUUAAGCAGAGCCUCUUAGAAUUUUAGAAAUAGUUUAAUAGUCAUAGAAAUCAUAAAACUUUUUGGGUAGACUUAAUAUGUUUGUUUUAAACCUUAAGUGAAGUUUGAACUUGUUUGGACACUGUUUGACUAGGAAACCAAUAAUAAGUCCAAAGAAUUAAACCCUUUAAUACCAAGUGAGAUUAGGAGUAGUUUUGCAAGUAAAAACAUGCAAAUCAUAAACUUACUACAACUUGGUAGCCUAAGAAGAUUAGUUGAGUUAACCUUAAAGGGUUAUUGUAAGGCCCAAAAUCUGUAUAAUAAAAAAUAAUAAUAAUAAAAUAAAUAUAUGAGGAGAUAAAAUAGUAGAUUCAGAUAUCUCAAAUUAUACUUGAGUAUUGAAAAUUGAGGACUGAAUUUUGAAAACCAAGAAUUAUUUUAGAAAAGAAGUAAUGGAAAAGCUUUCUAUUCUAAAUGAUUAUGCAUUUUAAUGAUGAUGCUCCAUAAGCAUUUAUUUACAUGAAUAUUUAAUUUUGAAGUAACUUUUAACUCUUGUCCCACAUUCAAAAUACUAUUUUUCUAAAAAGAAAGAAAACAAUAUGAGAGUGUUUCAUAUUUCAAACAUCUACCAAACAAAUAAAAUAUUUGAAAUAAACAUAUAUCUAUUGCAUCAUGUUGGAGUUUAAUUGUGUGUGCAUAUAUUAGUAAUAAAAAUCUAUAGAAAGACAUCAAUGUUCAAAUUGGGAAUUUAGUCCUAAAUUUGGAAUUCUAGAAUUGGAGAAAGAGAAGCAUUAGUUAUCACAAAAUAAAUAUAAAAAAUAAAUAAAUUCACCAUGCCAUGUUUAAGUUGGGCAAUUAAUGUGAAAAUAAAUCUACCACGAAAUUUGAAUUUAAAUGGGAAUCUAAAUUAUGAAUUUAGAAAUAAAAAGGAAAAGAAAAGAAAAGAAAAGGGGAAAUAUAAAAGAAAAAGAGAAAACACCCUCCUGGGCCGAAACCCUGCGCUCGGCCCACCAAUCAUGCCCGAGCGCAGCCCACCCAGGCCUAACGGGCGCGCUGACAGACGGGGCCGUGCGUCAACCUCACCGUGUGAGUCGUUCACGAACGCAAUGCAAUCUCCGUCACUGACCAGUGGGGUCGACCCAUAAGAUCCCUUCUUCUAGCUUCGGUUGUUGCGAUUUGCACGCCGUAGCUGCCGCUGCCUCCCCCUGGCUCGAACUGGCCGAACCCUCCGAACUGCGCGACGUAUGACCUGGUGCCAGACCCCCCCACUCUCCAUCAAAGUUGUGCCUCCCUUCUUUCUCGUGACGCCAGCCCCAUAAUUGCCAUCUGCGCCGAGUAUGAUAGGGAGAGAUAGCUGCCAGCGCUCCAUGAAAUUGGUGGGAUCUGGGCCUCGGCGUGGUUCCCGGGUGAGGCGUAUGGGGGCCAGGAACCAUUCUAGGACGAUUGUGCGUGCUGCGGAGGUCUCACCACCGUCGAAUUGCUCGUCGGAGCAGUUACUCUGCCACCGAAUCGCCAUCGUGCGUGUCCAGGCUCUGGUCGUGCACCAACCCUAGGUAUGAACCCUGCUCAGCUUCGUACUACCAUUGAAUUCGCAAAACGCCUCCUAGAUUGAAGAGUUUGGGCGUCAGAACUUCGGCGGGGCCACACACAGCCAUGGCGCCGUGGUGGUGCAGACUCGUCACCGUUUAGAAUUGGGGAGAGGUGUGCCGACCGUUGAUUUGGGAUAGCACAGUCAGGAUCAGAUCUCAGCAUACCAGUUCGCAGGGUGGCCUGGUGCCGUCCGAUCUCCUGGGAAGGGCUUAGAUUAGAAGUCGAAUCCCCUUUCGCCCGUAGUCGAUCUAACCCAUAGAUCUCCUAAUCGAUGGCUAUGAUUAGAUCGCGCCAGUUUAAAAUCGUGGCCAUUGGAUCCUGUGGAACGACGUAGAUUAAAACGUUGUGUAACACUUCGUAACAUAAAAUCUUGGCCGUUGUCUGGCUAAUGGGCGGAUCUGGUGAACCCAUGAUGUGGCAAGCUGUCGGCCGCAGAUUCAUGAUCGCGUGGCCGACAUUGCAUACCCGUUCGGAAUUAUUGUGACAUGAUCUUGGCCGUCGGCUUCAAAUUUGGCGGCCAGAAUCCAUCCAUACCCCUUCGCGGGCAUACUUUUUCAUAUGAAACCCUCGGUUUACUUAAUAACAACACGCGGUCCAGUCCUGAGUCUUGGAACUAUUUGCGUAGUAGACCCUGUGCUCUAUAGAAUUCACAGCCUCAAUCCAGUCAGUUAUUAAUUAAGAGAAAACAUAAUCAAAAUGAAUUUCUUAUAUAAAAACAAUUCCAGAAUCUUAUUAAAUCCAUAGAAAAUUCGUAUUAAGUCCAAAUUAAUCCAUUCUAGUUUCUAUAAUUUUGUAAUAUUAUUGUUUAUCACCUAGUGUCUCUGUAUUGACAUGAAAGCCAAAUUAAAAUUUAUAUCCUAAUUAAUCUUGUAUCAAACACAUAAAAUCUUUGGAAAUUCAUAACUUAAAAUCUAUAACCCCAAAAUUAAUGAUUCUUUUUCCUAUGAUCUUAUUUUAAUAUGUAGAUUAUUAAUAUGUAUUUUGUAUACAUGCUUGGUGUGAUGUUAAUUUGGUCUAUACCAUGUUUGUUUGUAUUGCUACGACUAGCAGUGAGGUCACGAGAACCUGAGGACCAUCCUGGUACCUGGAAUCUCAAGUGCCAAGCAAGUUGUACCCUUGAUCACUUUCAUUUACCCAAUAAUGUUCUUUAUUAUCACUAUUCAAUGCAUAGGUUUAAUUUUGAUGGGACCCAAUAGGUCACCCUAGACUGGUUAUCCUUUUACCUUGUUUAUCCUUGAAUCAUUUGGGUAGUUAUGCUAUUGCUUUACGUGGUUUUGGGACUAAUACUACAUUAUGUCUAUGUUCUAAUUAUCUGUUAUUUUAUUUAUGUUCAUGUCAAGAUCAUUAUAUUAUGUUAAUUGGAACAUGGAGCUUAACUUGAGAAACACUUGCCACCACAAGGGUGGAAUGGGACGCCCUUGGCUGACUAAUUAGGAAAGCUAGUGGAAGACUACCUUACCCGAAAAAGGCAAGGGCAGUAGGGAAGUUGCAUGCAGGGAGGUUCUCGAGUUGAUUUUGUUGCGAUGGCGGUCAGAUGAGGGAUUCUUGCAAGUGCUCUUCCCAUAAACUGUAGCGGGUUUUCGGAAGCUAGUGGAACUUUGUAAAGGCCUCGUAGUGUUACCCUGCCUCGCUUCCUUGGUAGAGGUGUAUGGGAUUCAUGACCCCUUGGCAGAUGGGUAACACGACUUGUGGGUACAGGGUACAACCUCUGCAGAGUGUAAAACUGGUAUACUCGCCGAGCUCAUGGUCAAGAGCAGCUCAGGACUCUCGCAUGAUUAAAUUAUGAAACUAAAUUCAAAUUUGUCAUUUGCAUUGCAUGGGAUUAUUUUUUAAUUUUGUUUUAUUCUUAUUAUGUUUUGGUAUUUACUUAAAUUUAGUAACUGCUAAUAAAAUUUGACCAACUUAUUAAAAGAAAUGCUCAGCUUUAACCCCUAUUGUUGAUCAGCCUUACACAUCACAUGAACUCCCACCUUUGGUGAGUUCAUGCACAUUAUUCCCCACAACUUGUUGAGCUAUGAACAUGUGUGAGCUCACCCUUGCUGUCUCACACCCCCCACAGGAGAAGAACAGGUGGUUCAAGAGGAGCCACACAACGAGGAGUUCGAUUUGAUCUAGGUGGAGUCUCCUAGUUGACUUUAUGGUGCCAAGGAUGGACUUUAGUUCGUUUUAUAUUUAUCUUUUAUUUUGUAAGACUUCCUCUAUGUAAUAAGUACUCUGAUUAUAUUGUGAAAUUUAUCUCUAUACACUGUUAUUAUAUAUGUUGUCUUCUUUGGCGCAUAUAUGAGAUGCACCCGGCUUUGUCCCUUAAAUCAGGGUGUGACAGUUAUCUAGCUAGGAAGUCUUGAUGGUUGAUAAACAUCAUGAAGGAAAGCUGCAUUCAAGACACUGUUUUCUAUAUUCUUGCAUAUCCAUGACAUAGCACCAGCAUUCAUAUAUGUAUUAUUGCGUAUAGAACAUGAAGAAGAGUCUAUAGUAGUAGAAGAAGUUGUUCCUCCGACUGAGAAUCCUCCCGUGAAGAAUAACGUUUACUUUGACAUCUGUGGUGAAGAAACAACUACUCCUACAACACAAGGCAAGCCCCGGUGCAUUUACCUUUCCUUGUAUUUUAAAGUUUUAUCAACUUUGAAUGUUGCAUUAGGUAAUAGGAAUUGUGUGAUAAACUAUUGAUGUAUUUCCUUCCUUCAGAAAUUAAAUACCAUUCCUUGUAACCUGAUUUAUUCAAACAAGUUUAAUGAUGCUUAGCUUUGCUUAGAAAACAAAAUGUUUUGUUUUAAAAAGGUGAUGCUUCGCAAUGGAAUGAGAAUUUUUACAAAGAAAAAGUUAUGAUGCUGAAUCCAUCACAACCAUGAUGGAUUCAACAUCUAAAAAGAGUACCUCUGUCAGGUACCAAACUUUGGGUUAUAAAUGAUAAGAUGAGACCGGGCGGGUGACUUGCACGAGAAGGAAGUCUCGGUGUAGUGUAUCCGUCUAAGUCGUUUAAGGACUGAGCCGAUGUAGGCUUGCUGAUUGAGGACCUUUUAACUGGCCACAUUUCUCAUCAUGGGUAAGCUUUCCCUCGGACGGACCAAUACCAGAACAGAUCGCCCGCACUAGGCGUGGGAGAUGGUGAGAUUAGCGUGUACCCUCCGUGGCAAGAGGUUGGAUGGUGGAGUAACUGUACUCUCGAGUAGCGGAACCCGUUUUGGUCUUGAGAACCCGGGUGCGAGUUGACAUAUGCAAGGGUUAAGUGCUACAUAUGUCCUGUGGCUGGAGAUCCCCAGCUGGGUAUUAAUCGAAUCAAAUCGCCAUUAUUUCUCGGACAAGAAUACUUGGUCACUGCCCUACACCAUAGUGAUAAGUAAACUCAGGGUGUGAUAAAAGAUGGCUAGUGUAGGCCAAGUGCUUGAUCUAGAUUAGGAAAAAAAUCUGGAUUCAAGAACUUAAUUAACCUCAUAAGUAAAAAGAAUUCAUAAGGACCAACGUUAGUAAGCUUUGUGCAAACUGAGUCAAUGGUUCUUGCUAAGCCUUACCUUGACUCAGCAUAUCCUUGAGAGUCUUUUCUUUUAGUCAGGUAAGACUUGCGAAAGUACAAUUCGUACUCAGGGUUUUUGAUCCCAUGUUGUUGUAGGUGAAGAAACUGCAGAGUUUUGCUGCUAUUGUUCCAAGAUCGUCCCAAAGAAGGAGGAUGAAACCUAAGUAAACUAUUGGAAGGUGUCUACCUUCCAAUGAUAUAAUAAGUAAAAGCAUUCGAACCCGUAUAUUGUAAUAACCACUCUUUCUAUAUUGUACCUGUUAAUGUAAAUUAAGUUAUUUUUACUCUUUCCGCUUUUACUCCGAUGUUGUGUGAUGUCUAUGAUAUGGGACGUACGCUCUUGGGAGAUGAAUGAGAUACAGGAACUUGGUCUUGACAAGCGAUUGGGUGCAUCUGCAUGAGUGUCUAAUGUUCUUGGUACAAGGAUAGCUAUAGGUGGGCCUAAUAUCUUGGGAGGUUCUGUUACAGCUCGCACUAUCCUUCUCACCGCCAUGUAGGUCCGCAAUAUCCGCCUCCCACGGACUAUCCACAUGCUCCCUCGUGCAGACUACUAUGUGGGACCCAUCUACUAGAGCUCCUAACAGAUGGACCACAUGUUCGCUUAUACUGACCGAUGGGGCCCGUUCAUCAGUGCCUCAUUCGAUCCGCGCGCGGAGCUGCGUUCACCUACCGGUGUGACGCUGGUGAGUGGGACCAUCUCGUCGGUUCCAUGUCCUACCCCAAUGAACUCGUCCUGUUUGUUACAAGGGAGCUGGCAUAGACAUCAUGCCAGGGUAAGGUCCAGAUCCUAUUAUACUCGCCUAGGAUCCCUCACAGGAUAUAAAACUAGCCAUGGUCAUGUUCCGACCGUGUCUCAAACCUGAACGCCAAGACUGCCUUGCCGGUGAUGGAGAGUGAACGAGAGAGAAAACAGAGCACCAUCCUUGAUCUGCACGUAAACCGGUGUCGGGCCCUUGGGGACUAGCCACAAAGCACCACUGCACCGCUAGUAUUCUGCUCAUGUCCAUGUUGAGGAGGAUUCCUGGCUAGGUGAGCGUGAAUCGCUCGUCGGAGACCCAAUGUUGCAGUGGACCCGCCCUGAGCCGUGGAACGACACAUCUCGUGCUCCGAGCACCAGUAUAUGGGUUCCUAUCAAGUUCACCCGCUCCUCUUUGUUUUGAGCCAGUUAACAUUCGGGAGUGUGAUAUGGGGGCACUUUCGGGCGUGCUGUAACACCCUGAAUUUGGGGGUAUAAAAUUUCUUCUCUAACAUCUACCAAAUUCAGGUGUUACCUCUUUUCUCCUCUCUAUAGAUUUCUUUUCUCUUCCUUUGAGUAGAGUUUUGAUUAUUUAUUUGGAAAUGUAUUAAUACUUUAGUAGAUUAGACCCUAGUGAGACAUGAAUUGUUGCAUCAUGCUAAGCCUAGAAUUUGGUCUUUGUUUGAUGCAUAUGUUUGAAUUAUUCAUAUUUGAAUUUGUGGUUUGGAUGGAUUUGAAUUCAAAAGAGAAAAUAAAAAGAAAAGGGAUUAUAAAUUUUAGAAUAAAAGAAAAAGCCAAAGCAGUCCAGAACACCCUCUCCCUCGGUCUUUUGGCCCAGUCGGCCCAGCUCGCCCUCGCUCUCUCUCUGCCCGGUGGGGCCUACCCGGUCGGCGCCAACUUCCCCAGCCAUGCACACUCCCCCGCUCUCUGCACCACGGGUCUGGUCUAUCAGCGUAGUUUCCCCCUCGCGUGCUCGUGUCUCUGCACCGUGGACUCGCCCUGUCAGCCCUGUCGCAACCGCCGCUGACCCUGGCGCGCACGCACGCCAAGAACACAGAUCACAUCGCGCCCCACGUCCCCUAACUCUCUUUUGAGCUCACCGCGCACCCGCCCUCUCUCCCUUUCCUGAUUUAACUCACUCCCAACCCCUCUCGCGCACAGUCGCCGCCUCCCGAGCUCGUCGAUGACCUACGCCCACUGUGUCGACUGCCCGAAGCUCUAGUCGCCACGCCAAGCCUCCCCGAGCGUUUUCCCGAGGUAAGGAACCACGCUCGCACCUUAUUUGCCCCGGUUCCUUUUCCCUGCGGCGAAUUAGUGCAUGCCAAAGCCGCUGCACGCCGGUCUUCCACACCCGCACGACGUUUGGCCAAUUUAGCCCCGCCACGUUCCUGUUUUUUGGCCCUAGGUGUCCCAAGCCCCUCACUAGAGCCCGCGUCGGCCUCGGUGCACUCGAUCACCCCUCCCUGCGGCCAGGAUUACUCGCCGGAGAAACCCUGACUUGGCCGGAGGGCCCCCUCCGCCGUUCAUCUGUUUCCAGCACCGCUCUCCCGGCCAAAACCCCGCCAUUGAGUUCGCCGGGUCCACCUCACCGGUCCUGACCAGCUCCAGCGACCUCGAACCCCUUGGAACCUGCACCCGCCUCAUCUCCAACGACAGCACCGCCACGGACGGGAGCGGCACCGCCCGAGGCCGUUAACCCCCUGAGCGCCAGAUACCAACCAUCCGACCCCGAUCCAAUGGUCCGGAUCUCGGGGUACCGCUUCGCGUGGGCGCCCCUGUCCCUGGGCCCCACUCGUCGAUCGCCUACGCCCCUGGCGCUGGGCCCGACCGGUCUGCCCGCCCUUACCCCUGAGCCCCUGACCGCCCUAGCCCGCCUGUUAGUGUGCGCUCGCGCACGCGCGCGUGCUCGCCCGCAGAGCUGUUCUCAGCCGUCGAUCUGAGAUCGGAUGGCUAGGAACGCAUGAUACCCCUUAGCUUGGUAUUUUGUUAAAUAGACCCCUGGUUUCUUAUAAAUCUUGCACCUGAGCCCCUAGUUUCUUGCAGAGGACCCUUGGACUUUAUUUUAAUCACAGGAAUGGGUAUAAAUUAGGGUUUUUGAAUUAUAAAACUUCCAAAAUUCAUAACUUUGUCAUAUGAACUCAAAAUUGGAUGGUUCAAACAAAAUGUUCAUUAAGUUAUUCUCUAUCUGUUUGAAUUAUCUUCAUCCACUGUUUCCAUGUCUCAAUUUUGUGGUUUGUCUCUAGGUGUAACACCCGAAAUCCUAUUUUGGGAUUUAUAAAUGUCUCUCCAAAAGAUUCAAUUUAAAAUGUCUUUUAACAAUAUAUUUCCUUUCUUUAGAAAGUAUCUCCAAAAGUAAAUAAGUAGUGAUAUAUAAACUCUGAUAGAAUUUAAACUUGAAAAUUAGAAUUGAGAAAACAUAUGAUAACAUAAGAAAGAUUUUUCAAAUGUUUAAUUGGUGAACUAAUCAUAAAUAUUUUUUUGGGACCUCCUCUUAGUAGAUACCAAAUAAAAGAUUCUUAUGCAAAUUAAUGUAUGUAAUAUGAUUUAGUAAUUACAACUAUUCACUAAAAUAUUAGUAUGAUGUACUGAGAAUGGUUUUACUACGAUAAUAUUUUGAGUUUCAUAUUGAAAAGCAUGCUAUUACUGGAUAAAAUAAAAUUAAUAAAAAAAAUUAAAUAUGCAUUCUAUGCAGAGUCUUAAUUGGCUAUGCAUUAUGAAUUUGAAACCCAAGUUUGAAUUCAAACCUAGGAUAUGAAAAUUUAAAUAGAAUAGAAAAAGAGAAAAGCUCCAAUAGAUCGGAACCCCCCUAGCCGGCCCACUUGCGCUUCUCGUCCACUCCUGCGCGGCCCAACCCAGCACAACCCACGCGCCGACAGGCUAGUUCCACGGGUAUAGCUAUACAUUUGUGCUGUGCCUAAUAGACCAGCCCAAAGCACACAACUUUUGGCACGACCCAGAUCUGGCACGACCCAAUCUAAUUGUGGGCCUGGGCCGUGCCUGAGCCUCAAGUCAAGCCCAUGAGACAGCCUGGUAUGACCCAUUUAACUAAGGCACAUCGAGGCCCACUAAAUAUAGACUCAGUAUUUAACUAAUAAGGUCCGUCUAAGCCCACAUGAUCAUCAUAACUUGGAGAAUCUAGAGCUUCAAUAGGCCUUCGAGAACCAAUACCUAGAUGGGGAUAGUGAAUAGUGAUGAUGAUUAUUGUAUAUGUAUUCUGUAUGGCUGUAUAGUACUCAAUUAAACACUGAACAGAGAACCGAAUAUUAUUUCUGAGCUAGUUGUAAUAUUUUUUCUUUCUGACCAAAGGUUUUUAAUGUGCAUCCACAAAACAUCUUAGUUUUAUUUUGGUCAUAUAUAUUCUAUACUUUUUGUUUAUGUAUUGUUGUUGUAUAUAUAUAGGCCGGUCUGUCACAUUAAGGUAUUUUGGGCUAUUUGGGCCAGCCUGGCACACAUAACUAAUUUUGGGCCAUGCCGUGAGCCGAUGACUGGGCACACGUGCUGGCACCGCACGGCCCAUAGUUAGAUAUAUGCUUUUGUGGGUCGUGCUUUUGUGGGCCGUGCUUUUGUGGACCUGUGCUGUGCCGGUCCAGGCUAGCCCACAUGUACAGGUAUACCCACGGGACAACCUCACGCGGUGCGCACUCGUCCGUUCUGUGUCCGAUAGGUGGGACCCCCCAUUAGCUACUAUUCAACUUCUUUAAUUCGUAACAGAAACCACGUCGUCGCCUUGGGUUAUUGGGAAUCUGUCGGAUUCCUCGGGCGCGGACUCCACUAGCUGGGCUAUAAACCCAUGCAUCGUCGUGCCCCUCUGUUCAUGUGUGGAGUCGGGAUGGCCAGCCCUCACUCGACACUGCAUGAAUGGAGAGAUGUGUGUGCAGGGAGCCGUCGCGCAUGAGAUCUCUCCGCAUUACCAGCGCUCCCUAGAAUCUUAGACCAACUCCAGCAGACUCCGUAUAUGGACGUGUAUCCAUCAAAUUUACGCGCUCGCGCACUAUUCAUCAGUCCAGCGGACUCCGUAUCCGUCUCCCUAAAAAGCACGCCGUGUACCUGCACUCCUCUUUUCCACGUUUUCUCUCUCCUCUCCGCACAAGACUACAUGCGCUCGCGGGUGCUCGCGGGACCCAGCUGUCACAGUCAGCAUGCGGAGUGUAAAUACGGAGUCUGUUGGAACGCACCAUGCAAAAGAACCACUCAUCUAUGAUCAAGUCUACAUAAAAUACGGAUGCAGAGUGUGAGGCUGCUGGAGUUGGUCGCGCUGAUGCUCUGUUGGACUGCACCAGUACUCGUGGUACUCUCGCCGUGCUCACCCGGUGGUCUGGGCAGCCGAAACUUCUCGCUGGUAGUCAGGCACAACUGUGGAUCCGCCCAACGUCACGGGGAGCCCCGUAUCUUUCGCCCGUACCGGUAAGAACCCCUCUGUUGAGUUCACCAUCAUCUCCUCCACGCGUAGCACCUUACGGUUGGGAGAAUAGUGCACUAGUGGGCGAACCCCGCAACUCUGAAGUGCUCUGCUGCCAGGAAGAAGGGCACCGUCGCCGACGCUAGUCGCCUGGUGAAGUUGAAGGGAGAAGCGUUGAUUUUUGGUGAAUGGCUCAGAUUGAACGAUGCGUACCCCUUUGGUGGUUUGAUCUGAGCGGUUGGAUCCGAUCGGAUUGACCUGGAGUGAUCACGAUUAUUUAAAAUAUGGGCCAUUGAUCUGGCCGGGGAGGGCUACGAUUAGACUGGGUGCUUACCUCUCCGUUGGUUGAAUAUGUGUCGUUGAUCUCAGAUCUAUCGGUUGUGAUGCACGCGGGGUUAAGGCAGCCGAGCCAACUUUGCAUAAGAACCCUCGGAUUUAGGGUAACAAACCCGUCGUCCAUUUUUCAGUGUAAAGAAAAUAAAAUUAAAUGAAGACUUUGCAUAUUAGCCCCUGGAGUUUAUUUUUAGGCACAAAAUUAAUACAAAAUGCACAAAACCAAGGAAAUCCAUAUCUUGCUCAUUUUAACUCCGAUUUUGUCCGUUCGAAUUGCGUUAGUUUUGUAAUAAAGUUGCCUACAUAGUAGCAAUAUUAUUUGAUCAUGUCCCAUAACUUUUAUAAGUAGAUAUUAUUCAACCUAUGUUUUGGUAGAUUAAUCUUUCUUAAUCUAUCCAUAAUUAUAACCAAACUAGGAUAUGAUCUCUGCUCAAGUUGUAACUUAGAUUAAAGUUGAAUUAGUUAUACCUUUAAGAUACUCUCUCAUAUAAUUUACAUUAAUCCACAUAGAAUCUAGUUUUUAUUAUUCAAUCAUGUAGGUCUUCCGAAAACUAUACAUCUUAAACCAUAACUUUGAUUUUAAUGGUUCCCGAGCCUGCGAUCUCGUAGGAGCGCGUAGAAUAUUCUUACAAUGUUUGUUUACAUGUUUGAUGUACUAUUAUUUUUAUGUACUUCUUGUCUAUUUGUAUGUAUUUCUAUGAAUAGCGGUGAGGUCACGAGAAUCUGAAGACCAACUUGGUACCUGGAAUCUCGAGUCUAAUGUUCGUUGUUAAUCACUGUGACAUGCUCAGGUUAAUUUGACGGGAUCUAAUAGGAUUCCCUAGUAUUGUUUAUCCCCCACCUUGCACACAGAUGAAUUAUUGGGUAGAUUUGCUAUUGCUCUACCUAGUUUUGGGAAACUAAUGUUUUAUUAUGAUCAUGUUCCAAUUAUGUUGUUGUUUACUUAUUGUUCAUGAUAAGAUCAUAUUAUUAAUUAGAACAUGGAGAACCAUCCGGGAAAACAGUGCUACCACAAGGGUGGAAUGGGACGCCCUUGGCCAAGUACUUAGGAAAGAUAGGGAGAGAUUACCUUACAAGGGUAGGGGCAAGCGGGGAGGUGUCACUACAGAGUAUAGGGAGGUCCUCGGGUCAAACUAUCUGUAAAGAUUUUCGGACGAGGGAUUCCUAUGCUUCCUUCUUCCUAAAUCUGUAGGGGGUUUUCUCGAACUAGUGGAACUUUGUAAAGGCCUCGUAGUGCUACCCGGCCUCGCUUCCUUGGUAGAGGUGUAUGGGGGUCCGUACAACCCCAUGGCAGAUGGGUAACACGACUUGUGGGUAAAGAUGUGCAACCUCCGCAGAGUGUAAAACUAGUAUAUCAGUCGUGCUCACGGUCAUGAGCGGCUUGGACACUCACAUGAUUAACUUAUGGAAUUAAACUCAAUUUGUCAUUUGCAUUGCAUUGUGGGUGUUGUUAUUAAUCUUGAUCUCUUAUUUAAUUGGGUUGGUAUCUACUUAUACCUAGUAACUGCUAAUAAAAUUUUGACCAACUUUAAAAGCAAUGCUCAACUUAAACCAUCCUCUUUGGUAAGUCUUACACUUCACAUGAGCUCCCACCUUUGGUGAGUUCAUGAACAUAAUUCCCCACAACUUGUUGAGCGAUGAACAUAUGUGAACUCACCCUUGCUAUGCUCACACCCCCAGGUCUAGAACAGGUACCACUGGAUGAGGCACAUGAAGGAUGUUGUGAUGAGUCCGUGAGUGGUCUUGGUCGUCGUCUCCCAGUCAACUUUGGGUUGCUGGAUCGUUGUCUUCGUAUGAUGUAAUUAUUUAAGUAUUUUGUACAGAACUCUGUUAUAUAUUAAUGUUGUGACAUUCGUUUCUGUACCAUGAGUCAUCAUAUGUUUGAGACUUAAUCCUAGCACACUUCGUGAUUAUUUCGCGCCCGGGUUUUGGACCCCAAAAAUCCAGGUGUGACAGAAGUGGUAUACGAGGAAUGUUGACUGUAGGACGAAAUCUAGAUAGAAUCGGACAACCAUUACCUACUUACCUUGCUACUCUGAUUCUUUCUAAACUUUUCUUAAUCUUUUCUCAUCUAUUGCUACUUUACUCUGAUGACUCGUACCUUUUUUUCUAAAGACAAAAGUGAAUUUCACACUUUGAAAUCAUGUACCUAAGGUGACCUUUAGGAAUAGGAAACCUAAUCUUAGGAACAAAAACAAAAGUAUUUUUAUAGGUAUCUACGUGCUUGAAUGUUUGUUCUUAUGAUACUUGUCUAAUUUGGAUCUUUAAUUGAGUGUGAUGAGUUGUGGAGUAAUGUCCACAAUUGCAUCUGCAUAUACAUAUAGGCAUUAAAAAUGUGUGUUAUAAGAUAACUAGCAAACCAAGAUUAUUCCCCAUUAAAAAAUCUAGUCUCACAUAUCUAUCUUAUCUUAGUAGAUUCUAUCUUAUCCUUAUAGACUCAUCUUGUCCUAAUAAGCAUAAUUAUUCCACCCUAUACUAACAACCAUGAUCUAAUCAAAAUUAAUUAGAUCUUAUCUGGUCUAAUCUAGUUGUACCAAUCUAAUCUAGACCCCGUCUAAUCUAAUAUGAGAUACCUAACAUGUUAAUUAAAUACUGACAAAAUAGAUUAGAUCCCACUCCUAUAAACAUGUUUUAACAUAAAUUGGUGUCUUAGACCAACUCGGCCAUAUGCAACUACCUUACCCAUCCGAUAAUUGCAUAACCCCUCUGUUUUAACCUAACAGGGAUUCUGACGUACCUACACCAUAUAAUCCAUCCUACUCACAUAGGAUAACAUAAGAAAGAUUUUUCAAAUGUUUAAUUAGUGAACUAAUCUUAAAUAAUUUUUUGGGGACCUCCUCUUAGCAGAGACUAAAUAAAAGAUCCUUAUACAAAUUAAUGUAUGUAAUAUGAUUUAGUAAUUACAACUAUUCACUAAAAUAUUAGUAUGAUGUACUGAGAAUGGUUUUACUAGGAUAAUAUUUUGAGUUUCAUAUUGAAAAGCAUGCGAUUACUAGAUAAAAUAAAAUUAAUAAAAAAAUUAAAUAUGCAUUCCAUGCCGAGUCUUAAUUUGUUGUGCAUUUUGAAUUUGAAACCUAAGUUUGAAUUCAAACCUAGAAUAUGAAAAUUUAAAUAGAACAAAAAAGAGAAAAGCUCCAAUGGGCCGACCCCCCCUAGCCGGCCCACUUGCGCUUCCCGUCUAGUCCUGCGCGGCCCAACCCAGCACAUCCCACGCGCCGAUAGGCUAGUCCCAUGGGACAGCUUCAUGCCACGUGCACUCAUUCGUGCUAUGUUUGACAGGAGGGACCCCCAUUAGCUAGUAAUUCAUCUUCUUCGAUUCGCAACACAAACCACGUCGUCGCCAUGGGUUGUUGUAACAUAUAAAAAUCAUCAAAUAAAAAUAAUACAUUUAGUUAUUAAUGAUAUUUAUAGUAACUAAUUUUCUUUUAAGUGUUUGUUAUUUAUUUGCAUUUGGAAUGAUUUUUGAUUGCUCAUAAUUGAUUUUUGAAUAUUUAAUAGCAUUUCUUCUUAAUUGAAAAUCCAAAUAAAUAAUAUAAUAAUUAGUCCAAAAAUAAAUAUUUUAUUUAAAAAUAAUUAUGGUUUGAUUAUUAUGAAUUUUAGGAUUAUUUAAAAUAUGUUUUCAAAUUUAGAAAAGGAAAUAGAAAAAAAAAAUAAAAAGAAAAACUAACUAAACCUUAACCUAACAUUUGGCUCAUUAGGCCCAUGUAAGCCGCGUCGCCCCCUUCACCCUAACCCUAGUCGGCGCUCCCUGUUCUUCCCUGCAGCCGCCGCCACCUGCUCUCUGCCUCUCUCCUCUCUUCGCUCUACUCUCAUCCCGCACGCCAGGCCACUGCGCCGCGACCCCGCCCCGUACACCGUCACACACUCGACCGAGCAGCAUCUCGCGCCCGCGCCCUGUGCCCGACCGCGACGCCAGGGACCGCGCCAAGCAGCGCCAAGACUGAGCCCCGCGCAGCCGUCGUGACCCCACACGCUGCACCGACCGACGCCCAGACCCGCGACGUGCACGCCCUUGCCCCGAGCCUCGACGCGCCGUGCGACACCGACACCGACCGCGCCACGAUGCCGCCAUCUGACCGGAGCCACGCAGCCCGACACCCAAAGACCCCGCGGUCGUUUCUCUUUCCUUCCCCAUUUCCUCUCCCUCAUUGAAGCUCCAUUGAUGGCCAUCAAUGGAAUUCAUGGCUGCCGUUUCUCCACCCUCCCCCUCGGCGCCUCACCCUCCCUAUAAAAACCGACGCCCGAGCCCUCUCCCUGCCCGAGCUCUCUCCUCCCCGAGCUACCUCUCCCACACACUCCUUGCUCGCCCAUACCGUCGCCGGAGACGUGCCCGAACCCCGUCCAAGCUUCGUCGUCCACAUCCCGGCGAACCACCGCGCUAGGAACACCACCUCGAUCAAGCCCCUACUUGCGACGUGCCCAUCUCGUCACCGUGAAGCUCACCGACGCAGCACCCUUGCGACCGUGCCCACACCGUUCGCCGUUGUUCAUUCACCCAAGGUUGAAGACAACCCGUUAAUUUAUUUUCUAAAAGCAUGUUUUGAUUUUUGUGAUUUUUUGUUGUAAUAUUGAGACGAUGCGAUACACGUGUAUGAUUUUAGAGAUUUCGAUGUAAGCCAAAAUCGAACGCCGCGACAAUAUUUUAAAUAUGGGUAUGAUUUUAUAAUCCUAAAAAUGAACACGGUCACUAUUCACUAACUCAGUAGUUUUCAUACUAGAAAACGUUUACAUAUUUAAUUACACUUUAGUGUGUGUGGAAUGAUAAUUGUUACUAGUAUUUCAAGUGUAAACUUAUUUGCAUGAAGAAAUAGAAGAAAUACUAAGCCACGUAUUUCCGGUCAAAUGAAGAUACAGAUGUUACUAGUCAUAAUAAAAGUAUUCAUAAGUAUAGCAAUUAAUUAUUAGAAUUAGUAAAAUACUUAUCUAUGUCAUAAUAACCAUGAAUAUGUUAUAAAAAGUCCCAUUUAGUAAUUUAUAAGUAUUUCUUAGAAUAUUAAUGUCAGAAGAAUUAAAUAAACAAUUUUUAGUUAUACAUAUAAAUUCUAUUUAGAAAAGAAAGGAGAAAACUGAAAGAGUAGAAUUUAUAAUAAUGUUAAAAUGACUUAAUUAGGCGCUCAUAAUUUAUUAAUAAAGAAAAUAAUAGUUAUGUUGGUAAACAUAGGUUUCUUACUAAAGAAUUAGAUAACUUGUUUCUAGUUUAAAAUGACUUUUUAAUAGAUAUCAUAUUUAACAAGGUUCAAUAUAGAUGUUUAAGUAUAACCGUGUUAAAUAGAAACUUAAACGAAUAUGUAGACCAUAUGUUUCCUAAUAAAAAUAGAAGAUAAAUAUAUGUCCAAUUAAUAGAUUAUUUAUAUUUUCUUAAUUAAAAGAUAACAAGGGUCAUUGCUUUUAUAAACUAAAAUGGUAGUUUAUACAUAAUUUCCUUUGUAAUGAAUUAGAUCAUUUAGAUUAUUUGUCCCUACAAUAGAAUUAAAGACAAUUAAUAGAUUAAUUAUCCUUUAUCAUAAUUUAUUAAUCAAACCUAUAGUCAAUUUGUUCUUAACUAGAUUUAUGACAUGAUUAAUGAUUUCAUAGAAUUUAGUCCACAUUAUAUACAAAUCACUUAGCUUUUCCUAAAGGAUAAAAUAAAGUAAUAAGAGUUUAAGUUCUUUUAUAACUUAAAAUGUUACUUUAUAUAUUGACUUCAAAUAUAAUAAUAUAGGCUAUGUGUUUUCUAGUGAAAUUAAAAGAUAGUUACUUGUUCAUUAUCUUGUGCAUGAAAAUCCACUUAAGGGCCUAUAACCUAGCUUUUCAUAAAAUAGGUGUUUAAUAAUAAUGAUCUUUUCACAUAAAACCUAUUUAGACUUAUAUCUUAGUUUAUAAUAAGUGAAGGUUUAACAAUGGAUUAUAAUAUGUUCCAUAACGCUUCUAAAAUUAAUAAUGUAUUUCAUAACGCAUUAACCUUAGAUAUAUAACUUAUAUCUUUUCUAAAAUGUUAAAAAUGUUUAAUAUUGUUAUAACAUGUUUUAUCAUCUUAUAAACCCUUAAUAUUAGACAUAUCACGUAUGACGUUUUAUAAAAGAUUAAUUUGGUGAACCUAAUAUUUGUAUAUUUUAAUUAAGAUAUUUUUAAGCUCAUGUCUUGUUUUAUAAAGUAUAGAUCACACAUUUUUGAAACGAAUACCCUCUUAUUAUAACCAUUACUUGCGAUGUUUUGAAAAACAAAAGCUCUUUUCGUUAGGCUUUCUUUUAGCUUUACGUAUGGUGAAUGUGGUAUGUUAUUGAGUGGUGUUUGUUCUUCUUGUUUGUUUGUGUGAUAUUCAGUGGUUGAUCUAGUAGUUAAGAAUCAAGAUCUAUUCCUAUCCGUGGAAGAACCUCAAGUUUUCAAUAAGCAAGGCAAGUGGACUUCUCCCUCUGCAUACUCUGUUUGAUCCCAAACAAUAUAUUUAAUAAAGUUUAUUCUUGGAUAUAUAUGCAUAAUUUGACGGGUUACCUAUUCGGUUACACCUAACCUUUUCUACCUUAUUCCUUGAUAAAACCUGGGUAUUAUACUUUACCUUCAUAGCUAUGCUAUUGCAACAACUUAACUUUAUGCAGUCACUCCCGUAUGAUACUAAUGUUCCAAAUGGUAAGUUUACAUUAUUGUUGUUAACCCGAUGGUUAAACAAGAUUAUGGCAUAAUAAUUGGAACAUGGAGUGACCACCUGGGAAAACAGUGCUACCAUGAGAACUAUCAUGGCUCUGGUCUUGGCUAAAUAACUAGGGAAGUCUUAUGUUGGGUGCUGGUCGUGGUCGACCGGAACGGGGGCAUCUGGCAAGCGCUUAUAGUUCCGGCUCAGGCAGAUUGGAUACGAGCAUAGUUCUCAAAGCUUUACCCUGUAGUCUGGACUAUAAGUUGGUUACGGUAGGUGUACCUUAUGCAGUUGACCAUUUCCAGCAUUUGCGUAAUGAGGACUCUAGGGAGAAGCCUCGUAGUGAGACCCUGGCCAUUCACCUCGGAAGUGAAUUCUGGUCUAGAUAACCCGGGCUAGAAGGGAAUCGCGACUCAUGGGUAAAGAUGUGCCACCUCUGUAGAGUGUAAAACUGAUAUAUCAGCCGUGCUCACGGUUAUGAGCAGCCUGGACUCCUCACAUGAUAAUUGAACUUGAAGAUGGAAAUAAAUCGAGAUCCGAUGAUCUGCCAAUGGUUUGCUUAAGUUGUUUCACUUAAGUGUUUUUGAUAUACUCUUUUACCUUUGUUUAAUGGGAAUACUUGGGAUUCACACUUAUUAGUAAGACAAGUGUUGUUAAUAAAAUGUUGACCAACCAAAAUGCUUACUGCUCAACCUUAGCCUCACCUUGUUAAACUUGCAUUAUUUUUCCCCCACUUGCUGAGCCCCGACCAUAAGUGAGCUCACCCUUGCUUAAAUUUUGAUCAGAAGUUUGCAGAUGAAGUUAUGAUGCUGAGUUCCAUGGAUGCUAGUCUAGUGAUACCCUCGGUCAUCUUUCUGUGGAUGGAUGUCCAUGUUUCACUGUACUUUGAUGAAUAAAGGUUAAGACAUUAUGUCUGUUCGAAGUGUAAUAUGCUAAUAUAAUCGUUAUUUACGCUUUUAUGCAUUGUUCUUUUGAUAUAUUACACUUGUAACGUCAACAUAUGUGUGGAAAUAGAUCCUGGCACACAUAUGCGAUGCACCCGGCUCUGCCCCCAGGAAACGGGUGUGACAGAAGUGGUAUCAAAGCAAUGUGACCGUAGGUCGCUAGAUUAGUUAGAAAUGGAAAGCCCAGUUUGUCGUUCAAAACUUGACUUAAUUGUCUCCAUAAAAACUUACUUUAUAUCAAAACUCGUCUCUUUUAUCUGCAACCCUUCUUGUCUGAUUCUUCGUCUAUCAAAAGGUUCUAAUGAGAAGCAUUGCAAGAUAAUCAAGCUAGGAUUGCGAAACUUGAAGCGAAGUUUGCUAGAAGAAACCCUUUCGAAGCUAUCGAUAAUGCCCUAUUCUCUAUCUUAUCCCCAGUCCGCAAGAAGUUUUGUUAUGGAUCCCCUGGAUCUAUUAUUUGACUUCUUGGCUAGGUUGAUAGGAUUGUUCUUUAAUAUUAAGAUUUUUGACUAGUUUGAUAAGGGCGAUAUUAUAUCAUAGUGGUUUUCUAAUCACUAAUAUUUCUAUAUAACCCUUGUCUUCUUAUACUUUUGUUUUCUUGCCAUUGCAUUGCCACCCUUGCGCAAUAUCUACCUUGAUAUAUUAAACCUUUGCCUCUCUACUUUUCUCCUUAAUAAUGCUUUCUCCCUAACUCACUUCAUAUCCUUGGUUGUAUCAUUUAUCCUCACUUUAAUAGUUCAUGGUUAUCUUAUUUCUCUUUUGGCCACCGACAAAUAUGUCUUGUCUAACUCCUUGAUAAUUCUUACCCAACUCCUUGAUGUUAUAAUAUCUUUCUUAUUCCAAACCUUGUCUCACCUUUUGUUUUGGUUGAAUGAGUUGAAUUGGAUUGUGUUGUGCUGGUAUGCUUGAAUUCAUUGUCCUUUGUGUUCAUGUUUGAUUUGCUUUUUUGAAAUGAUUGUUGGUGUAUUGUGUGACUUUUGUCCACAAUGGCAUCAGUUAGCUAGGUAAAACCUUAAAUAGAUGGGUUUUAUCUGCUCUCUAUAAUCUGUCUGUGCUCAACCAUUUCGUCCCUUCCAUUCUUACAUACCCAUACAGAUGUCAGACCUUGGAAUGUCAACUACAAGUGAUAUCACUAAGUGCAAAGAAUGCGGUGUGUUGACAAGUCAAAACAACACUAUAAAUAAAACAGCUGAUGAACAGACCUUCAAGACAUAAAAGGAUGCACAACUAAACCAACAGACAAGUGACCUUGGAACAUGUUGUUGUUGUGAGUACUAUGGAAUUCCUUGUCGCCAAAUCAAAGCAAAUGAAAGUUAAACUGCAAAACAGAAGAACCACUAAUAGCAGAUUCUCUCAUACCUAAUGCACUAUCAGUUAAUGAAUUGCAAAGUAUUCCAAAAAGGAAACAUCACAAGGAUGCCUAGCCCCAAGAAGAAACACAUGAGUGUUACAUUGAUGGAUGGACUAUCACCUGCACAUAGUUUCAGCCUCAUUGUCACAUCAGGUCCAAGAAACAAAAAGGGAAACAUGGAAAAAGUCAAGAAAUAACUUCAAGAAAAGCUUGCUAUCAAUGUGGACGUGAAGGUCAUUACUUCCGUAACUAUCCUAAGAAGAGUUCACUAUAGAUCACCUCCAAGAUGAAGCUAUCUCAGUCUUCAGACAUGGAAUGUGAACAAAAAUGCACAGAAACUUCUACCAACAACGUAAAGACAACUCCCCCAUGUAACUUAUCAAUCCGUGCUUGCUUUGGCUGUGGUGAUACCGGCCAUCUUGUUAAUAGUUGUCAUAAUAAAGAUGUGGAGAUCAAUAAGGUCCAAAAGAAAAGACAACACCCUCAAAAUCAUGCAUCAACAAAGAAUAACCAACGGAAAAAGUCCAUAGGAAGGAUAAGUUAUGCAGUAACAGGAACCAUUCCAUAUGAUAAUGCAGUAAUUUUUGGAACACUAGUCAUUCACACAACUACCACCACUGUGUUGUAUGAUCCUCGUACAACUCAUUCCUUUAUCAGUGCCCAGUUUGUAACAAAGUAUGGUAUUUUUAAGUGUCCCUUGAGAUCAAGGAUGACCAUCAGUGCACCCGAAAGAAAAAUGUUAGUAAACUACAUAUGUCCAAAUGUAAGUGUUAAAAUCAAUGGGAUAGAUUUUCUAGCCGAUCUUAUAGUGAUAGAAUCAAUGGGAAAGGAUGUGAUUCUUGGAAAGAAUUGGUUACAAAGAACUAAUGCAGUAAUCCCAAAUACUGAGAGAACCAUGUGUUUAGAAACCCCAUCUGGAGAAACAAUAGUAGUUGAAGACAAUCGACCUCCAGCUCUGAAGAUUAGUACAUCUGAUGGGGAAGAAUAAUAUGUCAUAUAGAUAGAAAGAUCAGUAUGUCUCACGAAAAAAAUGUCAAGGUGUUGCCCCUUUCAAGAUUUGUAAUUGUGCUAAGUGAUAUAUGAAUAAAUUUGGAGAAUCUCUCGCACCUAUUGUGUUUUGCCUCUUUAUAAGGAGAAUAAAGUAUGGUGUCAUCUGCUAUAUGCAAACAAUGUGAUGCUCUACUCUAGUUGCCCUAAAGUCUCGCUCAAGUCUUUCUCUCAAUUUGUGCUCAAAGAAAUACUGUUGGAUCAAAAAGAUGAUUUGGAUAUCAUGCUCUGAAAUCUAUAAAGUUCAAAAGAUCUCUGUUAAGGAUUAUAACACUUGUACACUCUUGUAGUGUGAUGAAGCUAGGCAGAAUCGGAAAUCAUCCUUAACUAAUAUUAUAUUUGAAAUCAAAAUGUUGUGUUAGCUCUUUAUCCUAAUGUCAUACAAGCCUCUUAUACAGUGUAACACCUCAAAAUCUCAUUUUGUGAGUUAUGUAAAAUUUUCAAAAGAUUUGGGGUUAGAAUAUUGUUGUAUCUCUUCUUCCAAAUUUUUUUUUGAAGUCACAUCUCCUAAAAUAAAAUGUUUUAUAAUAAAGAUUCAAUAAAAGGGAUUCUUAAAUGAAUUAUCCUUUAUUUAAGUUAAUAAGUAUUAUAUAAGUAUAAAUAUUAGAGCACUCCUUAGAAAUAUUUCAAUCAAAAGAAAAAUAAAUCAUAAUGAAGGCUUGAUAUUAAAAUUCUGCUAAACUAAAUAAGUAAUGUGUAAAUCAAUCCCUUGUGAAUUAUGCAUAUAGGAGCAUUCAUUUAGGGGGAUAAUUAACCAAUAAAUAAAUAAAUAAAUAUGCAUUUCAUGCUGAACUCUUUUGGUUUGUAUAAUCACUUUAAGUUUGAAAUUUUGAAACUAGAUUUAAAUUUAUAAAUAAUAUGAAGAGAAACUAGAGAACAUAAAAGAAAAUAAAGAAAAAGGGAAGAGAUGACUCACAUGCGCAUGGGCUGGCCCAAACCCGCAUAUAUGUUGUCGCGCCACUGCACUGACACCGGGGACCGCAUUAUCAGCCUCGCCCCAAGCCCACCGGUUGCUGCCAUGUGGGGUCACUACGUCAGCCAUCUUCAUGCCAACAACCCGCACGGAUCUCCAUUGUCGCCGGCCGGGAACACCUGCCGUGGGUUGUUGCGACUUCCUCGGUCGGACUCAGGUGUAUUUAUAUCCCUAAUUGCAGCUACCCUUCCCAUCCAAUCCUCAGCAUGCGCCCGGCCGGAAGCCAUAACUUUGCCGUCGGGAGCUGAAGUUUUCCAUCGCGGUCAGGAAGGGACGAUUCAGAUCGUCGCGUGCGUUCUUAACUUGCCGUCGUGUCUGGAGGCAUCACCUGGGGUCUACGGAAGCCGGCGUGCAAAACACCCGUACCCAGGGCCUUGGUCGCUGGACGAAUCGCUCGUCGGAGCGCUAUGUCCGCCGUGGGUCGUGAACUGCACAGGCAUCGCCUAUAGCGUCGGUGAGUACCUCCUCCAGUGAUUCAGCGUUCAUGUCUUCGCGUAGGACUAUUUAUCGGUAUGGUUAGAGCGCUGGUAUGGUGGGUGGCCGUGCGCCGACGUGGAUCCGCCGAGGAUGGAUGCUGGCGUCGCCGCGCUGCUGGCCGGACGUAGAAGACUGUGGUUGAGUCGUAGAUCUUGAGUUGUGCGGUUGUGAUGUGUACGCGCGUUCCUCUCGGUUAAUGUGAUCUAGACCGUUGGAUCCACACCGUGCGGACAUGAUUAUAUCAUGGUGCUUUAAACCCUGGACCGUUGGAUCUAAUCGAGCGGUUCUGAUUGGAUCUAGCUUCAUUAAAUCGUGGUCGUUGUUGCUCGAUCUGAUGGUCUCUAUCACAUACCGAUUCAUGUAACGGAUGAUUUAAUCCGGGCGGUCCGAUAUAGAUCAGACGACUCAAGAUGGCCCAUACCCCUUCGCCUCGACAAUGUUGCUAAAGAGUCCCUGGAAAACAGAGGAUUUAACCCGCCGUCCAGUGCGUGGAAAGCCUGAGUCUGGGAAAUAUUGCGAGUUAGCCCCUGCGGUUUCGGAUAAUUAUGUGCCCAGUCCAGAACUCUAUGAAAAUAGGAAAAAUAAUUUAGAAAGUGGAUUUCUAGUGCCAAAAUAAUUCCAGAACUUAUAUAAUUCAUAGAAAAUUCAUCUUAGCUCCUUUUUAAUCCCUUCCAGUUGCAUUGAAUUCAUUUUAAUAUUUUUGAUCUUCUAGUAACCUCAUUUUGCUAUGAAAUUUAGAUUUGAAAUUAUGUACUUAGUUUAUUUUUAUCCAACACUUAAAACUUCGGAAAUCCAUAACAUAAUAACCAUAACUCCGAAUUUAGUGAUUCUUGUUUCCACGAUCUUGUUACGACACAUAGAUUAUUAUUACACAGUUUAUUCUUAUGUUUGGUGUAAUAUUAAUUUUGCCUAUACAUGUUUGCCUGUAUUGCUACGUUUAGCAGUGAGGAUAUGUGUCAUCUGUAGAGCAAGUUGGUACCUGGAAUCUCAAGUCCCAGGCAAGUUGUGCCCUUGAUCACUUCUUUUUACCCAAUCAUGUUCUGAUUAAUCAUAAUGAUCUGCAUAGGUUAAUUUUGAUGGGACCCAAUAGGUUACCCUAGUUUGAUUAUCUUUAUACCUUGUUUACCACUGAACUUUUUGGGUAGUACUUGCUAGUGCUUUAUGUGGUUUUGGGUAUGAAGAUACAUUAUUCAUGAUCACACUUUUAUUAUCUAUUUAUUAUUACUGUUCAUGAUAAGAUCAUUAUGUUAAUUGGAACAUGGAGCGACCACCCGGGAAAACAGUGCUACCACAAGGGUUUAAUGGGACGCCCUUGGCUAAUUAAUUAGGAAAGCUAGUGGAAGACUACCUUACCCGAAAGGGGCAAGGGCAGUAGGGGAGUGGUCGGUGUAGGGAGGUCCUUGGGAUGAUUUUGCUGCGAUGGCGAUCAUGCGAGGGAUCCCUGCAUUGGAGCUUCCUAUAAACUGUAGCGAGUUUUCUGAAGCUAGUGGAACUUUGUAAAGGCCUCGUAGUGUUACCCUGCCUCGCCUCCUCGGUAGAGGUGUAUGGGAAGUCGCGAUCCCUUGGCAGAUGGGUAACAUGACUUGUGGGUAAAGAUGCGCAACCUCUGCAGAGUGUAAAACUGGUAUAAUAGCCGUGCUCACGGUCAUGAGCAGCUCAGACCCUCAGAUGAUUAAUUUAUGGAACUAAAUUCAAUUUGUCAUAUGCAUUGCAUCGCAGGUGAUGUUGUUACUUUUGUUCUACUACUUAAUUGGGUUGGUAUUUACUUAUACUUAGUAACUGCUAAUAAAAUUUUGACCAACUUUAAAAGCAAUGCUCAGCUCUAACCAUCCUCUUUGGUAAGCCUUACACUUCACGUGAGCUCCCACCUUUGGCGAGUUCAUGCACAUUAUUCCCCACAACUUGUUGAGCGAUGAACAUAUGUGAGCUCACUCUUGCUGUCUCACACCCCCCACAGGUCAAGAACAGGUACCACAGGAUGAGGCACAUGGAGGAUGCUGCGAUGUGUUCGUGAGAGGUCUAGGCCAUCGUCUCCCAGUCAACUUUGGGUUGUUGGACCGUUGUCUCCUUAUAAUGUAAUUAUUUAUUUAUUUUGUAUAGAACUCCUGUUAUGUAGUAAAGAUGUGACAGUCGAUCAUGUGCCAUGAUUCAUCAUAUGUGUGAGACUUGGUCCCAGCACACCUGGUGAUUAUGUUCGCGCCCGGGUCUUGGUGCCCCUGAAAUCUGGGUGUGACAUACAGCCUGUCUGACUAACUCUUUUACCCUCUAACUAGAUGAUGAACCCCAAUGGAAAUGAAGUAAAUAAUGCCAACGACAAUAUUCAUACCUUAAAAACUAUGAACGAGAAAAAUGAGUCACAGAGAUAUUCGAUUAAUGGAAUGAAGAACAACAAAAGGAAUAGGAAAAUGUUUGGAUACAUGAUUAGCCCCCCUCAACCACAAGCAAAAGCCACGAAACACAUGGAUAACCAAACAGAAGAAUCAAGUCAGGCUCAGCUAUAUGAGAUACAGACACCCAAUCAACCCUCACCACCUGUUGGUCAAGCAAAGUUGACUCGCAAAGAACUCAAAGCAAGAGGUGCUUGCUACUACUGCGAAAAUGAAGGACAUAUUAUUCAAGAAUGCCCCAAGAAGAGUCUAGACCGACUAGAGAAGAAAGCUGCCAAGCAUGACCUAAGCAAUAAUUCAGAAGACCAACCAUUUUAUAAGUAUGAUGAUGAAGGUUGCUUGAUUAGUAUACAUUGUGGAGCAAAGAAGUAAGGAAGUUCCUUAAGUUUGGAAGAGUUCAAUGUGAACUAAGGACCCACAAAUAACCAAUAUCUCAUUUGCUUUCAUGCUAGCCUUCCUUAAUCUCGAGGACGAGAUUCUUUUUAAGAGAGGUAGAUUUGGAACACUAUAAAAAUCAUCAAAUAAAAAUAAUACAAUUAGUUAUUAAUGAUAUUUAUAGUAAUUAAUUUUCUUUUAAGUGUUUGUUAUUUAUUUGCAUUUGGAAUGAUUUUUGAUUGCUCAUAAUUGAUUUUUGAAUAUUUAAUAGCAUUUCUUCUUAAUUGAAAAUCCAAAUAAAUAAUAUAAUAAUUAGUCCAAAAAUAAAUAUUUUAUUUAAAAAUAAUUAUGGUUUAGUUAUUAUGAAUUUUAGGGUUAUUUAAAAUAUGUUUUCGAAUUCAGAAAAGGAAAUAGAAAAAAACUAACUAAACCCUGACCUAACAUUUAGCCCAUUAGGCCCAUGUAAGUUGCGCCGCCCCCUUCACCCUAACCCUAGCCGGCGCUCCCCUGUGGCCGCCGCCUCCCUGUUCCUCCCUGCAGCCGCUACCACCUGCUCUCUGCCUCUCUCCUCUCUUCCCUCUACUCUCACCCCGCGCGCCAGGCCACUGCGCGGCAACCCCGCCCCGUACACCAUCGCGCACCUGAUCGAGCAACACCCCGCGCCCUGUGCCCGACCGCGACGCCAGGGACCGCGCCAAGCAGCGCCAAGACCGAGCCCCUCACAGCCGCCGUGACCACGCACGCUGCACCGACCGGCGCCUAGACCCGCGCCGUGCGCGCCCCUGCCCCGAGCCUCGACGCGCCGCGCGACACCGACACCGAUCGCGCCAAGAUGCCGCCAACCGACCGGAGCUGCGCAACCCGACACCCGAAGACCCCGCGGCUGUUUCUCUUUCCUUCCCCAUUUCCUCUCCCUCAUUGAAGCUCCAUUGAUGGCCAUCAAUGGAAUUCAUGUCCGCCAUUUCUCCACCCUUCCCCUCGGCGCCUCUCCCUCCCUAUAAAAACCGACGCCCGAGCCCUCUCCCUCUCCCUGCCCGAGCUCUCUCCUCCCCGAGCUCCCUCUCUCUCACACACACUCCUUGCUCGCCCAUACCGUCGCUGGAGACAUGCCCGAACCCCAUCCAAGCUUCGCCGUCCACAUCACGGUGAACCACUGCGCUAGGAACACCACCUCGAUCGAGCCCCUGCUCGCGCCGUGCCCAGCUCGCCACCGUGAAGCUCGCCCACGCAGCACCCCGGCGACCGUGCCCACGUCGUUCACCCAAGGUUGAAGACAACCCAUUAAUUUAUUUUCUAAAAGCAUGUUUUGAAUUUUGUGAUUUUUUGUUGUAAUAUUGAGACGAUGCAAUUCACAUGUAUGAUUUUAGAGAUUUCGAUGUAUACGUGUAGCCAAAAUCGAACCCCACGACAAUAUUUUAAAUAUGCGUAUGAUUUUAUAAUUCUAAUAAUGAACACGGUCACUAUUGACUAACUCAGUGAUUUUCAUACUAGAAAAAGUUUACAUAUUUAAUUACACUUUAGUGUGUGUGGAACGAUAAUUGUUAGUAGUAUUUUAAGUGUAAACUUAUUUGCAUGAAGAAUUAGAAGAAAUACUAAGCCACGUAUUUCCAGUCAAAUGAGGAUAUAGAUGUUACUAGUCAUAAUAAAAGUAUUCAUAAGUAUAGAACUUAAUUAUUAGAAUUAGUAAAAUACUUAUCUAUGUCAUAAUAACCAUGAAUAUGUUAUUAAAAGUCCUAUUUAGUAAUUUACAAGUAUUUCUAAGAAUAUUAAUGUUAGAAGAAUUAAAUAAACAAUUUUUAGUUAUACGUAUAAAUUCUAUUUAGAAAAGAAAGGAGAAAACUGAAAGAGUAGAAUUUAUAAUAAUGUUAAAAUGACUUAAUUAGGCGCUCAUACUUUCUUAAUAAAGAAAAUAAUUGGUAAACAUAGGUUUCUUACUAAAGAAUUAGAUAACUUGUUUCUAGUUUAAAAUGACUUUUUAAUAGAUAUCAUAUUUAACAAGGUUCGUUAUAGAUGUUUAAGUAUAGCCGUGUUAAAUAGAAACUUCAAAGAAUAUGUAGACCAUAUGUUUCCUAAUAAAAAUAGAAGAUAAAUAUAUGUCCAAUUAAUAGAUUAUUUAUAUUUUCUUAAUUAAAAGAUAACAAGGGUCAUUGCGUUUAUAAACUAAAAUGAUAGUUUAUACAUAAUUUCCUUUCUAAUGAAUUAGAUCAUUUAGAUUAUUUGUCCCUACAAUAGAAUUAAACAUAAUUAAUAGAUUAAUUAUCCUUUAUCAUAAUUUAUUAAUCAAACCUAUAGUCAAUUUGUUCUUAACUAGAUUUAUGACAUGAUUAAUGAUUUCAGAGAAUUUAGUCCACAUUAUAUACGAAUCACUUAGAUUUUCCUAAAGGAUAAAAUAAAGUAAUAAGAGUUUAAGUUCUUUUAUAACUUAAAAUGUUACUUUAUAUAUUGACUUCAAAUAUAAUAAUAUAGGCUAUGUGUUUUCUAAAGAAAUUAAAAGAUAGUUAUUUGUUCAUUAUCUUUUGCAUGAAAAUCCACUUAAUAACCUAGCUUUUCAUAAAAUAGGUGUUUAAUAAUAAUGAUCUUUUCACAUAAAACCUAUUUAGACUUAUAUCUUAGUUUAUCAUAAGUGAAGGUUUAACAAUGGAUUAUAAUACGUUCCAUAACGCUUCUAAAAUUAAUAAUGUAUUUCAUAACGCAUUAACCUUUGAUAUAUAACUUAUAUCUUUUCUAAAAUGUUAAAAAGGUUUAAUAUUGUUAUAACGUGUUUUAUCAUCUUAUGAACCCGUAAUAUUAGACAUAUCAUGUAUGAUGUUUUAUAAUAGAUUAAUUUGUUGAACCUAAUAUUUGUAUAUUUUAGUUAAGAUAUUUUUAAGCUCAUGUCUUGUUUUAUAAAGUAUAGAUCACACAUUUUUGAAACGAAUACCCUCUUAUUAUAACCAUUACUUGCGAUGUUUUGAAAAACGAACGCUCUUUUUGUUAGGCUUUCUUUUAGCUUUACGUAUGGUGAAUGUGGUAUGUUAUUGAGUGGUGUUUGUUCUUCUUGUUUGUUUGUGUGAUAUUCAGUGGUUGAUCUAGUAGUUAAGAAUCAAGAUCUAUUCCUAUCCGUGGAAGAACCUCAAGUUUUCAAUAAGCAAGGAAAGUGGACUUCUCUCUCUGCAUACUCUGUUUGAUCCCAAACAAUACAUUUAAUAAAGUUUAUUCUUGGAUAUAUAUGCAUAAUUUGAUGGGUUACCUAUUCGGUUACACCUAACCUUUUCUACCUUAUUCCUUGAUAAAACCUGGGUAUUAUACUUUACCUUCGUAGCUAUGCUAUUGCUACAACUUAACUUUAUGCAGUCACUCCCGUAUGAUACUAAUGUUCCAAUUGGUAAGUUUACAAUAUUGUUGUUAACCCGAUGGUUAAAAAAAAUUAUGGCAUAUUAAUUGGAACAUGGAGUGACCACCCGGGAAAACAGUGCUACCAUGAGAACUAUCAUGGCUCUGGUCUUGGCUAAAUAACUAGGGAAGUCUUAUGUUGGGUGUUGGUCGUGGUCGACCGGAACGGGGGCAUAUGGCAAGAGCUUAUAGUUCUGGCUCAGGCAGAUUGGAUACGGGCAUAGUUCCCAAAGCUUUACCCUGUAGUCUGGACUAUUAGUUGGUUACGGUAGGUGUACCUUAUGCAGUUGACCAUUUCCAACAUUUGUGUAAUGAGGACUCUAGGGAGAAGCCUCGUAGUGAGACCCUGGCCAUUCACCUCGGAAGUGAAUACGGGUCUAGCUAACCCGGGCUAGAAGGGAAUCACGACUCAUGGGUAAAGAUGCGCCACCUCUGUAGAGUGUAAAACUAAUAUAUCAGCUGUGCUCAUGGUUAUGAGCUGCCUGGACUCCUCACAUGAUAAUUGAACUUUACGAUGGAAAUAAAUCGAGAUCUGAUGAUCUGCCAAUGGUUUGUUUAAGUGGUUUCACUUAAGUGUUUUGAUAUACUCUUAUACCUUUGUUUAAUGGGAAUACAUGGGAUUCACACUUAUUAGUAAGACAUGUUUUGUUAAUAAAAUGUUGACCAACUAAAAUGCUUAUUGCUCAACCUUAGCCUCACCUUGUUAAACUUGCAUUAAUUAUCCCCCACUUGCUGAGCCCUGACCAUAAGUGAGCUCACCCUUGCUUAAAUUUUGAUCAGAAGUUCGUAGAUGAAGUUUUGAUGCUGAGCUCCAUGGAUGCUAGUGUAGUGAUACCCCCAGUCAUCUUCUAGUGGAUGGAUGUCCAUGUUUCGCUGUACUUUGAUGAAUAAAGGUUAAGACAUUAUGUAUGUUCGAAGUGUAAUAUGUUAAUAUAAUUGUUAUUUACGCUUUUAUGCAUUGUCCUUUUGAUAUAUUACACUUAUGACAUCAACAUAUGUGUGGAAAUAGAUCCUGGCACACAUAUGCGAUGCACCCGGCUCUGCCCCCAGGAAAUGGGUGUGACAGUUGUUGGGAAUCUAUCAAAUUCCUCGAGCGUAGACUCCGCUAGCUGGGGUAUAAAACCCAUGCAUCGUCGUGCCCCUCAGUUCGUGUGCGGAGUCAGGACGGCCAGCCCUCACUCAGCACUGCAUGAAUGGAGAGAUGUGUGUGUGUAGGGAGCCGUCGCGCCUGAGAUCUCUCCGCAUUACCAGUGCUCCCUAGAAUCCAAGCCCCGAUGUUCUGUUGGACCGCACCAGUACUCGCGGUACCCUCGCCAUGCUCACCUGGUGGUCUGGGUGGCUGGAACUUCUCGUCGGUGGUCGGUCACAGCCAUGGAUCCGCCCAACGUCGCGGGGAGCCCCGUAUCUUUUGCCCCUAUCGGUAAGAACCCCUCUGUUGAGUUCGCCAUCAUCUCCUCUGUUACAGAACCUCCCAAGGUAUUAGGCCCACCCACAGAUGUCCUUGUACUUAGGACCUCAGACAGUCAUACAGGUGCGCUCAAUGGCUCAAUAGGUCUGAUUACCUUUAUCUCCAUCAUAUCGCCCAAGAGCGCUUAACCCAUAACGCAGACAUUACACAUCAUCGAAGUAAGCAAAAAGGAUUACAAUAACAUAAAUAACAUUCAUAAUUAAAAUGUACUGAGUGCUCAGAAAGGAGUUGAUUACUACAUAACGGGUACUGAGUGCUUAGACUUAUUACAUCAUGGGAAGGCAAAACACCUUCCCUAGGUAAUUCUUAGUUCUCCUCCUCCAGCUUGAGAACCACCUUGGAACAGAAACAACAGAACUCAGCAAUUUCAUCACCUAUAAUAACAUGGGUUUGAAAACCCUAAGUACGAAGUGUACUUUCGGAAGUCUUACCCAUCGAAGGAAAAAGACUCUCAAGGAUAUGCUGGCGUUUGGGAAUCAAGGUAAAGCUUAUCAAGAUUGUAAGCGGUAGUGAGGGAUCCACCACGCUGGAGUGGCAAAGGAUCACCUCAUAGUGAGCACUUGGUUCUUGCGAGGACCAAGGGGGAGCGAUACCCUUGCAUGGGUGCUCCAAUGUGGACUAGGGGAGAGUGUCGACUCUUCGAUACCUCGGUGUCACACCCGAUUUUGAAGGUAAACCGAAUGCGAACCAUGUACGUGACAGGAUCAGAACUUCACGUACACAGUGAUUACAUAAAUGACUCAUCAUAGCACAAUGCUUCGAAUGAAAAUAAAGAGUAAGUGAUAAUAUUAAAGACUAGAGUCAUUUACAUAAUUGUCGGCGUUUAGAGACCGGGGGGUCCCUGUGCCGACGAGUGAAAUGUCGUCGCGUGCCCCAGCCCAGAUGGGUCGGCGCGAGACGGAGCGCGAAGGGGGGAAGAAGGCGGCCGGAGCGAGAGAGGGAGAGAGGUGGAAAUCCCGCGGCCUUCGUGUUUGUCCCGCGCCCAGGUCGGGUGCGCUUGCAGUAGGGGGUUACAAGCGUCCACGCGGGAGGGGAGCGAGCGGCCUCACGCGAGCGCCUGUCCCGUCCUCUUCCCCGCGCGGCCAACCCUCUGUAAGAGGGCCCUGGUCCUUCCUUUUAUAGGCGCAAGGAGAGGAUCCAGGUGUACAAUGGGGGUGUAGCAGAGUGCUAACAUGUCUAGCGGAGGAGAGCUAGCACCCUAAGUACAUGCCAUCGUGGCAGCCGGAGAGGUUUUGGCACCCGGUUCGUGUGGUGUCAUAGCCGUCGGAGGAGCGCUGGAGCCUGGCGGAAGGACAGCUGUCGGGGCUGUUGAGUCCUUGCUGACGUCCUCUUGCUUUCGUAAGGGGGCUGAGAGCCGCCGUCGUCAUAGAGCGUGCGGGGUGCCAUCAUUACUUGUCUGGCGGAGCGAGCCAGAUGGGACGCCGGUCUUGUUCCCCGUAGCCUGAGUCAGCUUGGGGUAGGGUAAUGAUGGCGCCUCCUGUUGACGUGGUCGGUCCGUGCCCUAGGUUGGGCGAUGUGGAGGCUCCUCCGAGGUCGAGGUCGAGUCUGUUUUCCGAGGCCGAGGUCGAGUCCGAGCCCCUGGGUCGGGCGAGGCGGAGACCGUCGGCGGAGGCCAGGGCUGAGUCCGAGCCCUGGGGUCGGGCGAAGCGGAGUUCGUCGUCUUCAGGGGCUGAGCCCGAGUCCGAGCCCUGGGUCGGGCGGAGCGGAGUUCGCCAUCUUCUGGGGCUGAGCCCGAGUCCGAGCCCUGGGUCAGGUGGAGCGGAGUUCGCCGUCUUCCGGGGAUGAGCCCGAGUCCGAGCCCUGGGUCGGGCGGAGCGAAGUUCGCCGUCUUCCGGGGCUGAGCCCGAGUCUGAGCCCUGGGUCGGGCGGAGCGGAGUUCGCCGUCUUCCGGGGCUGAGCCCGAGUCCGAGCCCUGGGUCGGGCGAAGCGGAGUUUCCUAUGGUGCUUGAGGCCAUGCCUGACUGCCUGUCAGCCUCACUCUGUCAAGUGGCACAACAGUCGGAGCGACGCAGGCGGCGCUGUCCUUCUGUCAGGCCGGUCAGUGGAGCGGCGAAGUGACUGCGGUCACUUCGGCUCUGUCGACUGGAGGGCGUGCGUCAGGAUAAAGGUGUCAGGCCACCUCUGCAUUAAAUGCCCCUGCGAUUUGGUUGGUUAGCGCGGCGAUUUGGCCAGGGUUGCUUCUUGGCGAAGACUGGGCCUCGGGCGAGCCGGAAGUAUGUUCGUCGCUGGAGGGGGGCCUCGGGCGAGACGGAGAUCCUCUGAGGUCGGCUGCCCUUGCCCGAGGCUAGGCUCGGGCGAGGUGUGAUCGAGUCCCUCGAAUGGACCGAUCCCUGACUUAGUCGCACCCAUCAGGCCUUUGCAGUGUGCUGAUGGGGGUUACCAGCUGAGAAUUAGGAGUCUUGAGGGUACCCCUAAUUAUGGUCCCCGACAGUAGCCCCCGAGCCUCGAAGGGAGUGUUAACACUCGCUUGGAGGCUUUUGUCGCACUUUUUUGCAAGGGGACCAGCCUUUCUCGGUUGCGUUUUGUUCCGGUGGGUGCGCGCGAGCGCACCCGCCGGGUGUAGCCCCCGAGGCCUCGGAGGAGUGGUUUGACUCCUCCGAGGUCUUAAUGCCUCGUGCAAUGCUUCGGCUGGUCUGGUUGUUCCCUCAUGCGAGCUGGCCGUAGCCCGGGUGCACGGUCGGGUCCCAAGUUCUCGGGCUGGUAUGUUGACGCUGUCAACGGUUUGGCCGGAGCUGGGUUUGCGAGAGCAGCUCCCGAGCCUCCGCAUAGGGCGAGAGGACGGUCAAGGACAGACUCGACUUUUUAACAUACGCCCCUAUGUCGCCUUUCUUCAAGGAGGAGGGGGGAAAGCGCCAUGUUGCCCUCGGAGGGCGCCGAACAUGGUGUCUCUGGUGAGCUGCUGGCGGGUAAUCCAAGUGGACGCCCGUGCCCCAUUUGUUAGGGGUCGGCUAGAGGCCUAGAGGCGCGCUCAAAAGUACCUGCGGGUGAUCUGCCGGACCCGGUCCCCUGUCGACGGGGUCCGAGGGCUCGAUGCCUCCCUCUGAUGGGAUUCCAUUACAAGAUCGUUCCCGCUGGUCUCGGAAAUGUCCUAGGGUACCUCGGGAGCGUAGCCCGAGCCUUGGUUAUGUAUCGAACGUACCCAUGGUCAUCCCUCGCUUUGUGUCUGAGGCGGCUGUGAACCCUUCGAGGGCCAGCCUACGAACCCCUGAUCAGUAGUGGGCGCGGAGCCCGAGUAGCCUGAGGCGGCCGUUGAACCCUUUCGAGGGGCCGGCCUUCGAACCUGUGACCAGUAGUGGGUGCAGAACCCACGCGCUCUGAGGCGGCUGUUGAACCCCUCCGAGGGGCCAGCCUUCGAACCUCUGAUCAGUAGGGAGGCUCGGAGCCUGUUUCCUUCAUGAAGAAGGAUCCUUUUCGGUGUAUCCCCCUUUCCCGGUCCCUGUUGUAAGAGAGAGAAAGAGGAAAAAGGAAAAGGAUACAAGAUCGAAUGAUGUGGUGUACCUCUUUUGACGCGGUCAUUAUGGCGAAGGCGAAGCGUCGCUUGCUUCUCCUUCUUGAGGCGCCGCCUGUCUCGCCGCGGAGUUAAUGCGACGGAGCGGGCGGUUCGCGGGGUGGCUGUUAUGCGUGCGCGAGCCAUCCGAGGAACGGAACACGGGCGCGCCGUCUGCUCGCCGUGAGAGAGGGUUCUCUCACUGCCCCAGGAUGGGACGUAAGCUUGGCUGACGACGUGACCGCUACUCCUGCCCGCCUGCCACCGCCAUUACUGCCGGCCCAUUUUUGGCCGUAUUGACCGUUGCGCCUGGCUGGCACUGCUGGGUCGUACGCAGGGUUGCCUCGAGUCACGGUACUGGUUCCGCAGUCGAGGAGGCGUGGCAGUGGUGCGAGUGGCGGUGCAGUUGCUUGCACGUAGCGACCGACGCGCCGGUUGCGUGACGCGUGGGCGUGGGCCCCCACGCUGGGUGCGUUGGAAGUCGGAGGGGCGCGCCCACUUGGCACGGUUGCAUGCCGCCUGCAUGGCUGCCCGCCCUUUCGCCCGCUGGUCUGGGCGAAAGCGGAGGAAUGCUGGUAACCGCUGGGCGGUUGCAUGCACCGCGCGCGACGGUUUGGCUUCUUCUGCUCUGGGCCAGCUUGCAUGACGCGUGGGACCCAGCCCUCGUGCCGUAGGGGGAGGACCUUGGAGCGUGUUGGAGAAGACUCAGCCCACGACGGCUGGGGACGUAGGUAGGGAGAGUCGCCUUUAAAAGGAGGGUGACCCCCUUGAAAGGCGACCAUGUCUUCACGCUCCCUUAUGCAUCGUGUCUUUCCACCUUUCGAGCCCCCGGAUGGGGGACACCCGCAAUCCUUCCGCCUCGUUGUUGGAGGAAUGCAACUCUGUGGGAGUUGGUACCUUUCAGCCAUCGUUCGGCUUCAAGGAUUUUCAUCAUGCAGCCCGGCUGCACCCCUCCGUCGGCGGUCACCCAAGACGGUGACCUCCAGUUCGAUGGCGGGGGAAAGCAAACCGGGCUGCGGCCUCUGCCCCUCCCUCAGCCUCAAGGAUUUUCAUCAUCAGUGUUGGGGAGGGGAGUGUGCCGAGUUGGGGUCGGCCCCUACGUGGGCGGUGGCCCGCUCCUUCCCUCAGUGAUCGGGGGGAAGGGCGUUCGCCGUUCGUGGCGCUGGCAGCUGCCGCGUGCCUGGCUCUCGGACCCGAGUGGCUUUGGAGCCGCUCCCGGCGCCGCCUUCCGCCACGGCAGCUGGAAGAGGUUCUUCCGCCGACGAGAUAGCCGGGGCCGCCCACGGACCGACCUCCAACUCUACGGCCUUCUGCCCGUCCUUGCCUCACGAGUUUGGGCACAGGCGAGGGCCUCAUGGCAGCAGCAUCCGCCCUAAGGUCAUCGCUGCUGCUGUUCGGCCCCCCGGAGCAGAAGUCGUCGUCGUCGCCGCUGCUGGAGCGGGCGACGGCGAGCCGUUCGUCGGUCUUUCGUUGCUCCGCAGGCCCCCCAAUCGAGUGGGGUUGUUCGUACCUGCGGAGGUGGAACCGGAGUUCCGUUUGUAAUGGCAUCUUGAAUGCCAGUCUUUUGUUCAUUGUGGUUGUCGGGGCCUGAACGUGUAUGUAUUUUUGGCGCGGAGCCGUGUUUUUUCCUCAUUUUCGAGCACUAAGACUCGCCUGUUGGUUGUCUGAACCGCUUCACCAAGCGUGAGUCGCCCCGUACAAAGGUGACGAGUGAGGUAUCCGUAUCCCAGAGGCGUAGGAGUCCCUCGGCUCGGUCGGCCUUGCUGUCCGAGGCUUCUCUUGCUUAGUUAAAGGGACCCCUCGGCCGCUCUUCAACGAGCCGAAGCCAGGGGUAGCGGUGUCAGCACGGACAGAGGCAGAGUCGGCUCGAAAAGAAGACUUGGUCGGCUGGAGCCUGGCCGGGUCGUCUGUUAGCGGGACCGACACCGGAGUUGAUCUGCCGAGGCCUCAGGCCGGGCUGAUGUCUUCGGGGGACAGCUGGCCGAGGCCUCGGGGUGACCAGCCGAGCCGCCUGCUCGAGCCGGAUUCUUGGAGAAGUCCCUGGCGGCGAUGGCCCAGGCGUGAUGAUGAAGUCGUCCUUCAGAGUGGAGAUCCUCAGACCGCGUCGCCGUCCGAGGCUAGGUCGGACCUCGCUGAAGGUGUAGUCGACGCCGAGGGUGCUGCUGCUCCCUUCAACUGUCAAGAUUCGAGCCUGCAGGAUCGGAUUAUCUUGUAGUGUGCGUUUUCUGCGGCCGCUGAGGCCCAAACACACCCUCAUCGUGUUGUAAAGUUGCGCUUCUUUUCCUCUUGUUUCGAGUAUCUGGACUUUUCCGUCGGUAACAGAAUUGUCUGUGCGAGCGAGAGUUGCUUUUCGCGGAAGGUGAUGAGUGAGGUAUCCAUAUCCCGGAGGCGUAGGAAUCCCUCGGCUCGAUCGGCCUUGCCGCUUACGCGCGCUCUUGCCCGUCCAUGGGGUUCUGUCACCGGCGUAGUCAAGAAAGCCCGAAGAAUCGCUUCGGCAGGAGAGCUUUCGAACGUGAAGACUUGUUCGGUCCGCGGAAUCACUUAUCCGAACGCGAGUUACUUAUCGCAGAAGGUGAUGAGUGAGGUAUCCGUAUCCCGGAGGCGUAGGAGUCCCUCGGCUCGGUCAGCCUUGGCUGCUUACGUGUACUCCGUCAUUUUCAGGAUCCACUUUCGAAGCAGUCGAAAAGCACGAAAGACAUUCUGGCAGAAAAGAUCCUUUUUCGAGGAAAAUUUCGACGCAGAGGGGGUUCCCCCCUUUUAGCCCCCGAGGGAGGGUCGAGCUUUGCCGAGGCAAGGCUGACCCUUCCUUGAUGACUAAACUUUGCGUGGGAGCGAGGUAUAUGAACAACUUGAAAGCAUCUUAAGGGUAGAAGCGACAUAGCUGUUGGAUGUUCCAAGCGUUGUUGUAGACCUCGCCUUGACUGUUGGCCAGCUUGUACGUUCCGGGCUUCAGAACUUUGGCGAUGACGAACGACCCUUCCCAGGGAGGCGUGAGCUUGUGCUGCCUUCGGGCGUCCUGUCGCAGCCGAAGCACUAGGUCGCCCACCUGGAGGUCUCGGGACCGGACCCCUCGGGCGUGGUAGCGUCGCAGGGACUGCUGGUACCGUGCCGAGUGUAGUAAGGCCAUGUCCCGAGCCUCUUCCAGCUGGUCCAGCGAGUCUUCUCGACUAGCUUGGUUGCUUUGGUCGGCAUAGGCCCUCAUCCUCGGGGAACCGUAUUCUAAGUCUGUGGGCAAGAUGGCCUUGGCCCCAUAGACUAGAAAGAACGGCAUGAAGCCCGUGGCUCGGCUCGGCGUUGUCCUCAGGCUCCAGACCACCGAGGGGAGUUCCUAAAUCCAUCGCUUGCCGAACUUGUUGAGGUCGUUGUAGAUCCGAGGCUUGAGCCCUUGUAGAAUCAUGCCAUUGGCACGCUCUACUUGCCCAUUCGUCAUGGGGUGAGCCACGGCGGCCCAGUCCACCCAGAUGUGGUGAUCCUCGUAGAAGUCCAGGAACUUUCUGCCGGUGAACUAGGUGCCGUUGUCGGUGAUGAUGGAGUUCGGGACCCCGAAACGAUGGAUGAUGUUGGUGAAGAACGCCACUGCCUGUUCGGACCUGAUGCUGUUUAGGGGUCGGACCUCGAUCCACUUGGAGAAUUUGUCGAUGGUGACCAACAGGUGCGUGUAGCCCCCGGAUGCCUUCUGCAAGGGGCCGACGAGGUCCAGACCCCACACAGCAAAAGGCCAGGUGAUGGGUAUCGUCUGCAGAGCUUGAGCAGGCAGGUGGGUCUGCCUCGCGUAGAACUGACACCCUUCGCAGGUGCGGACAAUUUUAGUGGCGUUGGCCAGUAGAAACCUUGUCGGAAGACGUUUCCAACAAGGGCCCGAGGUGCUGCGUGAUGGCCGCAAGCCCCCGAGUGUAUCUCUCGUAGGAGCUCCUGGCCUUCGGCGAUGGAAAUGCAUCGCUGGAGGACGCCUGAGGGGCUGCGGUGGUAGAGCUCCUUCCCAUCUCCCAGCAAGACGAACGACUUGGCGCGCCGCGCCAACCGCCGAGCUUCGGCUCGGUCGAGGGGUAGCUCUCCUUGGUGGAGAUAUUGCAGGUAUGAGGUCUGCCAGUUUCGAUUAGGCGCGACCUCGCUUUGCUCCUCCUCGACGCGCAGUGCCUCACCCUCGGAGGCCGAGGGUACUUCGUGCUGAACCGAGGGUGCCUCGGGCCGAGCUGAGGGUGCCUCGGGUUGAGCCGAGGGUGCCUCGGACUGAGCCGAGGGUACCUCGGGCUGGGCCGAGGGUGCCCCGGGCUCGGACGUGUCGUCGAUCUUGACGGAGGGUUGAUGCAGGUCUCGGGAGAAGACGUCCGGGGGAACCGUUGUUUGCCCCGAGGCUAUUUUAGCCAGUUCGUCCGCAGUCUCGUUGUAGCGCCGGGCGAUGUGGUUGAGCUCGAGCCCGUAGAACUUGUCUUCCAGGCGCCGAACCUCAUCGCAGUAGGCCUCCAUCUUCGGGUCGCGGCAGUGGGAGUUCUUCAUGACUUGGUCGAUGACGAGCUGCGAGCCACCGCGAGCGUCGAGGCGUCGGACCCCUAGCUCGAUGGCGAUGCGCAACCCAUUGACCAGAGCCUCGUACUCAGCCACAUUGUUGGACGCCGGGAAGUGGAGGCGUAGCACGUAGCGUAGGUGCUUCUCGAGGGGCGAGAUGAAGAGUAGGCCUGCGCCGGCUCCUGUCUUCAUCAGCGACCCGUCGAAGAACAUGGUCCAGAGUUCCGGUUGGAUCGGAACUGUUGGGAGCUGGGUGUCGACCCACUCAGCCACGAAGUCCGCCAAGACCUGGGACUUGAUGGCCUUCCGAGGGGCGAACGAGAUCGUUUCGCCCAUAAUUUCCACCGCCCACUUUGCGAUUCUACCUGAGGCCUCUUGGCACUAGAUGAUCUCCCACAGGGGGAAGGAUGACACCACAGUUACCGGAUGAGACUCGAAGUAGUGUCGCAACUUCCGCCGCGUCAGGAUCACCGCGUACAGCAGCUUCUGAACUUGUGGGUAGCGGAUCUUGGUCUCGGACAGUACCUCGCUGAUGAAGUAGACUGGCCUCUGGACAGGCAAUGCAUGCCCUUCUUCUCGUCUCUCAACCACGAUCGCGGCGCUAACCACCUGAGUGGUCGCGGCGACGUAGAUCAAGAGGGCUUCUCCGGCAGCGGGGGGCACCAAGAUGGGCGCGUUCGUGAGGAGCGCCUUCAGGUUCCCGAGGGCUUCCUCGGCCUCAGGGGUCCAAGUGAAGCACUCGACCUUCCUUAAGAGGCGGUACAGAGGCCGGCCUCUUUCGCCGAGGUGUGAGAUGAAGCGGCUCAGAGCCGCAAGACAUCCUGUGACUCUCUGUACGCCCUUCAAGUCCUUGAUGGGCCCCAUGCUGGUGAUGGUAGCAAUCUUCUCCAGGUUGGCUUCGAUGCCCCGCUCGGAGACGAUGAACCCCAAGAGCAUGCCUCGGGGAACCCCAAAGACACACUUCUCGGGAUUAAGCUUCACGCCUUUCGCCUUGAGACAUCGGAAUGUCACUUCAAGGUCGGAAAGGAGGUCGGAGGCUUUCCUCGUCUUGACUACGAUGUCAUUGACGUAGGCCUCGACCGUCCGGCCAAUGUGUUCGCCGAACACAUGGUUCAUGCACCGCUGGUACGUCGCACCCGCAUUCCUCAAGCCGAACGGCAUGGUGACAUAGCAGUACAUGCCAAAGGGUGUGAUGAAAGAAGUCGCGAGCUGGUCGGAUUCUUUCAUCCUGAUUUGGUGAUACCCUGAGUAGGCAUCGAGGAAAGACAGGGUUUCACACCCAGCAGUGGAAUCCAUGAUUUGAUCGAUGCAAGGCAGAGGGUAGGGAACCUUCGGACAUGCUUUGUUUAGACCAGUGUAGUCUACACACAUCCGCCAUUUCCCUCCUUUCUUUCUCACAAGCACAGGGUUGGCUAGCCAUUCGGGAUGGAAUACCUCUUUGAUGAACCCUGCCGCCAUUAGCUUGUGGAUUUCCUCGCCCAUGGCUCUGCGCUUUUCUUCAUCAAAUCGGCGCAGAGGCUGCUUCACGGGUCGGGCUCCAGCUCGAAUAUCCAGCGAGUGCUCGGCGACAUCCCUCGGUAUGCCGGGCAUGUCCGAGGGACUCCACGCGAAAACGUCGGCGUUUGCACGGAGAAAGUCGACGAGCACUGCUUCCUAUUUGGGAUCGAGCUCGGAGCCGAUCCGGAUCUGCUUGGAGGUGUCGCUGCUGGGGUCGAGGGGGACGGACUUAACCGUCUCCGCUGGCUCGAAGUUGCCGGCGUGGCGCUUCACGUCUGGCACCUCCUUAGAGAGGCUCUCCAGGUCGGCGAUGAGGGCCUCGGAUUCGGCGAGGGCCUCGGCGUACUCCACGCACUCGACGUCGCAUUCGAACGCGUGUCGGUACGUGGGGCCGACGGUGAUGACCCCGUUGGGGCCCGGCAUCUUGAGCUUGAGGUAGGUGUAGUUGGGGACGGCCAUGAACUUCGCGUAGCAUGGCCUCCCUAGUACUGCGUGGUAGGUUCCUUGGAACCCGACCACCUCGAACUUGAGGGUCUCCCUUCGGAAGUUGGAGGGCGUUCUGAAGCAGACGGGAAGGUCGAGUUGUCCGAGGGGCUGGACGCGCUUCCCGGGGAUGAUCCCCUGGAAAGGCGCAGCGCCUGCCCGGACCGAGGACAGAUCAACACGCAGGAGCCCGAGGGUCUCGGCGUAGAUGAUGUUGAGGCUGCUGCCUCCGUCCAUGAGGACCUUGGUGAGCCUGACGUCGCCGAUGACGGGGUCGACAAUGAGCGGGUAUUUCCCCGGGCUCGGCACGUGGUCGGGGUGGUCGGCUUGGUCGAAGGUGAUGGGCUUGUCGGACCAGUCUAGGUAGACUGGCGCCGCCACCUUCACCGAAUAGACCUCCCGACGCUCUUGCUUGCGGUGCCGAGCCGAGGCGUUUGCCGCUUGCCCACCGUAGAUCAUGAAGCAGUCGCGGACCUCGGGGAACUCUCCUGCCUGGUGAUCCUCCUUCUUGUCGUCGUCGCGAGCCUUGCCACCCUCCGUGGGUGGCCCGACCCUGUGGAAGUGGCGCCGUAGCAUGGCACACUCCUCAAGGGUGUGCUUGACGGGCCCCUAAUGAUAGGGGCACGGCUCCUUGAGCAUCUUGUCGAAGAGGUUGGCACCUCCGGGGGGUUUUCGAGGGUUCUUGUACUCGGCGGCGGCGACAAGGUCCGCGUCGGUGGCGUCGCGUUUCGCUUGCGACUUCUUCUUGCCUUUCUUCUUGGCGCCGCGCUGAGUUGACGCCUCGGGGGCGUCUUCCGGUGGGCGGACCUGGGGCUGCUUGUCCUUCCGAAAGAUAGCCUCAACCACCUCCUGGCCAGAGGCGAACUUGGUGGCGAUGUCCAUCAGCUCGCUCGCCCUGGUGGGGGUUUUGCGACCCAGCUUGCUGACCAGGUCGCGGCAAGUGGUGUCGGCGAGGAACGCGCCGAUGACAUCUGAAUCGGUGAUGUUGGGCAGCUCGGUGCGCUGCUUCGAGAAUCGGCGGAUAAAGUCCCGGAGAGACUCUCCCGACUGCUGUCGGCAGCUUCGGAGGUCCCAAGAGUUUCCAGGGCGCACAUAUGUGCCCUGGAAAUUGCCGGCGAAGGCCUGGACCAGGUCGUCCCAGUUGGAGAUCUGCCCCGGAGGCAGGUGCUCUAACCAGGCGCGAGCGGUGUCGGAGAGGAACAGGGUGAGGUUGCGGAUGAUGAGGUUGUCAUCGUCCGUUCCACCCAGUUGGCAGGCCAGCCGGUAGUCCACGAGCCACAGUUCCGGUCUCGUCUCCCCCGAGUACUUUGUGAUAGUAGUCGGGGUUUGGAACCGGGUCGGGAACGGUGGCCGUCGUAUGGCGCGGCUGAAAGCCUGCGGACCGGGCGGUUCGGGCGAGGGACUCCGAUCCUCCCCGCUGUCGUAGCGUCCCCCACGCCUGGGGUGGUAGCCUCGGCGCACCCUCUCGUCGAGGUGGGCCUGACGGUCGCGGUGAUGGUGCUCAUUGCCGAGGCGACCCGGGGCCGCAGGCGCUGUGUUGCGCGUGCGCCAGGUGUGGACCGAGGUUUCCCGCAUGAAUCGGGAAGUCGCGGCACGAUGUUCCGAGGGGUACCCCUACCUUCGGGAGGCGGAGCUUUCAGCCCAUCGGGCCGCGGCGCCCUCCAGGAGAUUCUUGAGCUCUCCCUGGAUUCGCCGCCCCUCGGUGGUUGAUGGCUCUGGCAUCGCGCGGAGAAGCAUUGCUGCUGCAGCCAGGUUCUGGCCGACUCCACUGGAAGCGGGUGGCGGCCUUACCCUGACAUCGCCGGCGAUGCGGUGUUGGAUACCCUGGGGUAGAUGACGCAUUUCUCCGGCCGGAGGUUGGCCCGCCCAUUCCUGCCCGAUGUCCCAGCGGAUCGGCUCAAGCGUUCCUGCUCCCUCGUCGAGCCUGGCCUGCACCCCGCGGAUUUGCUCGAGCUGUGGGUCAUGACCCCCCGCCUGAACGGGGACCAUAGCUAGCUCCCGUAGGAUGUCAACGCGAGGCACAUGCCUAGGGAGAUCACCGUUCUCCGGCAUACCAAGGUGGUUGCCUUCGGAGGGACCCUCUAGAUCGACGUGGAAACAUUCACGACUUGGGCCGCAGUCCUCGUCGCUGAGGCUGCGGCUACCGUCGGAACAGUCGGAAAGGCAGUAGUCGCAUGCGGUCAUGAAGUCCCGCAUGGCACUAGGGUUACUAAGUCCGGAGAAAUCCCAACAGAAGUCGGGCUCGUCAUCUUCCUCGGACCCCGAGAGCCCGUAGGUCGAGACGUCCGUCAGUCGGUCCCAGGGUGACCGCAUACGAUGCCCCAGAGGGUUCGGACUCGCCUCUACGAGAGCGUCCACCAAAGCGAAGCCGCUUGGCGGGUCGAGGCUGAAUCCAAGGGGCUUGAGAUGGGAAUCGGUCGGUACCUCUUGGUCGACGGGCGGUGAGGAAGUCACGCCAGGGACUGACUGCACCGUCGUCCCAGGUACGAGGGUGACGCCCAGCAAGCCUUUCGCGAGCGUGCUGGCGUCGUCCGUUUGCUUGGGAUUGGCGUGUUGCGGGGAGACGGUGCUCGUCUUCGUCUCAAACGCGAGGUCGAUGCCCAACGCGCCCCCCAUUGGGGCGCCGGUGCCGUCGACUUGCUCGACAGCCGACGAGGUGCCGCCUCCUGCUUGGCCUUGGUUGCCCCGCCUCCUCCUCCGUCGGCGGGGGAGACGGCGGGGCGAGCUCGAAUGUUGUUCUUCCACCAUGCGGGGAAGACGUCAUCGAUUCCGCCACCGGCGGGCGGGCUGUCGGCCGCCAUUGUCGCUGUCGCACGGUGGGGGAAGGAGUAUCAUGUCGUAGCUGCCGUCGAGGGACAUGAACUCAAGACUCCCGAAAUGGAGCACUGUCCCGGGCUGGAAAGGUUGCUGGAGACUGCCCAUCUAGAGCUUGACGGGUAGCUGUUCGUCAACACGCAGCAGGCCCCUACUUGGCGCGCCAACUGUCGGCGUUUCGAGAACGGGGGGUCCCUAUGCCGACGAGUGAAAUGUCGCCGCGUGCCCCAACCCAGAUGGGUCGCCGCGAGACGGAGCACGAAGGGGGGAAGAAGGCGGCCGGAGCGAGAGAGGGAGAGAGGUGGAAAUCCCGCGACCUUCGUGUUUGUCCCGUGCCCAGGUCGGGUGCGCUUGCAGUAGGGGGUUAUAAGCGUCCACGCGGGAGAGGGACCGAGCGGCCCCACGCGAGCGCCUGUCCCGUCCUCUUCCCCGCGCGGCCAACCCUCUGUAAGAGGGCCCUGGUCCUUCCUUUUAUAGGCGCAAGGAGAGGAUCUAGGUGUACAAUGGGGGUGUAGCAGAGUGCUAACGUGUCUAGCGGAGGAGAGCUAGCGCCCUAAGUACAUGCCAUCGUGGCAGCCGGAGAGGUUUUUGCACCCGGUUCGUGUGGUGUCGUGGCCGUCGGAGGAGCGCUGGAGCCUGGCGGAAGGACAGCUGUCGGGGCUGUUGAGUCCUUGCUGACGUCCUCUUGCUUUCGUAAGGGGGCUGAGAGCCGCCGUCGUCAUAGAGCGUGCGGGGUGCCAUCAUUACUUGUCUGGCGGAGCGAGCCAGAUGGGACGCCGGUCUUGUUCCCCGUAGCCUGAGUCAGCUUGAGGUAGGGUAAUGAUGGCGCCUCCUAUUGACGUGGUCGGUCCGUGCCCUAGGUUGGGCGAUGUGGAGGCUCCUCCGAGGUCGAGGUCGAGUCUGUUUUCCGAGACCGAGGUCGAGUCCGAGCCCCUGGGUCGGGCGAGGCGGAGACCGUCGGCGGAGGCCAGGGCUGAGUCCGAGCCCUGGGGUCGGGCGAAGCGGAGUUCGUCGUCUUCAGGGGGUGAGCCCGAGUCCAAGCCCUGGGUCGGGCGGAGCGGAGUUCGUCGUCUUCCGGGGCUGAGCCCGUGUCCGAGCCCUGGGUCGGGCGGAGCGGAGUUCGCCGUCUUCCAGGGCUGAGCCCGAGUCCGAGCCCUGGGUCGGGCGAAGCGGAGUUCGCCGUCUUCCGGGGCUGAGCCCGAGUCCGAGCCCUGGGUCGGGCGAAGCGGAGUUUCCUAUGGUGCUUGAGGCCGGGCCUGACUGCCUGUCAGCCUCACUCUGUCGAGUGGCACAGCAGUCGGAGCGGCGCAAGCGGUGCUGUCCUUCUGUCAGGCCGGUCAGUGGAGCGGCGAAGUGACUGCGGUCACUUCGGCUCUGUCGACUGGAGGGCGUGCGUCAGGAUAAAGGUGUCAGGCCACCUCUGCAUUAAAUGCCCCUGCGAUUUGGUCGGUUAGCGCGGCGAUUUGGCCAGGGUUGCUUCUUGGCGAAGACUGGGCCUCGGGCGAGCCGGAAGUAUGUUCGUCGCUGGAGGGGGGCCUCGGGCGAGACGGAGAUCCUCCGGGGUCGGCUGCCCUUGCCCGAGGCUAGGCUCGGGCGAGGCGUGAUCGAGUCCCUCGAAUGGACCGAUCCCUGACUUAGUCGCACCCAUCAGGCCUUUGCAGCUUUGUGCUGAUGGGGGUUACCAGCUGAGAAUUAGGAGUCUUGAGGGUACACCUAAUUAUGGUCCCCGACAAUAAUAUAAAUCAAAGUGCACAUAAUAGAAACGUAGCCAACCUAAAUAAACCCACCACAGGCAGCUGACUGGGGGAGCUCGCUAGCCUAAUCCUCGAACUCGCCGAAGUCCUAGAACUCCUGGAGAUCCGCCUCGACACCUUCUUCUUUACCUGAGCAUAGAUUGCACCAAAGGCAACCUAGUGUUUUGUGAAAGCAAGGGUGAGUACACAUCAAUGUACUCAGCAAAUGUCCCGUUUGGCUGAGGUGGACUAGCUUUAUGUGGGGUUAAGCUCAAGCAGUUGCUUUUAGUUGGUCAGGUAUUUAUUAUUAGUGGAAGCCAAGUUUUAGUAAUAGCCAACCCGUGAACCAUUUCCUCAUCGAGGAAACAUCGUUAUCAUCAUCGAACCAAAACCAUCACUAGAAUCAUUGUAUCUUAGAUCAUCUAUAUCUUUAAUCAAAGAGGAUCCCAAGGCCGCUCAUAACCAUGAGCACGGCUGAUAUAUCAGUUUCAUUCCUCUACAGAGGUUGCACAUUUUACCCACGAGUCGUGGUUCACUUUCUGCCUGGAGAGAGCUACUCUCCAUUGACCACUACCUAGGUGGCCUGGCAGGUUAUCACUACAUAGCCUUUACAAAGACUCCCCUAGUGCAUAGCUGCUCAUUAGGUUUCGCUAGUUGUACAAACACAGUACACCUCCCUAAGGUGGGUGACUAACAAAACCAAAUUGAAUGAACCUCUGCACCCCCCCUUGGUAGAGCGAGCACUACGCCCUGGCCCCCAUUGAUGGCCCUCAGGCAAAGCCAACUACACCCCUAGGUUCAUCUAAUUAAUUAGCAAAGGGCGUCCCAUUCCACCCUCAUGGUUGCAUUGUUAUCCCGGGUGGUCACUCCACGAACAGGUCCUUACGGAGAGGUACUCAGGGAAAAUGGCUUGAGCCCCCUAAAAUAUCACAAGAUCAUCAUCGAUAUAACAUCAUCGUAUCAUAAAUAUUCACAUCAUGUUCAUUGAUUAAGUUAAAGCAAUAGCAUGAAGCUAACCAUAAUAACCCAAAAGGUAAUCAAGGACAAGGUAAAUACAAUGCUAGUCAAUCCUUAGGUUUCAAUUGAGUAAUGCGGGAUAGUGAAUUAUAAAGUAAAUAGGACAUAAUUGGUUAGAGGACACUUGCCUUCACCAAACAGAUGCUAAGGGUCUUCAAUCUCGUGGAACUCGAAGAACUGGAUCACUUGGUCGCCAACGCUUGAUCUUCGAUCCCUCGAAGCUCGGAAAUGGAUCGCAAUCUAUUCGCGACGCACAUCGAAUACAAACAAGCACAAACAAAAAAACACAUAUAUAUGCAUAAGAACAUUACACCAUUCAAAUAAAAACAUAAGAAAACAUGCAAAACGAAAUAGAGCGCGUUACUACGGCCACGUGAGGAAAAAGAAACGUCGAACUCGAAGCUACGGUCGAGAAAUUGUAACGUUUACGCUACGCUGGUAAUAGUCAGGACAUUUAAUUUGACAUUAUCAAAUAUAAAUUAUAACUGCUAUUUAGUUUUGAUUAAUUCUGCUACAACAAAUAAAUAAGUAAUAUAAUUAGCACGAGAGAUUAUAUGCGAGGCGAGUUUAUGACACACGAAACAGCACGACAACGUGCAGAACGACACGCGGACACGUACGACAUAUGCGAACGGCAAUGCACACUACAUGCAAAACGACGCGUGUGUCACGCGCGAAUGACGUGUGGCGACAUGCGACAAGGUGUGCGACAUGCAAAACAAAGCGUGAACGAUGCACAGCCACACGCGACUUAGCGCGCUGACGACGCGUGAAGCAGCACGCCACCGCGUGCGGAACAGCACACGCGAGAGGUGAGAAAAACUAAAUAGGUGACAUGUUUACAGUUUACACUAAACAAAUAUUAAAUAAACUAAAGUAUUUAAGUUAACAUUAACCAUGGUAAUGUUUAUUAUCAAAGCGUAAGUCGAAGACUAUACAUAAUUAAAUUGGAAUAUUAAUCUAAUCAACAUUAGUCGAGCAAACAUUAAAUAAAUUAUUUAAAAUAUGUGACCCGACAUACUGCUCCGGGCGAGGUGAGACGCAGUGGCGACGACAAGCGCAUGGGUUGCGCAGUGGCGGGCGCACGAUGACGUGAUGUACAGGCAAAACGCUGCCAAAGCGAGGCAAGCCGAGCGCGGCCAUGGCAUGGCGCGCAGGGGUGCGACAUAGGGCCUGCUCGGCGGCUGUGCGAGGGCAAGGAGGAAGAUGGGACUGAACUGCACAGGAGAAAGAGAUGCGCGAGGCUCAGACGGACGGUUUAACGGAUAAGAGGAGCAGUGGGGCGGGCAGGGCCCUGAGCAGGCGCGCAUCCGCACAAAUUGCGCGACGUGGGCGCGGUUGACUGUGGGAGACGCGACUGGAGUGCGUAGGGCAGUGUGUGGCGUGCGGGUAUGGCGCUUGGCGCAGGCUGGCCGCUGGGCCCCGCGGCCAGGGGCAGCGCACGGCAAAUCGUGGCCUGGGCGUGAGACGCCGCGUGCGGGGUUGACCGAGCUGGAGUGCGGCUGGGCAGCGUGAAGGGAGAGCGCGCGUGGCUGCUGGGCCUAGGCGGCUCGCGCGCAGAGCUAUCCUAUGGGAUGGGCCGCGAGGAGCUGGGCUGCGGGGAGGGGCUUCUGGCUGCCGAGAGGGUAGGCUGGGCUUUUUCUAUUUCUCUUUCUUUCUCUUUUCUUUAUUUGUUUUUUCUAUCAUUUGAAUUUAGCAUCGAGUGCAAAAACAACUAAGCGAAUGCACAUCCAAUAAUUUCAUCAAUCAAAACAUAUUUUCCAGCAUGAUACAUGAACAACAAUUCUUGUAGGGUUUUAUUAGCAACUAUGUUUGAAGUAACAUUCCCUACUACUUGGGAAGAAGUGAAUAAAGGAGCGAAAAAAGAGAGAGAAAAAGAAGGUAACACCUGAAUUUGAUGGAUAUUAGAAAAGAAAUUUUAUACCCCAAAUUCAGGGUGUUACAUUCGGCAAAAAAUUGGAGGAAUCUUCUCAACUUUGCUUUACAUUCCACAUUUAAUUUAAGCAUUUUACUUUGUUCAAUUGUUUAGCAAGUAGUUGAAGUAAUGACUUAGGAUUGUUGUUUUUCUAGUAGUACUCUCUUAUUGCAAGUAAUUUGGUGAAGUUGGGCUCUUGCUUAGGGUUUAAUAUUUGCUUAGGGUUUAAUUGUUGUUGAUUUUUUAGAAAAACCCAAUUCACCCCCCUCUUGGGCAUCGUGAUCCUUUCACCAUAUUUAACUUCGAUUGGGUGAAAAUAUACUUCAAACUCUUGUGAUCAGUAUAUAUAUGACAUACAUUUCCCAUUAGAUAAUGACUCCAAAUUUUAAGGACAUGAACUAAUGUGGCCAAUUCGAAAUCGUGUGUUGGGUAAUGUUCCUCAUGCCGACGUAGCUGUCUUGAGGCAUAAUCUAUUAUUCGUCCUUCUUGCAUCAGAACACAUCGAAGCCCAAUGCCUGAUGCGUCACAAUAUACAUCAAACGGCUUCUCAAUAUCCGGUUGAGCCAAAACCGGUGCAGUGGUCAGUAAUGUUUUCAAUUGUUCAAUGGCCUCAUUGCACUUGGGAGACUAGUUAAACUUAACAUUAUUAUUCAAUAGCUCCGUGAUAGGUUUAACAAUCUUGGAGAAAUUCGUGAUAAACCUACGGUAAUAACUAGCCAGUCCAUGAAAGCUUCUAACCUGAUGUACUGUGGUAGGGGAUUUCCAUUCUAUAAUAUCCUUAACCCUGCUAGGAACAACCGCAAUCCAUUUUUUAGAUAAAACAUGCCCUAAAAAUUGGAUUUCCUCUAACCAAAACGCACACUUGCUGAAUUUAGCAUAAAGUUGAUGUUCUCUUAAGCACAUUAAAACAAUCCACAAAUGUUCUGCAUGCUCCUCCUUAUUCUAGGAAUAAAUCAGAAUAUCAUCAAUAAAGACCACCACAAACUUAUCUAAUUCGGGCAUGAACACCGAAUCCAUUAAAUAUGUGAAAUGGGCUCGAGCAUUUGUUAAUCCAAAGAACAUAACCAGAUACUCGAAUAAACCAUAUCGAGUUGUGAAAGUCGUCUUGGGUAUAUCCUCGGAUCGAAUUCUUAUCUGAUGAUAGCUCGAUCUGAGAUCAAUUUUUGAAAAUACCCGGGCUCCAGUAAGUUGAUCGAAUAAAAGAUCGAUCUGGGGAAGGGGAUACUUGUUUUUAUUGGUAACUUCAUUAAGGGGUCGGUAGUCCACACACAUUCGUAGGGUUUGAUCCUUCUUCUUAACGAAGAUGGCUGGACAUCCCCAUGGCGAUAAACUCGAUCUGAUAAAUCCCUUCUCCAACAAGUCUUGUAAUUGCGUCUUUAGUUCAGCCAACUCAUUGGGGGGCAUACGGUACGAUCUUCUAGAAACAGGAGUCGUACCAGGUUUCAAUUCAAUCACAAACUCUAUGUCCCUUUCUGGAGGUAAUCCGGGUAAAUCUUCAAGGAAUACAUCCGGAAAUUCACACACAACUGGGAUGUCUGGUAUCUCUUGCACUAUGGCUUCAAAAACUUGUCCAGAUACUUUGACUGGGACAGAUACAGGGAUGGACAACAUGAUUUCUUCUUGUCCAUGACUUAGCUGAAUAGUUCUUUGAUCGGCAUUGAUAAUAGCCUUAUUCUGGGCUAACCAAUUCAUGCCCAAAAUCACAUCUACAUCUUGCCCCUUUAUAACUAUCAUAUUGGUGGGGAAAUUGUGACACCCCAGUGUCACCUAGGGUUUCUCUCAGUGCUAACCCAAGAAUCAAUAUUUUAUGUGAACCAAAUUGAGCAUGAGCACCAAGUUAACUCAAGAAUAAAAGAUCUAAAUAUAUAUCUAAAGAAUCAUGUCCCAAACAAAUAAGAUUUUCAAAAAGAGCAAGAUGUUGAAACCCUAAUACCAACCCUAAUCAAGCUAUCUAAGUAGAGAUAAAGAAAAGGGGUAAAAGGCCAUGAAAAAUUUAAAAUCAUGGCUUAGGCCAAAUAUAAACAUUGAAAUAUACUAAAUAAGCUAUAAUAAAGAUUAUGGAAGCUUGGCCAAAAUAGUUUAAUAAAAUCUCCAAACAAGCUUCUCAAGUGAGGGUUCAAUAGGGAUUUCUGAAAUUCAGAAUUCUGAAUUUCAGCCCUUGAGCCUAAGACCGAGCGUGUUCACCUUGAUCCCUAGCUCAAAUCCUAAUGACCCCAUUGACAAAAUUGUGCCUAACUAAUCCCUCUAUCUCAUGUCAGAAGAUGUCAUCGGGACGCGUGCCUUGGACACAUCAAACCCGUGAUCUUCUCUCUAUGCACGGCAGUGAGACAAACCAGAUUUCUCCCCUCUCUAUCUCUUGAUCCAGUCAGCGAAACCUGCAAGCCUCCACACACAAAUGACAAAGGAAUGUCAGAGGAAGAGAUCUCUCCACGGGAUCAUGGCCAUAAUCUCAAAGAUUUGGAGCCAAUCCACGCUUGAACUCGACCUCUCUCUGUGCUGCCUCGUGCUCGACGCCGUGCCAGGCGCCAGAGCGCGCACUGGCGUUCGCCCGCGCAUGCCUCGAGCACCUGUCAAAGCCUCGCCCUUGGCCAUGCUCGCCCGUGCCUAUAAAGCUUCCCCGGGCGCGCCUCACCUCACCCCGUGCUCACUUUCGUCGGCCAGACGCCCCUCCUUAGCUCCGACAAGCUCUUUUCCGCUCGCCAUUGCCACCCUAGCCUCGGCCACCGUGCCCAGCCCAAUCCAGUCGCUUCCAAGCCGCGCCAGCCGCUCGGAUAGCUUCGCCAAGAGCUUGUGAAGCUUCCCAAGCCCUUGGACCCAGCAGAACUUCAACAGAGAGCCAAGAUCGUCCUCGCCGGACGUCGGCCGCCCGCCUGCGCGCGUAGACCGAGCAAUCCGGUGAGCCAUUCUUCAAUUCCUCGCACACACACCUUCCUUGAUCCCUGGUGAAGCUCCUAACCCGUUUGUUUGGUCAAUUGUGCCCUGGAUAGGCCGGACUCCUCGCCGCCGGCAAGCUCCCCUGCCUGCGCACGUGGACCGGCCAACUUCGACCAUCCCCGACGGCGACCCGCACAUCACCGUGACCCUCAAGACCUCCCCUACACCCUCGGCCACCUCACCGGACCAGUCUCGCCGCCUGUAAGCCCCUCCGCCCUUUCCUCCGCCGUGGGUACUGUUUGAUUUGGGGGAAGGACCUCGGGUUAGGUUUAGAGGAACCCUAGGGGGUUUUCUGAUCUGUCAGCGACUCAUUUGAACAGUAGCCCAAGGACUAGUCUCUAAGGAAACUUGAAAACACCCGCCAGGGACCCCGUUGCAAAGUAGUUUUCCUUUUAAUCAUUUCUGUUUAAUCUUUUAAAUAAAUAGAGAACUUAGGAAAUUCAUAACUUGGGAAAUACUUAACCAAAAAUUUUCAAACCAAUUUUGCUGGAUUCUAAAUAUUAUGGACUACCAACUAAAAAUACUGAACCCCAUGCUUUCUGUUCUAAAUUUUAGAGUUUAGAAUUAAAUACAGAAACUAACCAAACCUUAUUUAAUUAAAGAAAAUUAGUUAUGCUUCUGUGCUGAACCUAAAAAAAAUUGUAGAUGUUCAAACCCCAUUUAAACACUAUUUAAAAAUAGUGAGAACCCCAGUAUUGAAAAGUUAAGUAGGGAUACCUAUUAAAAGCCAUUUUUCCCAAAACUUAGGAAAAUCAGAAAGGCAUUAGAAAUAAUGAACAGUGAGUGCAAUUAUUUUUCCUAGCCUACUUAAGUAACAGAAAACCUAGGAAAAAUAAAAAGACCACUAGUCCAGAACAGAAUUAAAGUGAAAUGUUUUAUUUAGCAUUAUUCCAACUAGAAAACAAUUAUUAGAAUUAUAAAAACAAUUUCAAAAUUUGUCAUAAAAAUCCAGUGGACUUGUAACCACUAUAACCCCACUACAAAAAUGAUAACCACCCCAGCCCAUCAUUUUAAGUAGGGUAAACAGAUAAAAAUUGAUAUUGGGUCCUAUUUCAAAAUAAAUCAUGAACAACGCAAAAAUGGUGCAAUAAUGGGCAAAUAAAAUUUUGCUAGAUCAAUAAUGAGAUAGGCCACCAGAGAAAAAUGCAAACCCAUUUGAAAGAUGCAAAAUAGUACCUAUUGCCAAUACUUCAUGAAAAAAGCCAUUUAAUCCAAAUAAUCCCUACCACCCCUCCCUUAUGCAAAGAGAUGCCAAACUUCAGAAUGAUUACUCUUACACAAAGAAGAAGCUAUGAAAAAUCAGAAAUCUGUUGUUUGAUAUUUUUCAAAUAUAGUGGUAGUAGAAAGCACCCUUUGACUAGAAACUUUCGAAAAUCAUAGUAAAAUAACUAGAGGAUAUUAAGGGAUAGAAAUUUGUGCAAAGUCAUGUUAUAACAUCUAAAUGCCAGCAAAAAUAGGUCUUAGAUAAUAACCUACUAUUAAAUGGUAGUUGUAGUUCAAAGCACCCCUUCUGCCCUAAUAUUUGAUAAUUUUAUCUAGAGAGAACUAUUCACUUUUUGAACCCCAAAUUUUGAGACAGAGAAUUAUACACCAGUAAAAAGCCCCUGUAAGUUUUGCAGAAUUUUUGGAAAUUUAUUAAGUUAACUUGUAGUUCAAACCCACUUUAAAACAUUAAAGAAAUAGAGGGAAAGAAAGGAAAGAUAAACCUCGCCCCAAUAAGUUCAACUUGAAAUCUUUACAAUUCCCACUAAGGUUUUAAAAAGAAUUCAGUGGAACACCAAAAUGGACUGACCACUUAGUUUAACCGAGUGUGAUCUAAAUUACUAAGUAUACCACGAAAAAUCUUUAGUAGCAAGACUAAACUCCAUCUGAUUUAAGUGGAUCAUUCACCAUCAAAGUUUAAUUGCUAAAGCACAUAUCAUAUCAUGCAUGUAUCUUACUCAUUGCAUUCAUUAGAUUGUAAUCUCGCUGACGGAGAGUACGUGCUCAUCCCCGAGCAAGGAACUGUCCAAGAGGAAGACCAGGAGCAAGCUCCUGAGGCUGCCAUUGAGGAUCUCCCCACAGCCCCAACUAUUGAAGGCAAGCCCCGGUUUUAUGCAUAACCGUAUUAUUAUAUGCUACUUUACUACACUUAAUGCUUGUAGGAUUCUAAUGUGCACUUAAGUGUAGGAGUUGCUUGAAACCUCUAGUUGCAUGAACUUAGGAUUCCUUUUUGAGAUGGAUACUAGUAUGCUAGGUCGAGUAGCUGCUAUGCUAAUCAGGAUCUUGGUAGAAGUUGAGUGAUUUUUCUAGCACUCGCGCGAGGUCAGGAAUUGAUUGUAUUCAUCUUGAUAACGGGAUCUAUGUUAGUCUAUGGACUUGGAUCCAGGGAGGAUGCCUUGUCCAUGAGACGGGAAAAAGGAAUUAAGAAUUAAUGUGUGGAUUCCUGAGUCAAGCUUUUGAACGUACUAAGCACAUGUUGGGAAAUAUGGUAACCGGUAAACCUAGUACCUGAGUGAAGCCGGGCGUGGACUUUAUCCCUCACGCGACCUGAGACUAGGUCUCCCAUGCUAGCUAUGGUGGGUGCAAGUGCGGUCAUUGCACGGUGGCAGCCGGGGUCAGUGCAGCAUUGUAUGCCAAGGCGGUGAGGCCUGGACACGAACGGAGAAUCGAUGGGGACGGUUGACAUGUGUGGGGACGGAGUGCCCUGACAUGUCGUGUGUUUAGGUUUACCUUGCAAGGAUAAAACUCGAUUUGAAUCGUCUGCUUCUCGCAGCUAAUGACACUGCUUGACCCCUUGUACUACAUCGAGUAAGAAGUGAAAUGAGGUUACAUGAGACAAUUUGUUGAUUGAACUAAAUGCCUGCUACCAUGUAUGCUUAGAAGGAGCAAACUUAGUAAAGCUAAUGAUGCUAGAAAUGGAAAAGCUAAAACUUGAUCUUAGAUACAGUUAGCGCUUUUGGCAAACCAAAUCCCUCAGCCAAACAACUGCAUGGUCUAGAGGUAGAGGAGUAGUUUCCUCACACCGGGUAAGUCUAGCUGAGUAUUAGUAUACUCAGCCUUGCUUGUGGCAUAAUUUUUGCAGGUACGCUUCAGGAUAUGGUUGAUGGUGUGACUUGGCCUACCAUCCUGCCACCGGGUUGGGCGGUCGAGUGGGAUGCUGCUCCGACAGGAGAGGAGCACGAGGAGUAGUGGGCUAGGCCUUACCCAUUUCCUCGCUACCGACGACAUCGAUUAUUCGCUGCAUCUUAUUUUAUGAACUCUAUCAGCAACUUGAAAAACUCAGAUUUAUGUAAUAAUUCAGUACUUUAAUAUGAGGUUUCCUGUUUUAUUAUAUUUCUUCUGUGACUCACCUUCGAGUGAGUAUGUGGUAUUUGAUCCUGGUUAAGUGGCUUUAUCAGACUAGAUCUGAGGGACUGACGGGUUAUUCCGAUUUAAGUGUGUUACGGCCCUUGAGGCGUGACUUAGGCAUUUAAGCUGGAAUAAUUUGGGCGGUUUUGCCACAGCUGGUAUCAGAGAAAAUACCACCACAGAGAAGGACAAUAAACCAUGAAUACCAAUUUUCAAAAUCUAAAACUUGCUUAGAAACUGCUAAGAAUCGUCAGGACUUGACCGCUAGACCUAGGACGAAAGGCCUUAGGGUUAGUGGGAGAAAUAGGUGGCUAAUUAAGUAGGCCAUGUGGGCCAAUCCUUAGCUUUUGAAGGGCGCCCUAGGAGCCCCCUUUUAUUUGCAUUUGGAGAGGAGACGUUGAUUUCAGCAUGCAUGCAUUAUAAAAACUAAAAGGAAUUAAAACUUGAGCUAACCCGCUUCAUUUUAAAACCAUCUAGGCUCUUUUAUUUUCUUCCUUCCACCAUAAUCUUUACCUUUGAUACCCUUCUGCAGAUGAAUUCACCCACCCCCGCCAGCGGAGGAGACACUCGUUUCAGCUCUGACUUCCUUUCUCACGAUGGCUUUCCUUCCAUCUUAUGGGAAGUGCUUAAUUCCGCCAGUUACCCUACGCCCCCUUUGUACACGGUGCAGUUGUAUGAGGAGCAUCGAGUACCUCGUUGUCGAGUCUGGCUGACGUUGGAGGCUCAUCCCCUUCAGCCGGGUUGGCAUUCUCUUGACUCCGAGAUGAUUGGAUUCAGGACGGACGACACCACUGAAGCGGUAGCCAUGAAGACUCUGACAACUUUCUGUGGCUACCAUCCCCUGGAGAUGGUAUUGCACCCCUUGGGACUCUUCCCUGCUGAGAAGAAGGAUGACCCCAUGUGGUGUAACCAUGUGAGCCAUGUGAAAGAUAUGUGGGCAAUGUAUCCUGACUUGGUUGGGAGGGUCACUGUUCAGUGCAUGAGUGCGCUGUACCGCCUUCAGGCCCUGCAGAGCGACGCUAUGGCACACCUUGCUAACAUCGCUCAAACCACAAAGCUCACCCUCGACAGCCGAGAAGAUUUUGUGGUCGACUUAUCCUUCGAGUUGGUGGAGAAGGAUUUGCAGGUGGAAAGGCUGAGCCAGCGCAUUACCACCCUGGAGCAGCAGGUGGAGAACUGAGACAACACUAUCGAUGUCUUGGAGAACCAGCUCCAUUAUGUGCAGCGAGAACUCGAAGAAGCCAAUGACCACCUGGACAUGCACCACUUGGAGAUGGAGGCCAAUGAAGCCGAAAGCGAGGGAGAAGAGGCUCCCGAGGAGUUAGGACCAACCCCUGGUGCCAAUGGGACUACCUCCACGAUGCCCCCUUUACCCGCAUCCAGUGUCGCUUCCAUCGCUCAGGGUUGAUCAGUCACUUUGACGCUUUAGGCGGAUAGAAACCUACGCGAGCUUAGUUAUAUCAGAUUCUGGACUAGGCUUACGGGUACUUUCCCCUAAUUGAUGUAACCCUUGUGAACUUUUGAAAUCUGUGGGAUGUUGUAACCUUGUUAUCUUCAUUUCAAACCUAAUAUUAUGAUUAUGGCAUUUUCUUCCCAUAUGAGAUAAUAGCUUGUCGUCCGAAAUUGUGAGUUGGGAUAACAAUGGCAACAAUCUCUAUUUCAUAUGGUAGCUAGGCAGCGUCGCGGGCAUAACGAGCAGGUUCCCCCGCCACCUCCUCUAGCUCCCACAGUGCAGGAGCUGAUGGCCUAGUAGAAUGAGAUUCUGCGAUAGCUCUUGCAACGUCAGCCCCACCCUCAGAAGCAUGGUGGAGGCCAGCAUCAGUGACCUCCGGCAGCGGCAACCUACUAGGAGUUCCUGAGCACGCAGCCACCCUUGUUCACCAAGGCAGAGAAUCCGUUAGACGCCGACGUGUGGCUCCGCGUCGUUGAGUCCAAGUUUCCCCUCCUCACGGGAGACUGCCCUGAUGAUGCCAAGGCUCGCUUCGCCGCGCAGCAGCUUCGCGGCCCUACUCGGACUUGGUGGGACCACUUCCGUGCUAUGCUCCCCGCUGAUCAUGAAGUGUCUUGGGAGGAAUUCAAGACUGCUUUCAGAAGGCACCACAUUCCAGCCGGAAUUCUCGAUCGCAAGCUGAAUGAGUUUCUAGCACUUAAUCAAGGAACCCGCACAGUAUUGUAGUACGUUUAGGCCUUCAAUGACCUGUGCCAGUAUGCAGGUUACCAUGCUGAUUCGGAUGAGAAGAAGAGAGACCGCUUCCGCAAGGGUCUCAAUACCAAGCUGCGGGAACGACUCAACACUGUCCGGGCAAAUAGCUUCAAUGAGUUGGUCAACCUAGCCAUCUCCCAGGAGGAUUGUAUUGUAGCUCACCGGGCAGAGAAGAAGAGAAAGGCACCAAUGGCAGCACCAUCCGCUCGGGCCCAGAGGUUCAAGAUUGUUUCUCACAAUCAGAGCAGGGGAUUUCAGCAGCAGGCAGGCAGAUGGGUGAUCAGGCCACCUCAGCAGCAGCAGCCGGCACCCAACCAUUUUUGAGCUCCCGCUCCAAGGAACAAUCAGCCUCCGCAGCAGCAGUAGUUCCACCAGGGCAAUGGGAACAAGUGCUUCACUUGUGGCAAUGUGGGCCACUAUGCCAAGAAUUGCCCUAGAAAUCAGCAGAGGCAGAUGCCAGCACCAAAUCAAGACAAGGGAAGAAAGCAGAAGAUACAAGUCAAGCAAGGGAAGCUCAACUUCACUACUCUGGAGGAAGUACCUAAGGGAGCCCCCAUCAUGACCGGUAUCUUUUCAGUUUAUAAUCAACCUGCUUUAAUUCUGUUUGAUUCUGGUGCAUCUCAUAGUUUCAUUAGCCAAAAGUUCAGUGCUUAAUGUCAACUGCCUUUCUAUCACUCAAAAGGUCAUUUAUGAUAGCCACACCUGGGGGUAAAAUUGCAACUAAUCAAUUAAACCAAAGUGUGCCUAUUCAACUGGGAAGCCACAUUGUCAAAACCACCCUUCUUGUUUUGGGUCUGGAAAAUGUGGACAUUAUUCUGGGUGCUAAUUGGAUGACCCUGCACCAAGUAGUGCUUGAUGUAGCCAGCCGCAUCGUGGAAAUCAAUUCCCCGUUCUAUAGGAACUUCACCUUAAUUCUGCCCAGUCAAGGUUCUACUCAGUCAUGUGCUUUCUCUAUGACGGAGUUACCUCUGAAGAAGAUUCUAGUGGUUUGUGAGUAUGCGGAUGUCUUUCCUGAUGAAUUGCAAGGAAUGCCACCAGACUGGGAUAUUGAAUUCGCCAUCGAGUUCCAACCGGGAAUGACACCAAUUUCUAAUAGGCCUUACCGGAUGCCACCCGCUGAGUUGGCAGAAUUGAAGAAGCAAUUGCAGGAGUUGCUGGACAAAGCAUUUAUUCGCCCAAGUACUUCACCUUGGGGAUGUCCAGCUGUUGGGGAGCUUCGUCUUCGGAAGGACCUCAAAAACAUAAUUUAACAAUGUUUUCCGAGUGUAAUAUGUGAACAGGCGCCUUCUGUCUCGGAUCAGAAUCACACGGAGUGAAAAGCAUGAACAAUACAAAGGUUGACGCAGCGCCGAAGCUACACGCAAGGAAGCUUCGGCAUAACAGCAGAAAAGGGGAACCGACUUAAAAGGGAAAAGGCUAUUUAGACCUCGGUGGAUUACCUUAAAGUUAUUAGCAAAUGUAAAGGGCCUAAAUGUAAUUUUACACGGGCUGUGUCCCAUGCCUAUAAAUAGGUGAACAGUACCCCCGUACUGUUCACGAUGACUGGUACCUGAUUUUGCGUCACAAUUGUACUUUUUGCCUUCUGUCAAGCCGAAGGUACUUUUGUAAUUCAACAUUGUUUUUACCUUUUCAUGGUAAUAUAAUAAGAAUGAGUCAACAACGUUAUAUGAUUGUUUAUGUCGUUUCUUAUAUUUCAUAUGCUUCUUCUUUUAUUAAUGCAUGCUGCAAUGAUGAAGGUGUGUCCUUCAUGACCUUCGUCUGAAGAUCAUUAUAUCCCAAGGGGAAUAAUGUUUUGAAGGACAAAGGGCAUUAACAUUUAACAUCUUGUGUUGCCUUGUUCUUAAUUCAUAGUAUUUGAGAACAAGUCCCCAACAUUGGCGCCCACCUCCUGUGAACCUUUUUCGACCACCUUUGGCAAACACUGACUUUCGUCAUGCCACCGAAGAAAGCUUUGGCGUCAGGGCUGCCGCGCUGCAGCCACUGGACCCGAACCAGGAGACCCUUUCUCUUCGAGAGGCCCGAAGCUAGAAGAGGAAGGCCACUAGUCCAACACUCCAGGAGGAGGAGUUGGACCAAGAAAUCAGAAACAUGGAGAUAAUCCAUCAGCAAGUGCAAAGGAAGGAGAAGAUGGCUCGACUAGCUAAUCUUCAAAGGCAGAUCGACGAAGCCACUGAAGAAGUAUGCCAUCUUGUUCAAGAUGAACAAGAUCGAAGGCCCCAACACAGGGAGCUUCAUCAAGAAGGUUUGUUUAACAACGAUGGAUGGUAUGACGAUUUUAAUCAUGCUACCUUUACUUUUGAUGAUGCUUCUCCCUUGGCAGUAGAACUGUAGGCUAUCCCAUGGCCCCCAUCAUACAAGCCACCUCAGCUUCCCAUGUAUGAUGGGCAUUCAGACCUGAAGCAGUUUUUGAUGAGUUAUGAAGCAACUAUAUCCUCAUAUGGAGGCAAUGCAGCUGUCAUGGCCAAGUCCUUCGUCAUGGCAGUUUGGAAUGUGGCCCAAACAUGGUAUUUUUCUCUUCGGCCAGGGACCAUUACUUCAUGGCAGAAGCUCAAGGAUAUGCUGGUGACAAGUUUUCAAGGCUUCCAGAUGAAGCCAGUCACAGCUCAGGCCUUGUUUCAGUGCACACAAGAUCAUGAGGAAUACCUCUAGGCAUAUGUCCGAAGGUUCUUGCGUCUCAGAGCACAAGCGCCUACAGUGCCCAAUGAAAUUGUCGUUGAAGCCAUGAUUAAGGGGCUUCGUCCAGGACCUACUGCUCAGUAUUUUGCUAGAAAGCCCCCACAGACUCUGGGUGGGGGCUCUGGAGAAGCUGCUUCAGAAGAUGGAUGAGUAUAUCCGGGCUGAUAAUGACUUCCGCCAAAGAAGGGAAGAAGCAUACAGGUUCUCUGAAAUGACCAGGGGCUUCGAAGGAAGAAUCCACCCGAGACACAUCAGGUCAAUCCACAACUCCACCUAGAGUGAUGAUAGAGGAAGUCAACAGCAGAGGCCGCAGUAUUCUUCGCAAGCUUCUGGGCAGCAACAAAGCUCUUUCCGGCCGCCAGCUCCAAGAGGCAGAGGCGCCAGGGGCUUCGGAGGAAGAUAUGGGGACCAGCCCAGGAAGAUCUACUGCUUAUUUUGUGGUGAAGACAAGGGCCACAAUACAAGAACGUGUCAAAUCACCAUCCAAAAGCAAAAGGAGAUUGCAGAAGCCGAAGCCUGGCAAAGUCAACCAAAGCAGGUCCUGCACACUGCUUCAUGUCAUUCACCCUACAUACCAGAAUAUGUGGGUAAUCAUCCCGCAGCUUCUGUUGAUUCGGCUAGUCAGCCGCAAGUUUCUUGGCCACAACUUCCACCUCCACCGCCACUACAACCUGCCUACUCACGAGGUCAGCAGCCAGAAGGGAGCCAAUAGACCCAUCAGCAGCGAGAUUUCAGAGAAGGGUCCGAAGCUCGCACAGUUAAUAGCACUGUGCCAGAAUCAAAACACAUAUAUUCCGAGAUAUCCUACCCCUGGCACAGUUUUAUAUUCACUGUCAUUUUCUUUUUAAAUAAGGAACUAUCAAUGUAAAACUAGUUUUCUUGUCAUUUUUAAUUUCCUGUACUAAGCUUCGUUCAUGUCAAAAUGGAAUAUACCUUCGUCACAGACUUAUGAGAAUGCCGAAGCUACAAAGAAAUAUUUCUUCAGGAAUGCACAGCCAGAAAUCGCAGUGAAAUUUUCACCAAAGUCACAAAAAGUCGUUCUUAAAGAGUGCAACGUAAGUUUUCCGAAGCUUCAAAAAGUCGUUCCCAAGGGAGCGCAGUGUAAGUUUUCUGCUCAAAAGUCGUUCCUUAGGGACUGCAGAGCCAAAUACCACCGAAAUAUAAGGCGAAGCGCGAAAAGUCAACGCGAAUACCGCCGAAAUAGAAGGCGAAGAAGUUCAAAAGACGUUCCUUAGGGAAUGCAGAACUUACACCAAAAAAUAAACGGUGCAGCCGAAAAAUAAACGGCAAAGAGAUUUAAGUCAUUCCUUAGGGAAUGAAAGUUGUGGAUGAAGCUUCUGAUGUGUGUGUUUGGGAAUUUAUUGGCACGAUACAUUAGCAUCAUUCUUUGCAUCAUAUCAUCGCAUCAUAUCGCAUAGCAUCACAUCAUACAUCAUGUCACAUCAAUGACAUCAAUUGAAAACGAGGUCGAUCUUCGGGCAAUGCUUUACAAAAAAUGAAAAGAUGCUAAGGCACAAAGUAAGCUAAGAAUCACAACUUCAUUAGUUCUGAUGCGGAAAAAGGGAUUUAUUAUUUACGAAGCAUUGAUGUUUUACAAAGUAUGGAUGAUUUUUACGAAGCAUAAAAGCUCUUCUUUACGAAGCAUGAAAAGAAGGGAAGGUGUUUUUUCGCCGCAGGCUCAAAAACAGUAUGUAUAAAAAGUUUCAUGCAUCGCAAAGAGCUGAAUUACAAACCACUCAUAUAUUACAUUCAAAUCCAUAAGCACUGAAUAUUACAAAUAUAGUUCAGCAAAUGUUACAUUAACAUUCUAGAAAAUGUUUUUACAAUAGCUACUCUUCCUUCAGAACUUUUUCUACAGCUUCGGUUAGCAGCUUAGUAACAACUUCAUCUACAAUAGCUUCGGCCAUAUUAAUAAUUUCUAUUGUUUUCCUUGUCUCUGGGUCGGCUAGUGGGUCGAAUGGCUCUGGGAGAGGGGAUAGUUCAGCUGCGGUAGAAGACAUAAAUUCGUUCGAAGUCCCAAAAAUAAACAACAAAGCUAAAAGCCAUUAAUUGAUACAUAUUCGUCUUUCGAGUUCUGCAGCUCUUUCAGCUUCUUUUGUUGCUUCUCGAGCGUCAUGAGUAUCUUUUUCGCUCUUCUUCAUUAUUUCAUGGGCCAUCCCUCGGCCACCAUUUUCCCAGAUAUCAUUAAAAAAAUUUCUGCCUAUUGAGCUUGCUUCGGCCGAGGGGUCCUUCGUAUCGUCGAUAGAGAAGGCAUCUUCGGCCUGGGCCAAAGUUUUAACAUGUUCGCACCCUGCCUUCUCCAAAAUAGCUGUAACUCCCCUCGUGCCAGAGAAGGCACAAACGUCCCCGUGGUCACUCAAAAUCUCUUCAAAGGCUUCGGCCUCACCGCUGAUCCACUCGAUUACGCCUUUAGGGUCGCCUCGUAUGAAAUUAUCUUCGCUUGAGUACGCGUCCACGUUGGCGAAGCUAGUUUUUAUCUUUUUAACGCAUUCCACAGAUUUCUCAAAGCAUCUUUCUUUUGAUGUGCGAAGUUCUGCAACUGUUUUUUCAAAAUAAUUUUUCCAGUACUCACUGGCAUCUCGAUCAGCUUCGGCAACAACACAUUUUAAUUUGGCCUCGGGCUGUUUCUGAAGGUCUUCAAUUUCAUUUUUCUGGGCCUCAGCUUGUGCUUUGGAACUAGCCUCGUCUUCUUUUAAUUUGCUCACCAACGAAAUUAAUAUUUUAUCUUUUUCAAGACCUUCGUUCCUUAGUUCAAUUACUUCCGAACGAAGGUUGUUUAGGGCUAUAGUGCAUCCUUCGUCUUCGAUAUUUUUCUGUGCCCUGAGGGCAUUUCUAAGGAUCAAGCCCUGCACAAGGAGCAUAGUAUUAAGCAUAAACAAAUGAAAAAAUUCGUUUUUAAGUACAAAAAUUGAUUUUCACACCUUUAUACUAUUAUAUGUUGAACUGUCGGCCAAUUCAUCCUUUGACAGUACUGAAAGCCCAUCUUCUAAUGUUGGGAAUCCGAAGCUUCUGCUCAUCUCCCGGUAGACAUAUAUCUCCUUGUUGUCUGGGAGACAUUACAAGAAAUCCUCUUCUCCGCUGCCAUUGAACACUAAUGCCCCCUUUAGAUAUUUCAGCUUCUAGGCAUAGUGUUGAGGUUCUCGUUCUUCUUCUUUAAAGAGUUUCUUUCCCGAAGCAUGACUGAUGAUAUAUUCAAUAUUUUCUUUAAAAGCUUCGGGAGCAAGCGCGGGAUUUUUCUCAGGCAAACUCUGUUCUAUAGCCUCUUCCUCUGCUGACUUCUCUUCAAAUCCUGAAGGUUGUUUAUCAGCAGGCUCUGAAGGCCAAACUUCGGCGCUAGUCUGGCUCAUUGCAGCUUCGGCUUCGGUCAGUUUUGUUUCGGCUUCAAUUUGCACUUUCGAAGCCUUAGCAAUCUUCCCUGGAGUAGAGCUUGAAGCCUUUACCGUCUCUAGCACAUCUAGUACACUUGCCAUCCUUUUUCUCUUGGGGGUCGCCGCAAGACCUUUUUGUGCCUUCGGCAUUGUCACUUCUGCCGAAGGGCUUAAAACUUCUAAUGUUCCUUCGAUUCUUGCCUCCCCUUCGAUUCUUGACUCCUCAGUUUUAUCAGUCUUUGGCUCAGCUAACUUGGCUGAGGGUGUCUUCAGCAAGGUGGCCGGUUCUUCAGCUUUCUACGUAGAUGAAGAAGUUUCCCCGCCAAACUCGGGCACCAUGGCCGGCUCAAUGUAACAGGGUCGGUGGGUGAGGACUUUUAACUUUUUACUCUUCGGCGCAGGCUCGCUUGGAGCAGCCAAAGCAGCAACUUUUACAGAGGUUACACCCUUUCUAUUCUGCCACAUGGCAGGUAGCGAUAGUCAGGGUACACAAAUCCAAUAGCAUCAAAAACUCUAUUUAAUCUUUUCUUUUUUCUGCCCCCGAAGGCCGCAGAUAGUGCAUUAUCUUCGGACUUGGAAUAUGCUCCAAGUAACUCAUCGCUAGUAUUUUCAACACACUUCAGCCAGUCAUCAUCUGGUUCGACAAACUGGUCUCCAAACCUGAAGGUAUAUUUCAAUCGAACCAGGUCGCCUUCGCUAGAGUUAGUGAUGGUUUCUUUCGGCAUUUCCCAGCUGUCUAUCAGUGGCCAUAUUCUGUAGGCUACAUGUUCUUGAACUAAGUCUCUUGUCCCAAUAAAAGAGCAAACUGUGCUGAAGGCCCUCCGGCAUGCUUUUUGGCUGCCUCAUCAAUUUCUACCUUCAACUUUCGGAGGCUGAAGCGGGACUAGAUGGGGCGCAUGAUGAUUUCUUUAAUGUCUUCUCUCGCCUUCAAAUCAUUUUCACAUAAAACCACUCUUCCAUCCAGGCCCCGGGCCAUCUCUUCUAAAACGUCGGCACUGGGUACCUUGCGCCAAAGCGAGCAACGAAGCUGUAGCAACCACAAUUGUUAUGAUAUUGUUCUUUACCCCAGGGCUUCGUCUCAUACAAAAGUUCAUGCAUACUGCAAAAGCUUCUUGCACUUGGCUCUAGACCUUGACUUUUCACAGCCCAGAUGAAGAUCCCCAUUCUAAUAACUACUUCAGGAGUGAUCUAGUGAAGGAAAAUCUGGUAUGUCUUCAAAACUUCAACCACAAAUCUGCUCAACGGGAACCGAAGCCCAGCUUUGAAGAAGCUUCGGAAGAUCACAACUUUGUCUUCUUCAGGAGCAGGAACGGCCCUGUCUACGUCAGCCCUCACAAUAGACAUAUCUCGAAAAUACCUUCCUCUCAUAUUAUCAAGAUGACUCUGUUUGAUAGUUGAUUUCCCGAAGACUACAUGACUUGGUCGCCAGGGCCGAUCUUCAGAGUCUUCGCCUCCACUCUCCACAUCAUAGCUGUCACUAUCAUCAGUAUCUUCAGACAAGCCUUCCAGAAUUUCUUUAGUAAUCUUCUCUGUAUUCGUUUUUGCUAUUGACUCAACAAAUCCAGCAGUCUUCUCCUCAAGGAGCUUCUCCUCUUCGGUUAGCUUCGUCUCAGCAACUGUCUUCUUGUCUUGAGACAUCUUCUCUUCGGAAAUGACGAAAAUGUGUCCUUCAAACCGAAGCUAAAAAGCUUGAGAGCUAUCAAGCGCUAGUAAGCACAAGUUAACAAAUUUAGAAAAUAAGGCAAAUGGCACAAGCAAUGUAUCAAAUGCAGGCGAUGUGAGAUCCUAUUUAUACGCCCAGCGCACUCCAAGUUGGAGGGCCCCGUCUGUCAUUGACGGUUGCUAUUCUAGCAAAGGGAAGGUGUUUUUUCGGACCUUCGGCUUAGGGCCUUUGUCCAUAUCGCAAUCUGAAUUUGUUAUUCUAACAAAUUAAUAUUGCGAGAGGCUACUGUUGGGGGCCUUCGUCUUCCAAAGGUCCUCAAAAACAUAAUUUAACGAUUUUUUUCCGAGUGUAAUAUGUGAACAGGCGCCUUCUGUCUCGGAUCAGAAUCACAUGGAGUGAAAAGCAUGAACAAUACGAAGGUUGACGCAGCGUCGAAGCUACACGCAAGGAAGCUUCGGCAUAACAGUAGAAAAGGGGAACCGACUUAAAAGGGAAAAGGCUAUUUAGACCUCGGUGGAUUACCUUAAAGUUAUUAGCAAAUGUAAAGGGCCUGGAUGUAAUUUUACACGGGCUAUGUCCCAUGCCUAUAAAUAGGUGAACAGUACCCCCGUAUUGUUCACGCUGACUGGUACCUGCUUUUGCAUCACAAUUGUACUUUUUGCCUUCUGUCAAGCCGAAGGUACUUUUGUAAUUCAACAUUGUUUUUACCUUUUCAUGGUAAUACAAUAAGAAUGAGUCAACAACGUUAUAUGAUUGUUUAUGUCAUUUCUUAUAUUUCAUAUGCUUCUUCUUUUAUUAAUGCAUGCUACAAUGAUGAAGGUGUGUCCUUCAUGACCUUCGUCUGAAGAUCAUUAUAUCCCAAGGGGAAUAAUGUUUUGAAGGAUGAAGGGCAUUAACAUUUAACAUCUUGUGUUGCCUUGUUCUUAAUUCAUAGUAUUUGAGAACAAGUCCCCAACAUUGGUGCCCACCUCCGGUGAACCCUUUUCGACCACCUUUGGCAAGCACGGACUUUCGUCAUGCCACCGAAGAAAGCUUCGGCGUCAGGGACUGCCGCGCUGCAGCCAAUGGACCCGAACCAGGACACCCUUUCUCUUCGAGAGGCCCGAAGCCAGAAGAGGAAGGCCACUAGUCCAACACUCCAGGAGGAGGAGUUGGACCAAGAAAUCAGAAACAUGGAGAUAAUCCAUCAGCAAGUGCAAAGGAAGAAGGAGAAGAUGUCUCGACUAGCUGGUCUUCAAAGGCAGAUCGACGAAGCCACUGAAGAAGUACUCCAUCUUGUUCAAGAUGAACAAGAUCGAAGCCCCAACAUAGGGAGCUUCAUCAAGAAGGCUUGUUCAACAACGAUGGAUGUAUGAUGAUUUUAAUCAUGAUACCUUUACUUUUGAUGAUGCUUCCCCCUUGGCAGCAGAACUGCAGGCUAUCCCAUGGCCCCCAUCAUACAAGCCACCUCAGCUUCCCAUGUAUGAUGGGCAUUCAAACCCGAAGCAGUUUUUGAUGAGUUAUGAAGCAACUAUAUCCUCAUAUGGAGGCAAUGCAGCUGUCAUGGCCAAGUCCUUCGUCAUGGCAGUUCGGAAUGUGGCCCAAACAUGGUAUUCAUCUCUUCAGCCAGGGACCAUUACUUCAUGGAAGAAGCUCAAGGAUAUGCUGGUGACAAGUUUUCAAGGCUUCCAGACAAAGCCAGUCACAGCUCAGGCCUUGUUUCAGUGCACGCAAGAUCAUGAGGAAUACCUCCAGGCAUAUGUCCGAAGGUUCUUGCAUCUUAGAGCACAAGCGCCUACAGUGCCCAAUGAAAUUGUCGUUGAAGCCUUGUAAUUCAACAUUGUUUUUACCUUUUCAUGGUAAUAUAAUAAGAAUGAGUCAACAACGUUAUAUGAUUGUUUAUGUCGUUUCUUGAAUUUCAUAUGCUUCUUGUUUUAUUAAUGCAUGUUGCAAUGAUGAAGGUGUGUCCUUCAUGACCUUCAUCUGAAGAUCAUUAUAUCCCAAGGGGAAUAAUGUUUCGAAGGACAAAUGGCAUUAACAUUUAACAUCUUGUGUUUUCUUGUUCUUAAUUCAUAGUAUUUGAGAACAAGUCCCCAACACCAGCCUUGUUUGUAAAGAAGAAAGAUGAAAACUUGAGGCUAUGUAUAGAUUACCGCCCUCUUAAUGCGGUGACUAUCAAGAACAAGUAUCCUUUGCCUCGUAUUGAUGUUCUUUUUGACUAGUUGGUCGGAGCCAACGGGUUUUCCAAGAUAGACCUUCGCUCCGGCUACCAUCAGAUCAAGAUACGAGCAAGCGAUAUUCCGAAGACGGCUUUCUCAACCAGAUAUGGGCUAUAUGAAUUCUUGGUGAUGUCUUUCGGGCUGAUUAAUGCACCAACAUAUUUCAUGUAUCUGAUGAAUUCGAUUUUCAUGCCCGAAUUGGACAAAUUCGUAGUGGUUUUCAUCGAUGAUAUCUUGGUGUACUCAAAGAACGAAGAAGAACAUGUCGGGCAUUUGCAUGUAGUGCUUCAACGUCUGCGAGAGCACCACCUUUAUGCCAAGUUGUCAAAAUGUGUUUUUUGGCUAAAGGAGAUCAAAUUCUUGGGUCACACUAUCUCUCAGGCAGGAAUAGCUGUUGAUCCUGAUAAGGUGCAAGAAGUAAUGAACUGGAAGCCACCAACGACUGUCCGUCAGAUUCGGAGUUUUCUGGGAUUAGGACGUUAUUACCGAAGAUUCAUUCCGGAUUUCUCUCGAAUAGUGAAGCCAAUAACUGAGCUGUUGAAGAAAGAAGCCAAGUUUGUUUGGGGUCAGAAGUGCAAAGAUGCCUUCCAUGCAUUGAGGCAACAUCUAACCACAUCACCGGUGUUAGCGCAACCCGACAGCAGCAAGGCUUUUGAUGUGUAUUGUGAUGCCUCUGACACUAGACUAGGUUGUGUCUUGAUGCAAGACAACCAAGUCAUUUCUUAUGCCUCAAGAGCACUCAGGCCUCAUGAGCAGAAUUAUCCCACUCAUGACCUAGAGUUGGCAGCAGUGGUUCAUGCAUUAAAAAUGUGGAGGCACUAUUUGAUGGGAACCCACUACAACAUCUUCACUGAUCAUAAGAGCCUUAAGUAUAUCUUUAUUCAGGCUGAUCUCAACAUGAGGCAGAGAAGAUGGCUAGAGCUGAUCAAGAACUAUGACCUGGAGGUACAUUAUCACCCAGGAAAGGCCAAUGUGGUAGCAGAUGCCUUGAGUCGGAAGUUGCAAUGCAACUGUGUUCUGAUGGAUUCUCGCAUUAACACCUUGUGUGAUGAGUUGAGCAAGAUGCAGAUUGAAGUGAUCCCUUCUUGUGCUUUGUCUCACCUUUCCGUUGAGCCAGCUUUGCAAGACCAGAUCAUCAUGGCCCAGCUUAGUGACAAGGGAGUGCAGAUUAUCAAGGAGAAUCUCCAUCAGAAAACUGAGAAGUAUAAAUGUUUCCGCCAAGAUGGAAAGGGUGUAUUGUGGUUUAAAAGCAGAUUGGUGAUUCCUAAGAACAAGUAUCUCAAGAAGAAAAUCUUGGAUGAAGCCCAUCUCUCCAAAUUCUCUAUGCAUCCAGGGAGCACCAAAAUGUACCAUGAUCUAAAGCCCUUGUAUUGGUGGACCAGAAUGAAGAGGGAGAUAGCCCAAUAUAUAUCGGAAUGUGACACCUGUUAGAGGAUAAAGGCCAGCCACUUGAAAUCAGCUGGAGCUUUGCAACCCUUGUCUAUACCUUCGUGGAAAUGGGAUGACAUCAGCAUGGAUUUCAUUGUGGGUCUGCCCAACACCUCUCUCAUCAUGAUUUGAUUUGGGUUAUUGUGGACCGACUAACGAAAGUGGCACAUUUUCUCCCUGUGCACACCACUGAUAAGGCUCAAAAGUAUGCAGAAUUGUACAUUGACCGGAUCGUGUGUUUGCACGGAUUGCCUCGGACCAUUGUUUCUGACCGAGGAGCCCAAUUUGUUGUCAAAAUUUGGGAACAACUGCAGGAGUCUUUGGGAACCAAGCUAAUCAGAAGUUCAGCUUACCACCCACAGACUGAUGGUCAGAUUGAGAGGAUGAAUCAAAUUCUUGAAAAUAUGUUGAGAGCUUGUGCAAUCAAUUGUGGCAAGAACUGGGAUAAGCACCUCUCCUAGGCAGAGUUUGCUUAUAACAACAGUUAUCAAUCCAGCCUAAAGAUGACACCUUUUGAAGCUCUCUAUGGGAGAAGGUGUAGAACACCCCUCAAUUGGUCUCAGCUUGGAGAAAGAGAAGUUUUCGGGCCUGACUUAGUGACUGAAGCUGAAAGGAAGGUCAAACUAAUCAGGAAGAAUCUAGAAGCUGCUCAGGCCAGGCAGAAGAGUUACCAUGAUAAGAGAAGGAAACCUCUCCAGUUUGAGAUGGGAGAUUUCGUGUAUUUGAAAGUAUCACCCACCAAGGGAGUGCAGAGGUUUGGAAUCAAAGGCAAGGUAGCCCCUCGUUACAUUGGACCUUAUGAGAUCAUAGAAGCAUGUGGACCCGUGGCAUAUAAAUUGAAGUUACCUCCAAAAAUGUCUGCCAUCCACAAUGUGUUCCAUGUAUCUCAGCUGAAGAAGUGUGUUCGAUUGCCGACCGAGAUCAUAGCAGAUCCAUAAUUGGAGAUAGAGCCAGAUCUAUCGUACCAAGAGUACCCUUCCAAGAUUCUGGAUUGCAAAGAAAUAUCAACUCGGGCUAAAUCGAUCAAGAUGUAUAAGAUCUAGUGGAAUAAUCACUCAGAGGAAGAAGCUACUUGGGAGACUGAGGAAUUCUUGCGAUCCAACUUCCCCAAUUGCCUACCUAAGGAAAUUGGUACGUAAUCAUGCCCAACCCCUCCUCCUGCCCUUCGAAUCUAAAUUUCAGAAAUAUGAUCUUAAAUCAGAAUGAAGUAAUUAUGAAACAAAAUUUAAAAGGACUUCCUUCUGAAGUUGCAAAGAGAAUGACAUUCGAAGAGCAGUUUGCCCUAGUAAUAGAGCACCCACUUCCUGUAAGUCUCACCCUUCGCUUCACCCCGGAAGGACUCUGACCCGAAUCCCGGGACGAGAUUCCUUUAAGGGGGGAAGGCUGUGACACCCCAGUGUCACCUAGGGUUUCUCUCAGUGCUAACCCAAGAAUCAAUAUUUUAUGUGAGCCAAAUUGAGCAUGAGCACCAAGUUAACUCAAGAAUAAACGAUCUACUAAAUGUAUAUCUAAAGAAUCAUGUCCCAAACAAAUAAUAUUUUCGAAAAGAGCAAGAUGUUGAAACCCUAAUACCAACCCUAAUCAAGCUAUCUAAGUAGAGAUAAAAAAAAGGGGUAAAAGACCAUGAAAAAUUUAAAAUCAUGGCUUAGGCAAAAUAUAAACAUUGAAUUAUACUAAAUAAGCUACAAUAAAGAUUAUGGAAGCUUGGCCAAAAUAGUUUAAUGAAAUCUCCAAACAAGCUUCUCAAGUGAGGGUUCAAUAGGGAUUUCUGAAAUUUAGAAUUCUGAAUUUCAGCCCUUGAGCCAAAUACCGAGCGUGUUCACCUUGAUCCCUAGCUCAAAUCCUAAUGACCCCAUUGACAAAAUUGUGCCUAACUAACCCCUCUAUCUCAUGUCAGAAGAUGGCAUCGGGACGCGUGCCUUGGACACAUCAAACCCGCGAUCUUCUCUCUAUGCGUGGCAGUGAGACAAACCAGAUUUCUCCCCUCUCUAUCUCUUGAUCCAGUCAGCGAAACCUGCAAGCCUCCACACACAAAUGACAAAGGAAUGUCAGAGGAAGAGAACUCUCAACGGGAUCAUGGCCAUAAUGUCAAAGAUUUGGAGCCAAUCCACGCUUGAACUCGACCUCUCUCUGUGCUGCCUCGUGCUCGACGCCGUGCCAAGCGCCAGAGCGCGCACUGGCUGUUGGGGGCCUUCGUCCUCCGAAGGUCCUCAAAAACAUGAUUUGACAAUGUUUUCCAAGUGGAUUAUGUGAACAGGUACCUUCGGACUCAGAAUUACGAACAUGAAGUGCGGUCAGGACGAAGCCUGAACCAGACGAAGGACGGGCUGAUUACCAAGCUCCACGAAGGAUGGUGCACAGCCGAAGCUGUGCGCAGGGAAGCUUCGUCGCGAUAGCAGAGAGGGGAACCGACUUAAAGAUGAAAAGACUACGUGGGCCUUGUCAGAUUUCCAUAAGUCAUUGACAAAUGUAAUGGACAUAAAUGUAAUUUUACGUGGGCUGCGUCCCGCGUCUAUAAAUAGAUGAACAGUACUCCCGUACUGUUCACGCUGACUUGGCAUUUGCUUUUGCGUCACGCUUGUACUUUUUACCUUCUCUCAGGACCGAAGGUACAUCUGUAAUUUGAAAUCAUUUCUAUUUUUCCAUGUUAAUAAAAUAGAAAUGAUUCUAUGAUGAUGCUUAUAUUAUAUUUCAUGCUUUAUAUGAAUCCUUCGUCAUUAUUUGUUAUGUUUACGAAGGUAUGUCUCUUAUGACCUUCGUCCGAAACUCAUUAUUUCCCGAAGGGACAUAAUGCUUCGAAGGACGAAGGACUUUAACACUUAACACUUUUUAUGUUGCCUUGUUCUUAACUCUUAGCAUUUGAGAACAAGUCCCCAACAUUGGCGCCCACCUCCGGUGAACUCACUUCCAUUUCCUGAGCUUUUCGACACCUUCGGCAAGCAUCAGCUUCGUCAUGCCGCCGAAGAAGGCUUCAGCACCAGGGGCUGGCACGCUGCAGCCGCUGGACCCCAAUCAAGACGUCCUUUCUCUCAGAGAGGCACGAAGCCAGAAGAGGAAGGCUACCAGUCCAACACAUCCGGAGGAUGAUCUAGAUCAGGAGAUUCAGAAUCUGGAAAUCCUUCAGCAGCAGGUUCAACGCAGGAAGGAGAAGAUGGCCAGGCUAGCUGAACUGCAGAGGCAGAUAGAUGAAGCCUCUGAAGAAGUUCGUCAUCUUGCUCAGGAUGAGCAACACCGAAGGCCUCAGCAUCAAGACCUUCAUCAGGAGGGCUUUCACAACGAAGACGACUGGUAUGACAAUUUCCAUCGUGGGAAUUUUGUUUUUGAUGAUGCUUCUCCCCUGUCCGCUGAGUUACAGGCUACACCUUGGCCUCCGUCCUACAAGCCGCCUCAGCUCCCCGUAUUUGAUGGCCAUUCAGACCCGAAGCAAUUCCUAAUGAGCUACGAGGCAACAAUAUCUUCAUACGGUGGCAAUACGGCAGUCAUGGCAAAAUCCUUUGUCAUGGCCGUCAGAAGUGUUGCUCAGACCUGGUACUCUUCUCUUCGGCCAGGGACAAUCACUUCUUGGCAGAAACUGAAGGAUAUGCUCAUAACUAGUUUCCAAGGGUUUCAAACAAAGCCGGUCACUGCUCAGGCCCUUUUCCAGUGCACCCAGGACCACGAAGAAUACCUUCAGGCAUAUGUCCGAAGGUUUCUGCGUCUAAGGGCACAGGCGCCGACAGUGCCCAAUGAGAUUGUCAUUGAGGCCAUGAUCAAGGGGCUUCGGCCAGGGCCAUCAGCGCAGUAUUUUGCCAGGAAGCCACCACAAACGCUGGAGAAGCUGCUCCAGAAGAUGGAUGAAUAUAUUCGAGCUGACAAUGAUUUUCGCCAAAGAAGGGAGGAGGCCUUCAGAUUUUCUGAGAUGACCAGGGGCUUCGGAGGAAGAUUCUAUCCGAGGCAUGUCAGAUCAAUUCAUAAUUCCAAUCAAAAUGAUGAUAAGGGGAGCCAGCAGCAAAGGCCACAGUACUCCUCACAGGCUUCGGGGCAACAGCAAAGCUCCUUCCGACCACCAGCUCCAAGAGGCAGAGGCGCCAGGGGCUUCGGCGGAAGAUUCGGGGAUCAACCCAGAAGAAUAUUUUGCUUAUUCUGUGGUGAAAACAAAGGUCAUACUACCAGGAUGUGUCAUGUUACCAUUCAGAAGCAAAAAGAGAUAGCCGAAGCUGCCGCGCAACAGGCUCAGCCGAAGCAGGUCAUGCACACUGCUUCGUAUCAUUCGCCCUACAUCCCAGAAUAUGUGGGCAACCAUCCUGCAGUCUCUGCUGCUUCGGCAAGUCAGCCUUCAGCUUCCUGGCAACAGCCCCCGCCUCCACCUCCGUUGCAACAAGGCCAGCAGCCAGAAGGGAGCCAAUAUGCUCCACAUCAAAGGGACUUCAGAGAACAGUCCGAAGCUCGCACGGUCAACAGCACCGUGCCAGAGUCAAAACACAUCUAUUGACAAAUAUCCUACCUUAAUAGCAAUCUUUUUCAUUCAGUUUUAUUUUUUGUAAUAAAGGACAUUGUUUAGGUUUCAUGUAAUUAGUUUCGUUGAUUCUUACAAGAAAAAUAUGUUUUCUUCACAGGUUUGUGAUAAUAAAAAGGACCUUCGGACUAUCGAAAAUCCUUCGAAGCAACAAAAAGUCGUUCUAAGGAACGCAGAGUAAGUCUGACGAAGUCACAAAAAGUCGUUCCGAAGGGAGCGCAGUGUAAGUUUUCUGCUCCAAAGUCGUUCCAAAAGGAAUGCAGAGCAUACAGCGAAAAGUCAACGCUGAUACCGCCUAAGUAAAAGGCGAAGAAGCUCCAAAGACGUUCCUAAGGGAAUGCAGAGCUUAUACCGCCUAAGUAAAAGGCGAAGAAGUUCCAAAGACGUUCCUAAGGGGAUGCAGAACUUACAGCGAAAAAUAAACGCUGAUUCCGCUGAAGUAAAAGGCGAAGAAGCUCCUAAGGGAGGCUUAUAAUGAAAAAGUCAGUAUUGAUACAAAAGAUUGUGCCCCAUUGCAGGAAUGUGCGUAUCUUCGGCACAAAAUAUCAUUUUGCAUAACAUAACAUCAUCACAUCAUUUUGCAUAGCAUAAUCAUCAUACAUCAUGCUGCAUGUGGCACAAGAAGGGGGCAUGUUAUCGAUCUUCGGAAAAUGCUUUGAAAAAGGGCAAAUCAUGCCAAGUUACAGGGAGAAACAAUAUUGAUUUUCGAGGUAUAGCUUCAGAGAUUAUUUUUACGAAGCUUGGAUAUUUCUUAUCAGAACACUAUGGAUAUUGUCGUGAUAAAUGAUAAAUUCUUCUUCACGAAGCAUGAAAAGAAGGGAAGGUGUUUUUUCGUCGAAGACUCAAAAAUGGUACGUGUUUAAAGUUUCAUGCAUCGUAAAGAAUUGAAUCAUAAAACAAGUAUAUUACAUACAGGAUUACAGAAUAUUACACAAAUCAUAUAUCAAAUGUUUUUUGCAAUAGCACUUAGUCUUCCCUAAGUACUAUCUCUGCAGCUUCGUUCAGCAGUUGAUCGACAACCUGAUCCAUGAUAGCUUCGGCCAUCUUUUUAAUUUCGUCGUCAUCUUUAGGCUGAGGGCCCGAAGAUGCUUUAGUAGGAUCUGAGUGAGGACGGGAUACUAUUACAUCAUUAUUACAGAUCGCGAACGAACUAUAAAAUUAAAAGUUAUAAUGCAAUGAAAACUAUUCGUUAGUACCUAUUUGCCCUUCGGGCUCUGCGUUUUCCUCAGCAGCCUUGGCUACUUCUCUAGCAUCAUGGAUGCCCUUUUCACUUCUCUGAAUAAUUUCUCUUGCCAUUUCUCGGCCACCGUUAUCCCAGAUAUCAGUAAAAAACUUUCCACCAAUUAUGCUAGCUUCGGCCGAAGGAUCUUUUGUAUCUUCAAAGGACAAAGCAGCUUCGGACUGUGCUAAAAUUUUCACAUGCUCACAGCCCUUCUUCUCUAAAAUGGUGGCAAUCCCUCUGGCGCCAGAGAAGGCACAUAUAUCUCCUCGGCUAUUUAAAAUUUCUUCGAAGGCUUCAGCUUCGUGGUCAAUCCAUUCAAUGACACUUUCGGGAUUGCCCCUCAAAAAAUUUUCUUCACUUGAGAAUGCGCCGACUUUGGCGAAGCUAGCCUUUAAUUUUUUAACACAAUCUACAGAUUUAUUGUAGCAUUUCUUUUUGGACGAACGAAGCUCUUCAACAGUCACUUCUAGAUGAUCUGCCCAUUGAUCGCUGAGUUCACACUUUGUUUCUUCAAGUAUACGUUCUUCUUUGGCUCUGGCCAGUUGUUUCCGAAGGUCUUCAAUUUCGCGUUUCUGAGCUUCAGCUUGACUUUUGAAAGCAGCUUCGUCCUCCUUUAUUUUAUCUAUCAAUGAGUAUAAUAUUUUGUCUUUUUCGAGACCUUCGUUCCUCAGUUCAAUUACUUCGGAACGAAGGUUGCUCAGGGCUAUAGUACAUCCUUCGUCCUCAGCAUCUUUCUGUGCUCUGAGGGCAUUGCUGAGUAUCAGGCCCUGCAGACAGGAAUAUGUCUGUGUCAAUAGUUUUAAACAAACGAAAAAUUUUGAAUUCAACAAAAAUAUAAGAAUUCCAUUUGUCGCACCUUUAAACUGUUGUAAGCUAGGCUGUCAGUCAGAUCGUUCUUUGACAGCACCGAAAGUCCGUCUUCUAAAGUUGGAAAUCCGAAGCUUCUGCUCAUCUCCCGACAGACAGAAAUUUCCUUGCUGUCGGGGAGGCAAUACAAGAAAUCUUCUUCUCCACUGCCAUUAAAUAUCAACGCCCCCUUUGGAUAUUUCAACUUUUGGGCAUAGUGUUGGGCCUCUUGUUCUUCUUUUUCUGUUAAUUUUUUCCCCGAAGCAUGACGAAAAAUAUAAUCACGAAUUUUGGAUGCUUCGGGGGUAACAACACCAGUUCCUUCAGCAAAAGUUGGCUUUGUUAUUUUUUCUGCCUCACUUUCCAAGGUUUUUGCCUUUGAGGGCUCUGAGGGCCCAGCUUCGGCUUCAGUAUCUUGCUCUGGAGCUUUAGAACCCGAAGCUUCGACUGUUGUUUCAGGAGUGACGGCAGCCUUCUUCGGAGGGGUGCUUGAAGAUUUGAUCGUUUCCAGCACAUCUAGCACAUUAGCCAUUCUCCUUCUUUUCGGAGUCACUGCUGGCACUUUUUGAUUACUUACUGUUUCAAUGUUUGCCACAGGACUCAAAACUUCUGAUGUUUUGGAGUCCUCGGUUGCUUCCUUUACCUCUUCCAUUUUUUCUGUGAAUGGCGCUUCGGCCUUCUCUUUCGUUUCUGAUAACAAAAUUUUUGAUUGCUCCAAUUUUGUCUUCGUUGGUAUUUCGGCUGUUUCUGUGACUUCUGGCAGCAAAGUUGGCUCGGCUGGUUUUUCAGCUUCGGUGGCCGAAGAAGUCUCUCCGGUAAACUCAGGCACCGAAGCUGGUUCAAUAUAACGCGGUCGAUAAGUAAGAACCUUUAUCUUCUUCCUUUUCGGUUCUGGCUCGCUAGGAGCAGCUGCAGUUUCUUCUUUUGCAGAGGUUGUAUUUUUUCUCUUCUGCCUUCGAAUGGGGUAGCAAUAGUCAGGGUAGACAAACCCGAUGGCAUCAAAUACCCGAUUCAGCCUUUUCUUUUUUCGGCCUCCGAAGGCUGCUGACAUUGCAGUAUCUUCGGCCUUCGAGUAUGUCCCAAGCAGCUCAUCACUUAAAUUGUCAAUGCUUUUCAACCACUCAUCGUCUGGCUCAAUAAAUUUAUCUUCAAAUUUAAAAGUGUACUUAAACCUGACAAGUCCACCUUCGUCGGCCUCUUUAACGAUUUCUUGUGGCAUUUCCCAUUUCUCCGCAAGCGGCCACACCCUGAAGGCAAUAUGCUCUUGUACUAAGUCCCUUGUUCCUAUAAAAGAGCAGACAACGCCGAAGGCUCUUUGGCACUCUUCGGCGGCUUCGUUCAUUUCAACCUUCGGCCUCCGAAGGCCGAAGCUUUGCCAAAUAGGACGCAUAAUUAUACCUUUGAUGUCUUCUCGUGCUGAUAAGUCAUUCUUCACAUAAAACCAUUCUGUCAUCCAAUCCCCGGGCCAUCUCUUCCGAAAGGUUGGUACGGGACAGCUUGCCCCGGACCGAGAGACGAAGCUGUAGCAGCCAAAGUUGUUAUGGUACUGUUCUUUGCCCCAAGGCUUUGUUUCAUAUAAUAAUUCAUGAACAUUACAGAAGCUUCUUGCGUCAGGCUUCAGACCUUGGCUUCUCGUGGCCCACACGAAGAUAUUUAGCCUUAUAAUAGCCUCUGGAGUAAGUUGAUGAAGAUAGACUUCGAAGAUUUUCAACACCUCCACGACGAAGCUGCUCAAGGGGAAUCGCAAUCCGGCUUUCAAAAAGCUUCGGUACACCACAACUUCAUUUUCUUCAGGGUGUGGACAAGUUUUUUCCCCUUCGUCCGCCCUCACAAUGGACAGAUCCCGGAAAUACCUUCCUCUCAUAUUAACAAGAUGAUUCUCUUUGAUAGUUGAUUUACCAUAAACUGAAUGGCUUGGUCGCCAGGGGCGAUCUUCGGAGUCUUCGCCACCGCUGUCCACAUCAUAACUUUCACUGUCACCAGUAUCUUCAGACAGCCCUUCCAGAAUUUCCCUGGUGAUCUUUUCUGUGUUGGUCUUCGACAUUGCUAUAAGAAACCCUAAGUUCUUCUCUUCAUCAAGACUCAGCUUCAUCUCAGCAGCAGCCUUCUUAGCAGCUUCAGACAUCUUCGGAAACACUAAAAAACUGUUUUCAAGGCCGAAGCUUCAAAAUCAAAAAGAUCAGCAAAUCUUAGUGCACAAGAGCUAAAAAUUUAGUGGGCCGAAGCAGAUGGCAAGUGUGCGUACCAAAUGAGUUUGUGGUAUGAUCUUAUUUAUACGCCCAGGGCGUUGAAAAUUGAAAGACCCCACUUGUCAGUGAAAGUUGCUAUUCUAGCAAAGGGAAGGUGUUUUUUCGGACCUUCGGCUCAAGGCCUUCGUCCAUUUCGCAAUCUGAAUUUAUCAUUAACAAAUUAAUAUUGCGAGGGGCUACUGUUGGGGGCCUUCGUCCUCCGAAGGUCCUCAAAAACAUGAUUUGACAAUGUUUUCCAAGUGGAUUAUGUGAACAGGUACCUUCGGACUCAGAAUUACGAACAUGAAGUGCGGUCAGGACGAAGCCUGAACCAGACGAAGGACGGGCUGAUUACCAAGCUCCACGAAGGAUGGUGCACAGCCGAAGCUGUGCGCAGGGAAGCUUCGUCGCGAUAGCAGAGAGGGGAACCGACUUAAAGAUGAAAAGACUACGUGGGCCUUGUCAGAUUUCCAUAAUUCAUUGACAAAUGUAAUGGACAUAAAUGUAAUUUUACGUGGGCUGCGUCCCGCGUCUAUAAAUAGAUGAACAGUACUCCCGUACUGUUCACGCUGACUUGGCAUUUGCUUUUGCGUCACGCUUGUACUUUUUACCUUCUCUCAGGACCGAAGGUACAUCUGUAAUUUGAAAUCAUUUCUAUUUUUCCAUGUUAAUAAAAUAGAAAUGAUUCUAUGAUGAUGCUUAUAUUAUAUUUCAUGCUUUAUAUGAAUCCUUCGUCAUUACUUGUUAUGUUUACGAAGGUAUGUCUCUUAUGACCUUCGUCCGAAACUCAUUAUUUCCCGAAGGGACAUAAUGCUUCGAAGGACGAAGGACUUUAACACUUAACACUUUUUAUGUUGCCUUGUUCUUAACUCUUAGCAUUUGAGAACAAGUCCCCAACACUGGCGUUCGCCCGCGCACGCCCCAAGCACCUGUCAGAGCCUCGCCCUUGGUCGUGCUCGCCCGCGCCUAUAAAAGCCUGCCGGGCGCGCCUCACCUCACCCUGUGCUCACCUUCGCCGGCCAGACGCCCCUCCUUAGCUCCGACGAGCUCUUUUUCGCCCGCCAUUGCCACCCGAGCCUCGGCCACCGUGGCCAGCCCAAUUCAGUCGCUUCCAAGCCGUGCCAGCCGCUCGGAUAGCUUCGCCAAGAGCUUGUGAAGCUUCCCAAGCCCUUGGACCCGGCAGAACUUCACCGGAGAGCCAAGAUCGUCCUCGCCGGACUUCGGCCGCCCGCCUGCGCGCGUAGACCGAGCAAUCUGGUGAGCCGUUCUUCAAUUCCUCGCACACACACCUCCGUUGAUCCCUAGUGAAGCUCUCUGACCCGUUUGUUUGGUCAAUUGUGCCCUGGAUAGGCCAGACUCCUCGCCGCCGACGAGCUCCCCGCCUACGCACGUGGACCGGCCAACUCCGACCAUCCCCGACGGCGACCCGCACAUCCCCGUGACCCUCAGGACCUCCCCUACACCCUCGGCCACCUCAUCGGAGCAGUCUCGCCGCUGGUAAGCCCCUCCGCCCUUUCCUCCGCCACGGGUACUGUUUGAUUUGGGGGAAGGACCUCGGGUUAGGUUUAGAGGAACCCCAGGGGGUUUUCUGAACUGUCAGCGACUCAUUUGAACAGUAGCCCAAGGACUAGUCUGUAAGGAAACCUGAAAACACCCGCUAGGGACCCCGUUGCAAAGUAGUUUUCCUUUUAAUCAUUUCUGUUUAAUCUUUUAAAUAAACAGAGAACUUAGGAAAUUCAUAACUUGAGAAAUACUUAACCAAAAUAUGUCAAACCAAUUUUGCUGGAUUCUAAAUAUUAUGGACUACCAACUAAAAAUACUGAACUCCAUGCUCUCUGCCCUAAAUUUUAGAGUUUAGAAUUAAAUAGAGAAAUUGACCAAACCUUAUUUAAUUAAAGAAAAUUAGUUAUGCUUAUGUGCUGAACCUAAUUUUUUUUGUAGAUGUUCAAACCCCAUUUAAACACUAUUUAAAAAUAGUGAGAACCCCAAUAUUGAAAAUUUAAGUAGGGAUACCUAUUAAAAGCCAUUUUUGCCCAAAACUUAGAAAAAUCAGAAAGGCAUUAGAAAAUAAUGAACAGUGAGUGCAAUUAUUUUUCCUAGCCUACUUAAGUAACAGAGAACCUAGAAAAAAUAAAAAGACCACUAGUCCAGAACAGAAUUAAAGUGAAAUAUUUUAUUUAGCAUUAUUCCAACUAGAAAACAAUUAUUAGAAUUAUAAAAAACAAUUUCAAAAUUUGUCAUAAAAAUCCAGUGGACUUGUAACCACUAUAACCCCACUACAAAAAUGAUAACCACCCCAACCCAUCAUUUUAAGUAGGGUAAACAAAUAAAACUUGAUAUUGGGUCCUAUUUCAAAAUAAAUCAUGAACAACCCAUAAAUGGUGCAAUAAUGGGCAAAUAAAAUUUUGCUAGAUCAAUAAUGAGAUAGGCCACCAGAGAAAAAUGCAAAGCCAUUUGAAAGAUGCAAAAUAAUACAUAUUGCCAAUACUUCAUGAAAAAGGCCAUUUAAUCCAAAUAAUCCCUACCACCCCUCCCUUAAGCAAAGAGAUGCCAAACUUUAGAAUGAUUGCUCUUGCACAAAGAAGAAGCAAGGAAAAAUCAGAAAUUUAUUGUUUGAUAUUUUUCAAAUAUAGUGGUAGUAGAAAGCACCCCUUUGACUAGAAACUUUAGAAAAUCAUAGUAAAAUAACUAGAGCAUAUUAAGGGCUAGAAUUUUGUGCAAAGUCAUGUUAUAACAUCUAAAUGCCAGCAAAAAUAAGUCUUAGAUAAUAACCUACUGUUAAAUGGUAGUUGUAGUUCAAAGCACCCCUUCUGCCCUAAUAUUUGAUAAUUGUAUCUAGAGAGAACUAUUCACUUUUUGAACCCCAAAUUUUGAGGCAGAGCAUUAUACACCAGUAAGAAGCCCCUGUAAUUUUUGCAGAAUUGUAGGAAAUUUAUUAAGUUAACUAGUAGUUCAAACCCACUUUAAAAACAUAAAAGAAAUAGAGGGAAAGAAAGGAAAGAUAAACCUCGCCCCAAUAAGUUCAACUUGAAAUCUUGACAAUUCCCACUAAGGUUUUAAAAAGAAUUCAGUGGAACACCAAAAUGGACUGACCACUUAGUUUAACUGAGUGUGAUCUAAAUUACUAAGUAUACCACCAAAAAUCUUUAGUAGCAAGACUAAACUCCAUCUGAUUUAAGUGGAUCAUUCACCAUCAAAGUUUAAUUGCUAAAGCAUAUAUCAUAUCAUGCAUGUAUCUUACUCAUUACAUUCAUUAGAUUGUAAUCUCGCUGACGGAGAGUACGUGCUCAUCCCGGAGCAAGGAACUGUCCAAGAGGAAGACCAAGAGCAAGCUCCCGAGGCUGCCAUCGAGGAUCUCCCCGCAGCCCCAGCUAUUGAAGGCAAGCUCCGGUUUUAUGCAUAACCAUAUUAUUAUAUGCUACUUUACUACACUUAAUGCUUGUAUGAUUGUAAUGUGCACUUAAGUGUAGGAGUUGCUUGAAACCUCUAGUUGCAUGAACUUAGGAUUCCUUUUUGAGAUGAUACUAGUAUGCUAGGUCGAGUAGCUGCUAUGCUAAUCAGGAUCUCGGUAGAAGUCGAGUGAUUUUUCUAGCACUCGCGCGAGGUCAGGAAUUGAUUGUAUUCAUCUUGAUAACGGGAUCUAUGUUAGUCUAUGGACUUGGAUCCAGAGAGGAUGCCUUGUCCAUUGUGGCAGAACCUCCCAAUGUAUCGGGCCCACAUGCACCUGUCCUUGUCUCAAAGAACUCAGACGGCCAUGCAUGUGCACCAGAUAACUUAACAGGAUCCGUCCGAUUGCCCCACGGACACCGGAUAAACCACUUACAACCAGAACCGCGGGAUUAAGUAAUACAAAUCACACACACCAAUAUUUUGCAGCGGAAAUCUUAUUACCAAAUUUUACAAGUUACAAAAAUUUUACUUCGUACAUGAUCAGAGUAAUUACUACAUUGAUUCAAAGAAAGAAACUUUGAACGACAUAUGUUUCUCGUAAACCUUGAUGUCUACUAUUCCCACGGAUCCUCCACUGCAUGAACAGGUCCGCUCCACCCGAGAGCACACCACCCUUUUUAGGCGAUCCUUUGCCAGGAGGGUACGUGCCACUCUCGCCAUCUCUCCACUCCCAGUGCGCGAUUGUCUUUUCAUGCAUGGAAUAGCCGGGUUCAAGCUUACCCUGUCCCAUUCCCAGGGCAUGUGGCUAGAUAAGAUAGUCCUUGAUCAACAGGCCUACAUACGCAUCCAAUCCUUAAUUGACCCGAGCGGAGCAUCACCUGUUCCUAGCCCAAGUCUCGAUUUAAGUACUUCCAUCCUUAGGAUUGUUUCUGUUCCUUAGGAUGAAAAGAGCAUCACAGGGAACUUUGCAGUAAGAUCCCACCAUUGCUCCAAAUGAAAAUAUUCUUGCAGGUAGAAGUCAUCCUUUCUCGAGCUAGGCUAAGGACAACCUCUAUCCACAAGAUCUAAGCAGGGCUAAGCAUUUUUGUAAAUCAUAUUUUGAUACUUCACCAGAAGUAUCUAUAAAGGUAUGGAUAUCAAGGAAAGCAAUGCAUCAAAGGGUUCCAAGCAACUUCUAUGAACCUAAUGCACAUUUCACUAGACUUAAAGUGUGCGAAAAUUAUUUAAAAACACAAGGAAAGGGGUUGCAUGCACCGGGGCUUGCCUGGAAUAAACACUAUGUUAGUGUUGGUUAGACGACGUCUGCUUGACGAUCAUCUUCAGGUUUGUCCAUCAGCAUCAUCCUGUGAAGUAGCCCGUGCUUGGGGUCGACUUGGGUCGUCUUCUGCAUCGCGCGAUUAAUUAACGUACCUGAAUGGAAUGCAUUAUGCACAUGAAUGCAUAUAGACUGGAAUAUUUCAAACCUAAAUAUUACUACGCGAUAGCGAAUUAAACACCUAGCGGCGAGGCGUUGUACAAUUUUAUACCAAAGACACUAGUUAUUAAUAUACGACUACACGUAAUAAUUACGCUUCUCGAACCUAACGCAAACAUCACGAACAACAAACUAUACACAUAAAAUACAAUUAGCCUAAUCACAACUUAUCAAUUAAUUAAUUAAAUUCUAAACUUAUCCCUUACUUUAUAAAUUAUACUACAUCUUUAUAAGUGAUUAAAAUAUUUCAUCAGCACACAUGUCUACUAAAAUUCUACUCGGGACACUAAUUCAACUAAUUGACCUGAAUAGCGAAAUAACUCGCUAUAACUGAAUCUGGCUCAAUAAUCACAAGAACUGCGAAGUCGACGAGAGUUUCGUGACUUGCGCAAUUUAUCGAGCACCCUAAUGAGCCUCGCACUAACACAUUAAUUUAUUCAACGAUCGAACUAAACUGAAUAAUCUAUCAGCUUACCGUUUCCACAGCUGGCAUGAAUCCACGAGAUCGGUAGCGAUUUUCCGAUCGAGGAAAUUUGUCGAGCGCUUAGGGAAUAUCGCGCUGCUGGCUACGUCUUCAUCCGACGCUUGAGAUUUCUUGAUGACACACGAAACGAUGAAGAGAUUGUGUUUGGAGCGAGCUGGUGAGGUGGGGAUCGAACAGGGGAUGACAGCUUCGACGAUGAUAUAGGAGGGUGGCAUAUAUAGAGCUGCACACACGACGCGACGAACUAAGUCGCGAGGUCGGCCGACAAGGGAUUUCAAGGAACACGACGGUCAGUCGGCGAGCUGGCAAGUUCGGAUAGGGACGGCUGACGUGAGGACCAUGACGAAUAUGAAAUUGAUGACCGACCAAAAUACGAUUGAUGAGUUGAGCAACUCCGAUGAUUUGAUGGCAGUCGCGACAGCGAACAGGAAGACGCGCGAAAGCGCCAGCGAGCAGGGAAAAUUCGCGCGCACAACAGACGAGCUGACACGCGCAACAGGGGCGAGCAGCAGGCGCGGACAGGCGGAGACGGCUCGGUCCGAGCUGGGCGAGAUCCGGCCAGAACCGAGGAGCGCGGCUGCGCGCAGAGGACAGGGAAAUGCGGCGAUGAAGCACCAUAGCUGGAGCAAGAGCGAGACGCGAACUAGGCGACGGCAGCGCGCAAGGACGAUCUUGGCUAGGGGAAAAGCUCCGCGCGCAGGGAUCCGAGCUGAAAGGAGCCGGGGAAGAUGGACGCAGAACGCCGAACAGAGACUGGAGCAGAGACCGAGCUCGACGCACGCAGGGAGAAAGACACGCCAUGGAUAGGGAGCUCGGCAGGGAAGAACGUCGGCUGACGGCUGGCCCAGGGAGUCGCGGACGAAGGAUCUCCAUGCCCAGACGCAGGGAACAGCGGCGUAGAAGAGCAGAGACGCGGGCGGCCGAGCGCAGAGGAAGAGACUGAGCUGGGGCUGCGCGCGCGCUGGAAAAUCGCUCGGCAGAGAGGACGGACAGGGAGCUCCGAGCAGAGCAGUGCGCAGGGAGCAGGGCGCUCGCCAGGGAUGGAGCUCCGAGCACCGAACUGCGGCCGGAACCAAAGGCACUGCGAGCAGACAGCCAUGGGAGGGACCUCGCUGACUGAGCGAGCUGGAAGAGAGAAGCAAGGGGAGGGCGCAGGGAAGAACCACGGCUUGGAGAAGAUAAAGGCAGGGAGAUGGAUCGAGCGAUGGAUAGGGCCACAACCUGUACAGGUUCAAGCACAUUCCAGCAAUAAAAAUCAAGGACUGAUACGCAGAAGACUUAUCCAGUGGAGUGAGCGCGCGGGAAAAUCUAUAGGGGCGGCGGUGGGGAUAGAGGCGGCGGGGCGGCGUCAGGAUAGCGUCGAGGAGAUUUUCUUCAGGUUAGAUUUUUCUUUUCAUUUUCUCUCUUUAUUUUUAGAAAAAAAAUUUGCAGAUAUUUUAGUCGACGUUCGAUUUAGUUGAAUUUAGACGAAUUUUGUUCGCUACUCAAAUACUCGACUAGAGAACAAUUCAAUUGAAAUCCGUAGACGCGAUAUUACGAAUAACAAAAAGGGGAUUAAAUUAUUUUGCACUGAAAAUUUAGUCGCCGAGUUCUUCUUAAUCUGUUCGGGAUAAAAUCAUCCGAGUGGGUCGGGCUUCCGAAUUCGUAUUCGCGCGAGCGAUGAAUUUUAAAUAAUCACCGGACGCACCGAUUUUCGGGACAACUAUGUUCCGAGCAUCACGAAAAUUUAGGAAGAGCCCGAAUAAGUAGAAGUAAAAAUGAUGUCGCACUCACGAUAAAUGGAACAGAUGCGAUAUUAAAAUCGCGAUAAGCGAAAAUAAUUAGACCUUAGUGUUCGUCUUAUACACUGAUAUCACGUGCUUAAAUUCGUACUCGUUGUCGAGCGGAAUAUAAACACCUGGGGUGUUACAGCCCUCCCCCAUUAAAAGAAUCUCGUCCCGAGAUUCAGAGCGAAAGACUUCUAAGAGUAGAGAAGCAUGUAACCCAUGUCCAUAUCAGCGUUAAUCAUAAGACAAUCCAAGUAAAGGCGAAUGACUCCGGAUAUGGUUUCUCUAGUUGACAUAGCAUGUAUCGCCACAAGCUAAUUUAAAGAUGUCCAUCAAUAGAGAUGAUGCUUGUCAGAGGAACAGAUAAGGUUCCAUGUGUGCAAUUUGCUUUUUCUUAUGACAUUGUACUAUCUGAGUCUGUUGGGCGAGCGGUAGAUAUGCGACUUUACCCAAACAGAAUCAGAUACACCAUCUUGGGUAAAACACACAGAAGGAGGUUUACCAACAAGUGGUCAUAGUAAGUUUAUAGCACAUGAGACGGGUGUGGACGUCGAAUACUAUCGCGGUUAACGUAUGGCUAACCAGAGAAUUCAAGUCCACGAAAGGGUAUAGAUUCGAGAGAAUCACCAGCGGAGGGAUCUGUAGAUACGGACUUUACAACCAGUCCAUUCUAGCAAGCACUAACCAUGGCUCGACUUGAUCACACAUGCUGGAAAAGCACACGCGAGGCGAUCGAGGCACGACUAGAGUGAUGAUUAGAUGGUUACUGGUCGACUUAAUUUGAUUUUGUUAAGUACUUUCUUUAGGGUGGGUUGAACCAAAGUGAGUUUAGACAACUCGAUAAAAUGAUCUCUAAACUCAGCCUUCGUUCAUUGAGCAGUUACAAGUUAGUCAAAACCAACUUGUUGAACUACUUUUGACAUUAAGCAAAUCCUCUCAGUACCAUUGGUAAGCCAAGGGUUGAGAGUUCACUCAUACUAACAGUUGAUCAUGCACUUGGGCAGAAAUCCAUUUGGUCAGGUUGUUCAUCCGUUUCUUCAUGUGAGAUGAAUUAUCCGCUUGGUUAGGGAAUACUUGGAUUAAAUAAGAGAGCGAAUGAACAAACUCCUGCAUCACAACAGCAGGGAAAAAUCAAUCUUCAUUUUGAGAGCUAAUCAGUUGUCUCUCGACACUAAAAAGCUCCAAGGCUUCACCUUUACACAAAGGAUGUAAAGGGAACUUGUAUGAGUAGUCACCAUCAAAGUAAAGGGACAAGAGACCACACAUUAAAGGGGUAUGCCCUUUUGAUCCAACAGAGAUGAUAGAUGUUGCUUGAUCACUUGACAAACAACAUAGAAAUUGUUUCAAGGAAGUAGUUUACGGAAGAUAACACAUCAGUGUAGUUCCACAAUGGAUCAUGACCAGAGACCUUGAUACCAGCAUCCGACGAGUAGCACAGUCCUGUGUGCGCAUUCACAGGAGGCUCUCAGUUUCGCCGCGGCACCAUAAGUCAUUAACCAUGACACCAAUGGAUUAGGCAAGGGUGACAAUAUACAAAGAGAUACUCCACAUGUAAGAAUGAUUACAAGUAGAGAUCCAAAUAGAUCAUGGCCCGAUGAACUGAACAAGGCAUGGCCAUAACCUAAACUUGAUGAAAGGAGUACGAUGGGAGACUGUUAAUUCAGCCCCAAGCAUAUUUCUAUGCCCAUCGCAGAGAUUACAAGGUCAAGGAUUAGUAUCCGAUUAGAUACAGAGGAAAACAAUCACAAGAUGAAGUUGGUAUGCCUUCAAUAGAUAUGAAGAAAUCAACGACACCAAAUUAAGGAAAAUGAUCAUGCAUGACUUUCCCAGGUUGGGUUGAUAAAGCAACAAUGCAAUCCGCAAGGAGAGGCCAAAUACAAUAGAGACCUCAACCUGCAUCAACUGAACAAGGGAAUGGUUCUAGAAGGAGACAUGGUUUGAGAUCCUUGGUUUAAGCUUGGGUACAUUUUAUGUCCAACAAAGAAAUUAUCUAAACAUUCAUUUACAUGAGUUUAGUCGUAGAGGGAUAAUGGUAAAUUCAAAUUUGGGGCAUGGUUCACUAAAUAAGAACAUGGCCUAAUUUUCGGUUUAAACAAACAGGUCACAACCUUCUAUUGGCACAUCCAGUACAAGGGCAAACACAUAUGACACCUAAAUAGAUUAUCUAAAGAACGGAGGACAGCUAUUUCAUCGAAGUCCAUAAUACAGCAUUACACCACAUAAUCUACAAUCAAUGGUUGCUGAAUAAAGAUGAGAGAAGCAUUUUGGGUGUAUAGGUGACAAACAUGAUGCAACAAUCAGGAUGCAUGCUCGUCCUAUUCGUCCUUACUAAUUUUGCCAACACACUGUGGCAAUAACGUUCUAUACCGGUGGCAUACGUUCUCUCUCGGUAUUUUGCUAGUCGUCAGCUACACAUACGUUUUCGAGGUUAGUGUACCUGCAGAAAAAUCCAUCACAACCCAAUUUACCAAUGAUGCAAUUCACACAUGACAGUUUAUCACAGUUUAUACUCCAUAUAUUGCUAUAUGGAGGCCAGCUCAUCAUUAAGCGCCGAGCCACGCAUAGGAGCCGUUGCCACACUUUAACCAUAGGGCAACCCAUUAUGGUAACUUACCUUCUUACCUGAGCGUAGGUGCGUCGUUACAAGUACAUUACAAUUCUUAGUAUUCCCAUGUCUGUAUACCCAUACACAUCCAUGGGGUACUGAAUUCCCGAAAAAGUAAAUACGCCACAUCGCAGCCUUCAUAUAUACAUAUGUGGAACAUGUAUAUAAUCAAGCGCUACAAUUAAGCACUUCCCUAGACCGACGGUUGUUCGGUCAUGCUCUCACAUCUCACCUUACCUUGAGCGUCGAUCCAUUCAAAACUGAAUGGCCUUAAAAAUAACAAUACACAUGUAUGCAAUACCCACCCGGUUAUGGGUUAUGGUUUUUACAUAAGCCACCUAAUAGUCCUUAAUUUAGGGCUUAACAGAGGAUGUCGCUAGCAUUAUAGUUUUUCAAAACUGUUUUCGAAAACCAAACAAUGUUUUUAGUUGAAAAUAGGUUUUUCAAAACUAAAACUUUUGUUUUGAAAAUACGUAUGUGACCGUAUAUACUUAAUCCAGCUCCGAUACCAGCUGUGGAAGAACCUCCCAAGGUAUCGGGCCCACAUGCACCUGUCCUUGUCUCAAAGAACUCAGACGGCCAUGCAUGUGCACCAGAUAACUUAACAGGAUCCGUCCGAUUGCCCCACGGACACCGGAUAAACCACUUACAACCAGAACCGCGGGAUUAAGUAAUACAAAUCACACACACCAAUAUUUUGCAGCGGAAAUCUUAUUACCAAAUUUUACAAGUUACAAAAAUUUUACUUCGUACAUGAUCAGAGUGAUUACUACAUUGAUUCAAAGAAAGAAACUUUGAACGGUUAUAAAUUAUUUAUAGUUUUGAAAUAUAUGCUAGCUCAAGUGACCAUCCUCAAUAAGAAGAUAAAGGCGGGGUAUACUUAUAUAAGAAGGCCGAGCCCACCGGCACUUAACACCAUCAACAGCAGCACAAAAACUAUAACCUGAAAAACAACAGGGAAUAAAACCCUGAGUAUGGAAUUACUCAGCAAGACUUACCCGACUAAAGAAAAGACUCUCAAGGAUAUGCUGGAUUUGGGAAUCAAGGAGAGGCUUUAGCAAGAAUCAACUUAGAUACUUUUGCAGAAAUAGCUUACUAAAGUGAGUCCUUACUUUCAAUAUUUUAACGCCAGAUUAAAUAUUUAAUAGACUCUGUUUGCAUCUAGUCUAAUUUCAUCAUCUCAUCAAUACAACAUCAUUUUUAUCCAUAGUGUUCACAUCUUGACUUAGGUUGUAGGUAGGAGCUCAAGUCUCCACUCUCCGGGGAUAUAACGGCGAUCCGAAUCGAUUUACUCAGCUGAGGAUCUCUAACCACACGACAUAUGUUUCUCGUAAACCUUGAUGUCUACUAUUCCCACGGAUCCUCCACUGCAUGAACAGGUCCGCGCCACCCGAGAGCACACCACCCUUUUUAGGCGAUCCUUUGCCAGGAGGGUACGUGCCACUCUCGCCAUCUCUCCACUCCCAGUGCGCGAUUGUCUUUUCAUGCAUGGAAUAGCCGGGUUCAAGCUUACCCUGUCCCAUUCCCAGGGCAUGUGGCUAGAUAAGAUAGUCCUUGAUCAACAGGCCUACAUACGCAUCCAAUCCUUAAUUGACCCGGGCGGAGAAUCACCUGUUCCUAGCCCAAGUCUCGAUUUAAGUACUUCCAUCCUUAAGAUUGUUUCUGUUCCUUAGGAUGAAAAGAGCAUCACAGGGAACUUUGCAGUAAGAUCCCAUCAUUGCUCCAAAUGAAAAUAUUCUUGCAGGUAGAAGUCAUCCUUUCUCGAGCUAGGCUAAGGACAACCUCUAUCCACAAGAUCUAAGCAGGGCUAAGCAUUUUUGUAAAUCAUAUUUUGAUACUUCACCAGAAGUAUCUAUAAAGGUAUGGAUAUCAAGGAAAGCAAUGCAUC